rnacentral:lncRNA from 1 species
UUUCGCUCACGCUCCGCGCGUUCACGUUCGAUCGGAUUGCCGACGCCGUUGCUGGUGCGCGCUGUUUCUAUCACGUCGCGCGUAAUAAUUUUUCGACCGACGUGGACCGCGGUUUUUUCCGCGUUUUUCGGGUGUGCUUCGACGGAAGUCUUUUGCACGGAACGACGCUUCGAGGCGGAGAUCCGACCAGGUAAGUCGUGAUGAAUUUUCGUAUAUAACUAUAGUAGAUGAACGAAGGUGGGGAGGUGGGGGGCGUAAAUUCCGAGAAAAAAACCAUAUACGUAAUAUUAUACUAUUCUUUGUGGCAGAGUAAUACUAACAAUAAUCACAUAUCGGGCGUAUUAUAUUAUAAUAUAGUAGGUAAAUUUGUAUACUUAACGUAGCACGGGCGAGAAAACUUAUUUCAUAGCUAUGGGCGAGAAAAAACCUGACCUAAACGUUCGCCAUGAGAGACAGAGAACAAUACGUAAUAAUAUUAUUAGGUACUUGCUGUAAACGCGCCGAGUAUUUUCUAUAUUAAGUGUUUUAUUAUUUGCGGGGUGUCGGAUGCGCGUGCCGGUGGUCCCGGUCCAAAAAACGUUUAAUAGUUUUUUACGGUAGUUGUUUUUUUUUCCCUUUAAUAAUAACACAUGGUCGCGAUUCUCUCAGUCGACGGCACGCUCGUGUGUGCCGGUCCGCGGACUAUUAUUACAUUAUUUAUUAUUAUUGCAGCGGUGUAUAUAAGUUGCGACAAGUAGUUUUUCGCGGAUUGUUUCUGAAAUGUUUUCGUAAACAAGAAAGACGUAAUUUGUUUUUCUUUUUUUCCCCGAAACACGUGAAUUAUGUAUUUUUUUCUAAAAAAAACAUUUGGAUCCAAACGGUUUCCAUUUCUCCUCCUUUUCCUCCUCCCCCCCUCACGUCUCAUACGCUUGUUGGCGAAAGUGGAUAUUUCGAUGAUGUGCUCGAGUUAAGUGCGGAACUUGCGCGGUACACCUAUAUAUACUGCUCGUAUUCCGCGGCCACAAAAGAAACGUUCAGUUUUUAAAAAAACUUCGCAGUGUAAUGUUUACGAAUUUGUACAUCUUCAUCUAUACGAAAAAAGUUUCGUGAAACACGUCUAAAACGAAUUUCACGAUUUUUUUAAAAUUUUUUUCAAUCGUAUCUGUAUGCAUUGUACACGUUGCACAUAUAUAUCGGCGUGGUAAGGUAUAAAUACGCCAUUUACAGGUUCAAAGCUAAAUUCGUUUGUUAGUUCUUCGUUAUUGUUAUUAUUAUCAUUACUAUUAUUAUUAUUAUUUUUUUUUAUACACAAAUCUAGCUAGUAUUUAUUUUUGUUUCUUCUUCUCACCCCUUCACCCAUCUGUCUAUAAAGCUGCUUUUAGAGUUGGUUUAUAGCAGAUUUACUCUAAUAAAUUACGAGUAUGCACUAUAUCAUGAGGUUUUCUCGCUUGUUAUUUGUUUGAUAACAUUUUUAUUAAGGUGACAGUAUUUUUUUUAAAUUUUUUUUUGAAUCAGUAAUUCAUAAAACCUACAUUUUUUCCCCUCAAAUAUAAACUAUAUAGCAAUAAAGUUCUACACGAAUUAAAAAUUCAAAGAAAACAUUUUUCCACCAUAGACAUUUUUAUAAAUAUGUAUUAUUUAUGAAAAAAAAAAAACGUGAGUUAUGUUAUCUACUGUUUGAACAAUAAAAAUGAAAUAUUAGUGAUAAUAAAACAUUGCUAUUUAGAAUUACGAUUACGGAUAAAAUAAUGCAAAUAUAUUCCAAUGGUUUUUAUACAUUUUUUGUCACAUCGUAUGAGGGAUACAUUUGGAUUCACUAUUUAUUUAUUUUUUUUUUAAUAAUAUAUUAUUCUAUAUUUCUAUUUACUGUAAAUAUACCUAAUUAUACUUAAACUAAUUUUUUUAAAAAAUAUUUUAUAAAAAUAUAAUUUUAAACUAACAGUACUUGCAGUAGGGAUUUAGAUAUAUUUAUAAUAAUUUAAAAUAUAGUUCCUAUAAUAAUAAUGGUGCAACAAAUUAAUUUAAUUGAAAAAAAAGACAUCCUAGAAUAAUGAGGGCGGGUACUGUCACUGUUAUAGAUAAUUUAAUGUAUACCUGUAAGCAACGAUAAACCAUUGCCGACGAAAAACGAUUCUGAGCAGAGUUCAGUUGAUAGUGAUUUUUUGUCAACAAUAUAUAUGCCAUAUUAUAGUAAAAUAAUUAAAUAGACUUUAUAUAUUUUCUUUAAUAAUAUUUAUUUAAUGUUGUACCGAUUAUCCCAAUUUCCUUACGUUUUCCCGGUUUCCCAUGUAUUAUCGCGGUUUUAUACAUUUGCUGGGAAAACUCUUGAGAAAAUCGAAAAAUUACCUCCUAAAGUACCUCCCUAGUAAAAUUUCUUUUUAGAAACAUUGCUAUCAUUAAAAGUUGGAGCGAAAUUGCUGGUAGAAAAGUUGUUCAUAGAAAAAGAAAAUUGUAAGAUUAUAUUUAUUAUAUUUCGUAAAUUUUCCCAUUUUUUUUUUUUGGUUUUUUACAACUCUUAAGAAAAUCGAAAAAUGAUCUCUUUAAAGUACUUUUUCACGCCAAUUUCUUUUCCAAAAAAGUGCUACAUAUAGAAAAAAACAUUUUUGUAAAACUAUAAGCUUCUUCACUCCACUAAGAAUCUAAAAAUAUUGAUAAGUAUUUAUUUUUUAAGCUUUAGUUGGCAAUAUUCAAGUGGAUUAUAGAAAAUAUUAAAAUCUUUACAUUUUUCUUUACCAUGUGUAAUAUAAAACUUCUUUUCUUUUUAUGUAGUUUACUACUUAUCUUAUAGUUAUAAGAGGUUAUAAGCCUCCGAUGUCUUUGAAAUAAUAAUAAAAAAAUAUGUCCUAUCGUAAAAAUAAACUAAAAUUAUUUUUAAGGUGCUCUGGAUUUUGAACUUGAUUAAUUAUUGUUUACUGUGGUAAAAAGUUUUUACAGAAUUGUACGGAAUAAAAUAUGGUACCUAAUAGUUAAUUUUUUUUAUAUAUUUUGCACAAAGUAUAUAAAACAUAUUUUACGUGUAUAUUGAGUCCGUGGAGUCUCUGCAGUAUCUGUACUUAAUGUUUACUAUUCCAAAAAAAACGUAUAUUAUAUUUUUGAGAUUGAACCAAAUUAAAUAUCAUUGGGUAAUUCAGUAUAAUUGAGAACUGAACUAUCGAAAAAAGAAUAUCUCAAUAAAUAUAUAAGUAUAAUACUUAAUAAUAAUAUAAUAAGACAUUUUCACGGGGAGUAAUCGUGAAUUUUGUAUUAUCAAGACUGCAGAAGUUAUUGAAAUGUUAUUAUAUAUUAUUGCAGUAUAUAUUUGUUUCUUUAAUAUAAAUAUUUUUUGUUGCUGCUUUUAUUUAUUUCUCGUUUCACUGUUUCUUUAAAUGAUAAAUCGUUAUUUUACCAAUAUAUAGAAUAAAAAUAUUUAUUCAUAAAGUUAUCAUCGGAGUUAUUGUGUAAUAAUAUUAUAAAAUAUUAUUUUCCGAAUAAAUACAUCAAAGCAUUUUAUUUUGAAUACAUUUCGAAUACAAAUAUGUAUUUCGGUUAAAUAUAAAUCACCAGGGAAUUUGUAGUAAAUGUCUUGAGAUUUUAAACGAUAACCAAAUAAAAAACAAAAAACUAAAGACAUAAUGUUAUUGUUCCAAAAUAUAUUGCUGUUAUCUUUUAUUAUCGACGUUCAAUUCGAUUUAUACGAAUUAACACUGAUUUUAAAUACAUUUAACAGAAUUUAAUAUUUUACAAUAUUGUAUCUGUAAAUAAAAUUACUUAUUAAUAUAGAUAAUGCGCUGCAAUAAAAGAAAAAUAAUAAUACUAUCGUAAAAUAUUUCGGUAUUUUUCUAUAUUAUAACAUGAAUAUAUUUAUUUUUAUAGAUUUCAGCAAAAUAUAAAAUGUUAUUAUACAUUCUCAGAUUUUAGUUUUUUAUAAAUAAGUUCAUUUUAUUAAUUGGGUAAGAGCAAAGACCAAUGAAGUUCUUAGUGAAUUAUUAUCCCCACCUUCCUUGAAAUAUCUCCGACAAUUAAGUAUUAUUAAGUGUCUAAUAAUUGUUUUUAUUAUUGGUUAUAAUAGAGUUGUUAAAUACAGUUUACUGCACCAUUAAAACAUUAUAUUGGUUUUCAAUUUUCAAUAGUCUUAUUAUUGUCGUUUUAUUUGAAAUUGACUGUUUUAAGUGAAUGAGAGGAUUGCAAAAUUAAAUAAGCCCUUCGAAAUUUGUUUCUGUCUAUACGCCGCUGACAGAACAAAUUAUUUGUCUGCAGUCCGUUAAAUAACGGCUAUAUGUCCAGAAUUAUAUGAAAUCCAAAUACAACUAUAAUAUUUAUACGAGGUCUGUACCUAAGGUUUAUACUUAAUACUAGUAUCGAUUAUUAAAUCUAAAAUAUUAAUAACAUUCCUUAUAAAUAAUUAUUAUGCUGAAAUUAAAGGUUUCAACGUCGAUUUUGAUUCUAUAUAAUCAUGCGCAUUUUUGUAAAACGUGAAAUUAUUUCUUUUGAUUUUGAAUUUUUAAAAUAGGUAUUAAUAACCGUAUCAAAAGAGACGUCUUAACACAAUUAUUGCUACUGUAUUCGUCUGUAUAUUGUAUAAAAUAAUACCCAUACAGAGUUUUAGUUAUGAUGUUUUAGUUAAAUUUAGAGUUUAAACACUCGCUAUUAGACUGAAAAAAAAUUAUAUAUAAAGCAAUGUAUACUUUUUAAUUGUAUAAUUUUUUAAAAAAAUAUUUUUCUGUCUAUACAAAUAUAUUGCACCAUUUGUUGGAUAAACGGAGACGGUAAAUUCGAAUACAUCGUUAUCAUCUGAAUAAAUUAACGUUUCUGAGUAAUAUUUCGAUGAAAGAAAAAAGUAGAGUGAGAUUAAACAUAAUUCGUUUUUUAGUCCUUAACGUUUAUUGGACUUACUAGAGUUUUGUAAGCUUAUUGAAAUCUUUUAAAUAAUCGUAGUCAAGUUAUGGGUUAUUUGAUUUGAAAAUCUCGAUAGACGAUUCGAACCAUCUUUGAUAUGAUAAAGAAUGAGGACGAAGGUGCAGCAAUAAUAAGUGAAAUCCUCUAAAGCUGAUAUAGUAGCACUUGAUAGCUGGCUAUUAGUUUUAGUUUACUGCAGUCAUCAGUCUGUCUGAAACGGAUUAAAACGGCUCCUUCAAGACGGGUCUCUUCCGUCUUACCCUUUGCUCAAUAGAAUCCUUUUUAUCCGGUUGCACUCAGGAAGAAUACGAAAAUUAAUAAUAUUUUCUCGACGAUUGAAACUAACGGUAUUAUUAUCCAAGUCAAAUGUUGUUAAUAGUAACGUUGUGCGACCAUAAACUCACUUAAUUUAAUUUAAUUUAUUUUGAUUAAUUAAAGCUAAAAGAAUAUUACUUUUAUUUUGGGUUGAAAGUGCAGGUAUCUAUACUGUGUAUAUAUAUUAUGAUUUGCAAACAUAGCACUGUUAUUUAGUACAUUUUGGGAAUAGUAUACGUCGGAAAAAUCAUAAACUAUUUAUUAUUGGUUGAUAAUAAAAAUGGUUGGGUUGUUUAUUUUGUUGAUUAGUAUUAUAAUACCGUGUUUUUGAGAUAAUUUCACCCAACAACAUUAUAAAGAUAAAUAAUUGAACACGGGUUGGUAUUUUUAUGAAAUUAAUAUUAAUAUUUCGAAUUCACUGGUUAACUGACUUAUUGGUGGCUGGUGAACGGUAGUAGUGAAAAACUAAAAAAAACAGGUAGAAGAAAUUAAAAGGUGAAGGUUUUAAUUCAUAUAUUUAGUCAUGCUUAUUAUUUUCCGAGUACAAUAAUUUUAAUUACGUUUACAUUUAAAUUAAGUAGUUAAUGAUAAUAAUAACCAAUAUAUAAGUUUUCUUAACAGAUUAUAUGCGGAUCUAAACCACUCAUGGAAAUUUCAUGAAAGGAAAGGUUUUUUUAUCUUUUUUUUAGAAAAAUCUUAAAAUGAAUUAAACUUUUGUGAAUAAUCGUUUAAUUAAUUAUUUAAACAUUUGUCUUGAAAAGUAUACAAAUUAAAAAUGUAUAUUUUUGUAAAUACUAUUAUAUUAUUUAUUAAAAUAUCCACUCUUUAAUCACUAAAAACAUUCUGUAUUCCGAAUUUACUUAAAUAAUAAGUUUUAUGUACCGUCGAAUUCCGAAUUAACGUUUUUAAAAAAAAAAAAAAUCAUUAAAAAUAUAAAAUAAUGAUUUUUUAAUAAUAAUAUUCUUUAGCAUAGUAAUGCUAUAUUAUAAAGCCAAUAAUUGUAAUAUCCUUAAAAGAUUAAUGAAAACCAAUAAAUAUAAAACAAAGUUAUAAAUUGGUUGUUAAUUAAUGUGAACAUAUUUUAUACGUCAUCGAGGUUUUAGCUUCUUAAAAAAAAAAAAAAAAAAAAAUAACAUUUGUAAGUUAUUGUCUACCUUAGGGAAGGUACCUAAUUGUAUUUUUACAAUAUUCACGGACAAGAAUGCUUUUCAAUUUUCUUUGCUAGUUUAUUUAUUAUUAAAAAUCAAUGUGUCUAUCAAAUAAUAAAAUUAUUUAAAAAAUUUAUUUUGAAAAUAAAUAUAGGUAGUUGAAAUGGUACGACCAGUAUAUUAUUAUAAUAAUAUUGAAUUUCAAAAUAUCUUAACGUUGAACAUUGAUUAUGAUAAUUUACUUAAAUGUUAUUAUAUAUGUAUACGUCUGUGUAUACCAGUGGAUAUCAAACUUUUUUUUAAACAUUGUAUACUAUGUUCUUUACAAAAUUUUUACGGCACAUAUCUCAGCCAUACAAUUUUUUAAGACCUAUUUUUUAGGCCAUGAUUUUAUUAUUUACAUAAAUUAAAUACACAAAAUUGUACAUUAAUAUAAUGUUAAUUAUUAUUACCUAAUUAUUAUUAUAAAGGUUCAAUAGGUAUCCAAGAAAACUUAUCCUUAUUUUCUUCCCAUAAACUGUUGAUUUAUAAGUAUAUAUAUAUCGCAGUUGCAUAACGCAUAAACGCAUCUAUUUUCAAAUAUCACAAUUCCAUAUAAUCUGUUACUUAAGGAAAAAAAAACUUUCAAAAGGUUUUGGUACGACUAGAGAAUACUCGCGGCAAUUUCAGUUUGAAAACCCACGGUGUAUACGUUCAUGUUUGAACAAAAAUAAUCGUGUUAUUUUGAGUUUGGUAUAUGUUUCUGGUAUGUUAAAUGGCUCAAUUGGACUUUUCCUGCUGUCUUACGGAGCGAGUAAGUGUCUAUAUAUUAAAAUACUGUAGAGUCUGUUGAUAACGAUGUUGGCUUGUAUGGAUAAUUAAUGAGUAAGAAUGGUUUGUGAAAAUUAUAAGAAAAUACGAUUUUUCAAUUUACUCUUUUCAAUUUCAUUAAUGGUUUCUUGUUCACGCAUACUGCAUUGGUAUAUUUUAUUUAUUUAUUUUGAGUUUAAUACAAAUUUUUUGACUGUCUAUUAUUUUUAGACAAUUCUUUUACUGAAAAAUUAGGCUUAUUGUGUUGGACAUGGAGUAUUUUAUUUUUUUUUUACGUUAUUGAUGGUAUCAUAUUUUUUAACAACUAAUCAUUACACCCAUAUUGUGUGAGUUGUUUCUAUGACCAAGGUAUUUGAUUUCAGUCUCAAUACUAAAAUCUGGAUAUUUCAAAAUAGAAAGAGGACUUUAUUAUUUUGUAAAGAACUGAACUAGUUUAUACAUCUUAAUUCUACCUUAAAAUGCCAUUUUUAUUACUACAUCUACAUACACAUUUAUUUGAAUAAUUUUGUACCUACAUAAUAAAAUACCAUUUGACCAAACUUAACAAAUAAUAUGAAAAUUAAACGCAAGUUUUUUGAAUAUUAAAUAUAUUUAUUCACGUGUGUAUAUUAUAUCAAUAUACAAUUAAUGUAAGUUACGUUAGAAACUUAUUUUCCACUCUUUAGUGUACAUUAUAUAUUGCACAAUUUUCCCGCGAGAGACUAUCUGCUGGCGCUCUAUUUUAAAAUGCUGGAAUAAAAGUUUACAUUGCGUAAAAGUUACUUUUUUUUAACAGUAUGUGUUCAUAAUUUUUUCAUUAAACACUUUAUCUUAGUAAGAAUGUAUGUUUUAUUUUUAUUAAAUAGUUAAGUCAGUGUUAAAAGUCUGAAUAGAAUUCGAACUUGCUCGAAUAACGCUGAAAUUAUUAUAUACAAAAAUAAAGUGUGUAUAACAAGGCAAGUAUUUUUUAUUUAUCUUUAUUUUUGUUGAAUGUCUAAAACCUUUUUUUUUCUUGUCGUAAAUAAAUAAUAUAUUUAUGGAAGUUAGUUUUUACCUUUAAGUAGAACUCAAAUAAUAACUUUCUUUAAAUUUUAUUUUUUUUUUGUAUGUAUUAUAAUUUUUGAAAAAAGAAAUGAUAGAUUAAAUGUAUAAUAAAGCUUUGAAAUGUAUAUUUUUAAUUUAUUGCAGAAUAAAUAAGGUAAAUUUAAUUUCAUACGAAAAAAAAAUUUAAUCUAAAUAAAUACGUACAUACAAGUUGUAUAUAAACAUGCAGUCUUUCGAAAUUCAGGUUAGUCGAAUUUCGCACGAAAUACUUUUUUUUGACCAAAAAAAUACUUAGACAAACAAUUUUUUAAUUUUUUAAAUAUAUAUAUUCUAAAAUGUGACAUAGUCUUUAUUUUUGAGGUUAAAGCGGUUACCUAUUUUUGAUUUUCAAGCGUUUAUUAAACCUUUGAUCAAUAGUCGGAGUGUUAGUUUAAACACAUUAUUUUGUUAAAAUUGUCGAUUUUCGUCUACACGGUGAUAAGAUAUUCCACUUUUAAGUUUAGGAAGGAGAUAUUUAGCUCGCGGCAUUUUAAUACAUUUUCGCUACUCUCUCUUUACUUAAACUUAAAAUUUAAAUAUAUUAUCAACGGGAUGACAGAUAUCACAAAUACCAACACCAAUAUUUAUUUAAACUAAUAAUCCGUAGAUUUAUGAAUUUCUUAUUAUAAGUUGUUAUUUGAAAAUCAAAAGUAAGUUGUCAAUGCAUGAUUGCAAAUAAGGGUGAAAAAAAUAAGAACAAUGCACUUUUUAGAAUAUAAAUGAUUUUAAAACGUUCUUAAAUAAGUCAUUUAACUAAAAAAUAAGUAAUUCAUGGAAAAUUUGACUUACCGUGAAGUUUGGAAGACUGUUGUCCUAUUUUUGUUUUUUCUUUGAAAGAUUAUCAUUAUUAGUGAGACCAUUUAUUUUAAUUAAUAAAAUGUUUAAAUAUCUAUAUAGUGGGUCCUACACAUUUUGUAGUAUGCCAUUUAAUUUCAGAUAUUAGUUGAAUAAUUUGUGUAUGAAAGGAGACUCUUAAUAAAUAAAAUAAUUAUUAUCAAUGACAUGCCAUAAACAUUUUUAAUAUAAUUGAUGCUUGCUAAUAUUUCAGUAUAUUUUUUAAGUAAUAUUGUUUUAUUAUUUAUUAUUUAUACUUUCUCAUUAUAAUUUAUAAUAACUUAAAUGUUUGUUUAGAAAUAAUAAUAAAUAAUAAUAAUUGAUUAUACGUAUAGGUACUAUAAUCCUGAAAAUUUGCUUUAUUGUUUUUUUUUAUAAUUAAAUGUUAUUAAAGAGGAUUAAUUUAGUGAGCAUCAGUCCCUAUGAUGAACACUCCAAUCAAAGUUUAUUUGUAAAAUAAAAAAAACCCAUUUAAACACCCUCUAUCAAAUAUAAAAAUUAUUUUUCUCUUCUCCUUUUGCUGAAUAAUAUUCGGUUUAAUUCAUAUACAACAGAUAUAUAUAUAGGGGUGGAAAAUCAUUUGUGUUUGUUCAUUGGACCAUGUCGCGUUUUAUUUUUCCAAUUAAAACAAUACUAAUUAGCUUUAGGUUCCGUUUGGGUCACCGAAUGAAGCCUUUCUGCCAUGCUUUAAUUUCACAGUGUUCACAACUUAGCCUUUGGUUUCUACACUAUUUUAACCUGUUUAUUAUUUCGGGGAAUAUUCAACAAAUCCUUUUAAAUCCACUGCAAUCUUAAGUUAAGUUUACUGUAAUAUUGUGGGGUUGUCGUAACAAUAACAAACUAUAUUUAAUUUUAACCGUUCGGGGAAACUGUUGGUUUUACAAUGGUAUAUGUUUUUUUCUUUCUAUUGUGUUGUUUUUCUACUUUUGGUAUUGAAUGUGUGAUCUAAAUUGCCCAUAUUCAACAUAUUAAAUCCAUUUUAAAUUAAAACCAUGUGUAAUAUUGAACCGUUCGAUUUUGAGAUAUUGUUAUAAUAUUAUAACGAUUACAAAAAAUAAAUAACUAAAAAAAAUAGAACAACGGGAUAAUAAUAUUAUUACGAAUAUAUUAUUACAAUCUCGUGUGAUCCAUUAUAAUAUUUACAAUGUAAACAAUAGAAAUAGAACAUUAUUUUUAAUUGAAAAUUUACCAAAUAUUUUCCAGAAUUAAAUCUUGUGUUGGUAUGUUACUUUAUACAAUAUGUUUAUAUUUUGUUAUAUUUAUGAAAAUUGAAUUUUUAAUAUUAACCUUUAUACUACAUUAUGCAUUUAUAUAGAGAUUAUUUUGUAAAUGGAGUUUUUCCCAUCAAAAAAUAAAUACAUAUUUUAUGGUCAUAAAAAUAUAUAAAAAUACGGUAUACUUAAAAUAGCAAAUUAAAAAUUAUGUAUAAUAUAAGUUAAUCUAACUAUCAGUAUAAUUAUAAGUAUAAUUUAAAAAAAAAAAAUAAAUGUGUACUGUUUAAAGGUUUUACAGUACAAAUGAAAUAUGGAUCACAAAGACAAUUUUAUUUUGAUUAUGGCGGUUGGUCAAUUUUUUUCUUCUGCUAUUUGUAUAAUUUUGUGCUGCUUUGUUCUACUCACUAAAAUGGUCAAAAUAAUAACCCAUAAAUACCACUGUAAAGUAGAUUCCAUUGAAAAAUUUUAUAAAGACAUCAAAUAAAUUUCAAAAGUUAUACAUUAACUGCAAGGGAAAUAACAGGAUUAAUUCGGGACAAAUUUGAAAAAACCGAAACAAGGGAACAAAAUGUAGAAAUACGGAAAUAUCCCGUAUAAUAUGAGAUGCAUUGUCAUCCUACAUAUACAGGGUGAUCAAUCUUUCAUAAGAUACUAAUUAUCUCGAAAAGUAUUAACUUUUUGGGAAUUUGUUUUAUAGAACAUUUCAGAAACAAGGAGCUCUACAAAUUUGCAUGUAUGUUGUUUGUCUGUCACCCUUAUUUUCAGUGGUAUAACAAAGAGCUACUUUUGAUUUUCAAUGAGCAACCUAUAUUAAAUAAAUAUAUAAAUAGAUGGAGUAUUAUUUAUAAUAAUUUUGGUGUUGAAAUUUUUGAUUUCUAUCAAUUUGGAUCAGGUGAGAGUAGUAGAGCAUCAUUUGUGUGGCAGCACGGCGCGCGGCGUUUUAAUAAUGCACCACUACUCUCCUCCUAAACCAAACUCAAAAGUGAAAUGUUUCGUUAACGGAUUGACGGAAAUCAAAAAUUUCAACACCAAGUUUUAUUUUAACUAAUACUCCAUACAUUUAUAUAACUUUUUUUAUAAAGGUUUCUACUUGAAAAUUAAAAGUAGUUAAUGGUUUUACCACCAAAAAUAAAAGUGACAAACAAUAACAUAAAUGUAAAAUUGUAGAUUUACUUGUUUUUGAAAUGUUUUUUAAAACAAAUUCUGAAAAAAAGUUAACACUUUCUGUAAUAAUGAGUGUCUUAGGAUAGAUUGAUUAUUCUGUACAUAAAUUAUUAUUAUGUAGGUAGUUUACAAAAAGACGGCAUUUUAGUAAGAGUGGAUAUGAUGACACCUAGGAAAAUCAAUGUUAUUUUUGACUAGAAUAUUUAUUAAAAUAUAUUAUUUUCGAUGUGGGAAAAUAUAAGACUCUAUUAAGCCUAUGUUAUAACUAUAUUACACUGAAUUAGUGGACUUGGGUGACGAAAAUGACGGAUGGAUAUUUACUAACUGUACUCGGAAUUUUGAUUUUACCCAGGACAACGGUGGAACUGCAGAUGGUCAAAAAUACGUAUUUUGAAGGAAUAUGAAAUUGAGGGGAUUUGAAAAAAGACAUAGUGGGAACAACAGGUCCAAAUAGUUGGGAAUAUUAAAAAAUAUAUACUUAUAGUAUAUGAAUACAUUUUAAUUUACUUAUGUUAAAAAAAAAAAAACAUUUUGUAUAUAGUUAUUUCAAAACAAACAUUUAAACGAAGGUAUUAGACUAAAGUCGUAUAAAAAUGUUAUCCAUCCGUGUGGAGAAAAAAAAUAUCUUCUCAAUUUUCGGAAAAGGUCCAUAUAAAAAUUCGGAAAAUACAAAUAAACAAACUGAUUUUUGAACAGUAUUUUAGUACGGUUUUUUGAUCUUUUUCACUGUAUAAAUAUACAUACCUAUCAACUUAUUUAUACUGCAUAAGGUAAUUUUUGUAAGACUCAACUUUUUAAUAUUAUUUGAGAAAAUCUUACCUAAAUACAUUUUAUUUGAGUUUUUUUUUCAAUCUUUGUGAAAUCGUUUGGGGUUUCUAUGAAUAGUAUAUAUUUACAAAAGCUUACUUUUAUUUCUUUAUGUUUAAAGGAACUAUCAACUUUUGAUUUUAAAACCUAAAGAAAGGGAUAUACUGAUAUAGUUUUAUAUUUUUAUUAAACUACAAGAUUUCUCUAUUCGUCUGACAUAAAUUUUGAAAAUAGAAUAAAUGUGAACUUUCAAUGAUUUAAAAUGAUUGAUAAAAAAAAUCGAAAAUCCAAUUUUCUUAAUAUAUAUUAAUCAUAAUACUCUAGGUGACGCAUUCGUUAAUUAAUUAAUUUUAUUUAUAUAUAUAUAUAUACAUUUUUUAUCUAUAUAUAUAUAUAUACAUUUUUUAUCUAUAUAUAUAUAUAUAUAUAUAUAUAUAUAAUUACUAUAUUUAUUUACUUUAUAUAUUAAUCAUAAAUACUCGAUAGUUCAAUUUUUAACUUAAAGAUUUUGUUUACAUGCUAUGCAUAAUAUUAAAAUUAUACACAAAAUACACUUUUCGUAGUUAGUAGUUAGUUAUAUUAUAUUUCAGUCAUUUGAAUAAAACUUGAUUUUAAUUAAAACUAGUUGGUCGUAGUUAUCAUACAUGAAAUGAAAGAGCUUUAUUUUCGAAGGUCGAAUGAAUAUUAAAAUAGACUCGUAUAGUUGAUCGGAUCACAUUAUUAUUAUAAUCGUCCUGAGGGUUUGCGAAUUAUGAAUAUAUCAUAGAUUUACUAAUGAACGUGAAAUUGACUUGUGGUAAUAUAAAUCAUGCCACUCACCGUGGAUCACAAAAUUCAAUUUUUUAUACUUGACUGAUAGUAAUUUUCAUCAUAAACUUUCAAUCAAUAGAUUGCGAUUUUAGAUGAUAUUAUUUAAAAAUAACCUGCCAAUGAUUUGAUUUCUAGUUAUUUUCCUGCUAUUCGAACCGACAUACUAUUUGAUUAUCGACAAUAUAAACUAACGACAAAAAUAUCAAGUAUUUACAUGUAAUCUAAAAUUCUAAAACAUUGAUCAUGAGUUGAUAUGUUCGAUUGUUGUGUGGAUAUAAUUUAAUUUUUUUAUUUAACGUAUACUAAUAUACAUUCAAAUCAUACAUAUUUAUUGGAAUUUAUUUUUAAAUAUAUUUUUAAUAGGUAACUACUGGAACUAUCAUAAUACGUCAUGUAUAACGAUCUUUAAGUUUUUUGACGGUUGUAUAUUUAAAAACAGGUUAUUGUGUUGACUUCUACUCGUAAGAUAAAAACAGUCAGGUGGGUCUGUAUUAAUUUAUAUUUGUAGUUUGAAAUAAAGUAAAACAAUAGAAUAUAACUCGUUAUUACGUCAUAAUUUAAACGUAGGUGGUAUUAGAACUUCGUGGCAAGGCCUCUGCCGCAGGGGAAACAACUCAAUAUUUUAAUUUAGUCCAAGGGGUGAGUGUGGGUGACGAUCACUUUGUCAAACCUCUUAAAUCCACCACCAGUAAAUAGAACAUUUAUAGUUUUAUAUUUACGAAGUAGAAAUAUGUAGUCUAGUUAAGAUAGUUUUAAGUCAACAUUUUUUGUUAAAAUAUAAUUGAAAAGGUUAAAUUACUCAGAAGAAAUAGAAUAUAUUAUGUUUAAUAAUAAAUACGAGUUAUUGUGUUGAUUACGUAUAAGUUAUUUGUUAUUUAUGUUAUUAUACUUACUCAUAUCUAGUAUUAUUAACUAAUAAGUUUACGACACAAACAUUCACAAAUAGAAAUUAAAACCAAUACAACUAAUAACUACUUGAAUUGAUUGUAAUUUAAUUUAAAAUUGAUAUAAACUUAUAAUUGAAAAUAGAGAUAGAGAAAAACAAUUAACCUGUCUAUUCUGCUUUUCGCUGGUUAUUAUUUGUCUCCAACCGUAUUUUUUCUAUACAUAUGUAUCUUAUUUAUCUAUACAUACGUAUAAUAUACCUUAUUAUAUUCAAAAUGAGCAAUGUAUACAGAACAACCUAUUAAACAAUACAGUUAAUGUAAUGAAAAUUAAUAACGACAGAUACCUAAUAAUAAAUAAUAAUAAUAAAUAUAAUAUUAAACAAUUAUAUUUAAAAAAAAAAAUGUAUAAUGCAUAUGUAAUUAUGUUACCAUAAUAUAACAUAUAUAUUGUUAACAAAGCAAUACUAUCAAACGAACUUCUUUCAGAAUUGUUUUUUCGUUAGCAAUGGUUAGUCGUUGCUUACAAAUAUACAUUAAAUUUCUCUUCUACCUUCCCAACUUCUUACAAUGUUACCUAUACAACAGUGGCCCGUUGUUUUGUUCCGGAAGAAUAAUCCUAAAUUUAUACAUCUACAUCAUUUACAUUAUUUUUUUUAAUAUUUAUAAUUAUAAAAUAUAUUCUUUUGUAAUUUUCAAUAUUAAUACAUUUUUUUCGAUAUUUACAUAUUUUGGAUUUUGUGUGUAUUCUAUUUUUAAGAAAAAAGGUACAAAUAUUGAUUUUUUUUAUUAAAAUAAAAUCUGUUCCCCACAGAUGAUAAUAUUUUGAGAGGGAACAGUUGGUAACAAUGAAAUAUUUUGUCUGGCCCCUAAUUAGUUUUCCAAAAACUGUAGCAAUAUCUGAUACUGCAGUAGGUAAUAUGACUAAUAAAUAUUGUAUAAUGAUAACAAAAUUUAGUUAACAAAACUAAAUUUGUGAUAACAAAAUCACAUAAUUUAGUUUUACACCCAAAAUAUGUAUUAUCAUUACGAUAACACUAUUUGUGUAUUUUAACAAAUAUGUAUUAUUUUGUAAAAAGUAAAAUAGAUUUUGUACAAUUUUCACAAAUUAAUUAUUUAAUUUAAUAAAGAGCGAGAAAAAUAAAAAAAAUACUAAUUAAGGCCAAAGUCGUUAAUGGUGAACUAAUCAAUUUCAUUUAAUUUUGUAAUAAACUCGAAAUAACUAUUAAAAAAAUAGUCUUUAUGAAUUCCCCCAUUUUAACAUAAGAGUUUAUUUUUUAUUUUUUAAUUAUUUUGAAUUUAUUACAGUUUAUCGAAGCAUUAAUCUUAAACGAAGUUUUGAUGAUGGCCAAUAAUUGACAUAAGAUAUAGAUAAUAUUUUCCUUAGCCAAUAUGAACUUACGAUUCGGCCACGUUAUAUUCACAUUGCGAGCGGUAGCACCGUGAAAAAAAAUAAUAAAGGACGAGAAAAAAAACUUUUAAAAUUAAACUCACAACUAAGAAUACAAACGACUGUUUGGACUGACCGUUUCCUAUACGAAGUAAACAAUGUGGAACUAUUGUGUUAAGAUUUAAUGCUAUUUCACCACGUACAGUAUAUCCCUACCUCCAUGUAUAUUAGCCACGUAUUUUCUUUAUCUGGUUUAUGAAAGCGAUCAAUAAUAAGCAGUUUUUAGAAAAAUCGACGAACUACUUAAUAGGAAAAUAGUAUUAUAUUUUAUCGGUACCAUUCGUUCAAUACUAUGUAAACAUAUUGUAUCUCACCGUUAUUGUUUUUUUCAUAAUGUAAACACUACAAUGUACAGUGAUGCGUUAUCAAAUGGCAACACGAAAUAGCUGGAUGGUUUCAAAUUGAAAUGGUUUUUCUAGGAAAAUCGAGGGUAAGGAUCAAAAAACACAUAUUGAGGCUAUUUUUAAUGAACCUAGUGUCAUGAAAUAUUCAAUACCCAUGCACGAUUUAACCUAGAUUAUCUUAAAUGAAAAAUCAUCUAUUUUUAGCAUCAGAUAAUAAAUUGAAGAUGGCUGCAUCUAGAGUAAUUUUUGAGAUAGAAAAAAAUUGCAUUAGUUAAUGUUGUUGGAAAAAAAUUAUACUAUUUUAAUUUUGAUCCUAAAAAUAAAAACCCUAGGAUAAUGGGGAUUGGUGCAGCCACUGUUAUAUGUGAGAAGUGGUGGAAAAAGUAGUAGAGGAGAAAUUUAAUGUAUGCGACGAUAAACCAUUGCUAACGAAAAUACGAUUCUGAGCGGAGUUCGGUUAGUGCUGUUUUGUCAACAUUAUACAUGUCAUAUUAGGAUAAAUAAUUACAUAUUUUUUUUAAUAAUAUUUGAUUAAUAUUGUACCUAUUUUCCUGGCUUUUCUACGUUUUUUCACCGUUUUCUCGUGCUUUACCCUGUUUUCCUAUUUAUCGAGUUUACAUAUUUUGUACAUUAUAUUACGAAAUUGAAAAUUUAAAUGUUAACCUUUUUGAUUUAUUCAAAACUGUAUACUACUAUAUGAAUUUACCUAAGUAUGUUAUAAACAUUGUGUAAAUAAGGAUAAUGCGGUUAAACGAAAUUUUGUUUUUACCAUUUUAGAAUUUAUAAAAAUUAUAUAAUAUAUAUAUUUUUAAAAUUGUUACUAUCAUAUAUUAUUUUAGAAAUAAUACUUUUCAUAAGCAACACCACAAGUAAAAUUUUAUGUUAAAAACAAAAAAUGAUUAUAGUUUGAAACUAUAUAAAUACUUAUUCCUAGUUUAAUUCAAAUGCUAUAAACGUGAGCGAGUCUCGUAUAAUAUUAUAUUUUGGUCGGCAAUAAAUAUAUUAUGUAUUAAUAUGUACCCUAAUAAUUUUGUUUUAUUACGAGUAUAAUAUUUCACGAAAUAAAAUUAUAUAUAUAUACGAAAUGAAGAGCGAAAUAAUUGUGUUUAAGAAUAUUGUAUUUAGUAAAAGUUCUGUUUUCGUAUGCAUACGUUUUUUAAUAAUACAGAAAUAAUAUUUAAAAAAGAUACAUAAAUAUAUAUAUAUAUACACAAACAUCUACAAUAUUAUGGUUUUAUAUUUAUUAAAAUUCGUCUGUUUUUUUUUCUACUUUUUUAUUAUACAACUUAAUAACGCGUCUAAGAAUGUACCUAAUAUUUUUAAUUUCGUUGUUUCUAUAGGGUAUAUUAUCUGCAGUUAGCAUUAAUAACUAUUGUGUCCAUAUCGAUAGCAUUUUGUCAAACGGUCGCUUACCCCAAUGGUGAUGACGUCGAAUUAUAUUCUAAUUUCGCUUAUAAUAAAACGUGGAAUUUUACACGUGUUUUCAGUUUUUCUGUUCACCGAACGGAGAAAUUACUUCUUUUAAAUGUUGUAUAUAUUAUAUUCAAAUAUUCAAUUUCUUAUCUAUAUACAUGACAUAUUUCGUUCCUAUAUACUCAUUGUACCCAAAAAAAAAAAACAUACAUUCUAAAACUAAUAGCCUCUAUAAUUGAAAUUUCUUUUUUUUUUACACAUACAUAAAGCCUUUUUGUGAAUAUGUAACUAGUACUAAAAAUCAUUAUUUUCACUGUCACCAGAAAAUUACUGUGUAAUGCGGUCGUGUAAAUCAUUAUAAUAUUACUUGCGUCUACCAUUAUAAUCAAGACGCAAAGUGCCUAGUUUUUUUUUAAGUCUUCCGUUAUUCCCGGUGACAUUACAUUCAUCCUUGGCAGUUUUUGAUUUGUUUGUAAACAUAAUCGUACAGUCAUUUCGUGAUAGUCUUGACUCAUGAAUUAUUUCAUUUUUGACGCUCAAAGUGAAUGAACUUUCAGGUAGAAUUAAGUUCUUGAUAGUUUUUCUGGUACCUUCGAUAGUAGCACAGUAAGCAGUUCUCCUUUAAAACAAAUAUCGAUAAUGUCUUAUGAUGAUUGUGCACUUAAUGUAGUAUUUUUAAAAUUUGGAUGACUUUAAAUUUGGGAGAGGAGUGUUAAUAUUUAAACAAAUAAUACGCCUAUGACAGCUAUCCAGUAAAACUUAUAUUAUUUUAGUCGACAGGUACACAAACUUAAAAUAUACCUAUUUUAGUAUUAAUCCACUAAAAAUAUAAUAGCUGAAAAUUGCAGGAGUGCCAAUAUUUAUAGAGUAAGUAUAUACUUAAGAGCCUAUAUAGAAUAUAUAGUAAGUUAAAGCCUGAGAUAUCACUAUAUUGAAUGAACCACUAUUUCGUUAAUACUCUGAUAGUGUGUACUUUAUAUUAUAAAAUAUUAUUUUAAUAUUAUAUACAUUAUUGAGGCUAUCACUGCACAUAUUUAAUUUCUAGUUAUCCAUCUUAUCUAUAUAAUCCUGGUCGUGGUACUUAUGAUUAAAAUAUUAAAUACUACAGGUUAUUACAUUCGAUGUGACUACCGUUACACAAAAAAAUUGCUGUUUAAGGGGACAUUACCAUAAUCUCUUUAGUGAUACCUAUAUGUGAUAUAUAGGUUAUAUUAGAAAAAGCGUAUCUUAUUGAAAUAUAGAUUAAUUAAGUACAACACUGUUUUGAAAGUCAAGAAUAUAGAAAAAUAAAUAGAAAGAAAAUAUAGUCCGCAAUAUCAUUUAAUUUAUUAAAAUUAACAAAGCUAAAUUAAUUGUGCUCAAAAUAAUACAAUUAUAAAGAUAUACGAAAAAUAAACUAAAAAAAACCAAAUCAAUCACAACUAUAUUUUAUUAUUACACUGUUAAUUUUAGUCCAAAAAAAAAUUAUAAAAAUGCGAGUAUAUGAAAACUCAAUUUUAAACUAUGGUCGAAAAAUGUAUACGGAAAAUUUUCCAAAUUGAUUUCAACGGAAAAACGUGCGUUUUGUGGUUUUCAGCAUCCAACGAGUGGUGUGCGAAAACGCCCCCGGACGUAUGCCAAUUAUUUGAGUGUUUGCCACAGUCGAAAAUCAAAAAUAUCCCUGGGCUCGUUAAACAGCAUAUAAUAUUAUAUCUUUUCGAGAGAAAUCAUGUGCGCCGAUUAUUUUAAAUGACCCAAAAAGAGAGAAAAAAAAAUCUGGCGCGCAUACCACUCGAUAUACGGUCUCCGGUGGCGGUCGCGGUUUACGACUGCCUGACUUUUUUUUAACGGUGAUAAAAAUCGGUGCGCGAUUUACGACGGGGAAAAAAGAAAGGUUAUUCGGGUGCACUUUACAGUAGUGGCCGGUAAAUAAUAACCCGCCGUAAGUUCGACUCGUGAUGUUCGUUUCGAUACUUUAGAGUGUGUUUACGAUUACAAAAAUAACGAUUUUAAUAUAUACAAUUGCAAUGCGUAUAAAUACUGCAACGCUAUUAUUACACAGUGGUUAGUGACGCCGGAUAGGUCGUAAUAUUCGAUGUUAGGUCACGUUUUGGUAAAAUGCCAAUGAGCGUGGUAUUAGAUUUUAUUAUUUUUAAUGAUUUAACAGAAAGUGCAUAAUAAUAUUGUUGGAAAUUUGAAAGUGAUAAAUUACUAUAGGUACGUUCAUAUAGCAAUAGUAUAAAAUAGUUUAUACCACGGAAUAAUAAUAGGUAUAUUGCGCCGCUUAUCAAUCGAUUUAAAAUGUGACAUUCACUCCUAGUAUUUGUUUUUCCAAAGACGACCAAGAAAAAACCGCCGAUCUAACGGCGUACGUAGACCCUUUUUAUAGCCACAGAGGGGUGAAAUAUAUCUUCUUUUUUUCGUCCAAGCAAAAACAAUUUAUCUCACUACCUCCUCCAUAUACAAUACCUACGACAACGCUUUAAAAAUGUAAUAUUGUAAUAGUAAUAUAAAUAUUUAACGAGAUUGAUUCGAAAUAAGAAAGGUAAUAAUACAUGCAAGUCUUUACACAUUAUGAAAGUAGAUAACUUUUUAAUGUAUCGAGUAUGCAUUAAUAUAUUGUACAUUUUGUAGUCUAAUGGGAAUUUUUAUUUAUUCAUUUUUAAUAUACCUAAAGAUAAUCUCGCGACGAAAUAUCACAAUUAAUGUGUAGGCAACUAGAUACUAUGAGUCUGCACGAAACAUAAACAAAACAUUCUAUUAAACACCAAUUCUUUCUGUAUAAUAUAUUAUAAAAAAAAAAUGUACUUUGACACCCCGAAAGGAGGAUUCGAAUCAGGAAGUACGCCCUUUUUCGACGCUCUACUUAUGUUAGAAUAAUAGUAUAGUGAGUAAAUGGUUUUGGUAAUUCUCUGUAUGGUAGUAAGACUUGCCAUAAUAGUAUGUAUACAAUUUAAUUACUAUUCAUGAGUUACUUAUUUAUAAUACAAGACCGGUGUUGAUUUUAAGAGGGUAAUACAAUUAGGGAAAUUGAUCUACCUCUUGACAUUUUUUUGAAUCGUUUUCACUAUCGUAAUUACCAUACAUUUAUAUAUUAAUACUCUAUGCUUCCUUUUGGCUAAACAAAUUAUGGAUUGAAGGAAGUACAAUAUUACGAUUUAUAAACUGUUUGUAUAAUAUAGUUUUUGCUUAUAAAGUGGUCACACGGGUCUGAGGUACUAUUCGGCAUUUUAUUAGCAUUUCAGAGUAAUCCUUUAUACUACUUUUGAGUACACCAUCUGGUUUUAUAUUAUUAUAUAUAAUUUUAGAGUAGAUUAAAUAAUAAUAUAAAUUACUUUCCAAAAAAAUAUACAUUUAAUAUUUCUCAUUUUCUAAUUUUUUUUUUUGAUUAAGACGUUACUCAAUACAACAUUAUUUUGAAAUUUUAUAAAUCCCUCCUAGCAGACAAUCCUAAAUACGCUACUGUAUAGUCGUAUAGGCCGUAAGGAGUUAUGCAUUGAUUAGUAAAAAAAUUAGAAAAAAAAAUUUCAGUCGACUGGGUACAAGUUAGUUACCGAUAAAGUUUACAAUUACAAUUAUACUAAUAUUGCUUAGAAAUUAUCGAAUUUAAUAGUCACGACGAGCAAUUAAAAUACAUUUUAAAAAUAACUGUUACCUAUAUUAUUAUAAUAAUAUUACAUUCACUCGUAUUUCGUGUGCUGGUUUAAACGGGAUAGGAAUUCUAUUCGAUUCGACAGUAUAAGUCGCCGGUUAAGUUGUUCGAGCGCAAGAAGAAAAUCUAUCGUCGUGAUUAUAUAUACGCCGUACAAAUGUAUGGUUAGGGAUUUUCCGCGAUUUAGACGCUUAUAAUCUCGUAUACUGUGUGAACCAGGUAUUACUGCCACCGAAUUAUACAGACGGAUUAAAACAUGUGGAAGACGGAUCAAUAUAGGUUUGAAAAAAAAAAAUAAAGUAGUGUAGUUUUCCGAGUUCUGUAUAUAAACGGACGUAUCUGAUCGUUUCGUUGUAAAAAUAUAUAAUGUCUACCCUGGAAAUUAGUGAUUAGCUUAAAGACCUAGGUAACCUACUAGGUAUUAUUGUGAACUGCGUCUCGAGUAAAAAUUAAUCAGAAAACAUCUGAUAACCAAAAAGAGGUAUUUCGGAAGAAAAUGAAGAAAUAUAUAUUGAUUUUUUUCGUAAAAAGAAUCGGUUUCUUGAUUAAAUAAUCAUAUCCAUAAUAUCAAUAAUAUCUUAUUAUAUAGGCGGCUAAACAAAAAUCAAAAAUAUGACCUAUGACAUGAUACCCGAAAAAAUCACUCCAGGUGAGAAAAGUUAUAAUUUAGUAUUUCUAUAUAUGGGGAAAAUGAAAAUAAUCAAAUAUUUAAAUUUCAAAUUCAGAAAGAUGUUAAACCUUAUUUUCUAAGAUUUUUAAAAAUGUAUUAUCUGAUAGUUGACCUGUGGUUCGCUGAGAGUGUUGUAUGUUAUUUAAACAGCUAUUUUUGAAUACUAGUUUACGAGUUAUUAUGCCAUAUUCCGCAUAGAUUAGAUUGACCAAAUUGUACCUAUAUAUUGAAUUUUGAAUAAUUUUUUGUACUUUAUCUACUAUGAUAUAAUUAUUUAUGAUAAAUCAAUUUAUCAAAUAUCAAUAUCAAAAUAUCUUCUUGAUAUUCUGGUGUUAGGGAAAGAGUGCAAGACGGUGUGGAGUUCGAUGGAUCUAUCGAUCUAUCGAUAGAUUAUGGUUUAGCUUCGUAAAUAUUGGUGCAUACACGUUAUAUAUAUUAGGACGAUAAAACUAUAUCGUUAGAUUAGACGUCAGAUUCGAUUAAGCAAUUAUUUUACACCAAUCAUUUGUCCAAUUUUAAAUAAUAUUUAACUGAUUGUUAGUAGAAUAUUGAAAAUUAAAUAUGGUAAUUUUAACUUUAAACCAUUUCAAAGAAAGCUAGGGUAAAUAUAGCGGUAGGUAACAGUAAAAAUCGUUAAUGUAUAGAUUCUCAGAAAAAUAAAACAAUAGAUGAGGAGCGUACAAAUAAUUUUAUAAAUUAAAAUGAAAAAACCGUGUUAAGUAAUAAAAAAUGUAAAAAAUUAAAUUAACUUUUCAGCUAGUUACUAUACUGCAAUGGCGUUAAAAAAAAAAAAAAAAUUAAAAAUUAACUUAGUUUUAAUGGUACAAUAAUUCCACUACGAUUUUUAUAUUAGAAACUUUUGCACCGCGUUUACUUGACGGAGUACGUUAGUGAUGCUUCCGUUGUUGUUACCGUCGUGAAAUCGGUGGUCACGUAUUUUUGUUAUACUAGUAUUAUAUAUGUAUCACAUCUACUUCGAGUACUCGAUCUUUUCACGUGAGUUUCGCUCUAUACGAAAAGUAUCCAUGUAAUGACAUAUUCAUCAUCCGGGUACAGGCUAUAUUGUUCACUCGGUCUCGGGGUUUUUUUUUUCUACAUAACUAUAUUACACUAGAAGUUGUUGAAUUGAGUCUAUAACUGGCAGAUAAUCACACACCCGUUUGGUGAUUUUCAGUAUAAAAUAUUACCCAGUGAACCGUCGCGUCGAAUAGACAGUUAAUAAUUUAUACACGGUCACGCGUUGGUUACUACCCAAAGUAAAUGAUAUUAUUACAAAUUUGUUUAUUAUUAUUACUACAACUACUAAUAUUAUUUAUACAUUUUCACGUGUAGUCUACAAAUCGUUAUACCCUACUUUCGCCAUAGGAAUUCCCACCCCCUCCCCCCCGGUCUUAAAUCGUAUUUAAUAUAAAGAGAAUAUUAUUGCACAUUUUAAAUAUUUUAUAAAUGCAAACGUUUCAAUAAUUUAUAACUUCAAGAAAUUUAAUAAAAUGAUUGUUCAUAUUACAAAUAUCACUAAGUAUACAAUAUAUAUUAUGAUAUAUAUAGUGUAUAUCUAGGUGUAAUUAGCGAAAAAAUAAAACUAUGCAAAUUUGAGUAUUGUAAUAGUGUAUGAUCUAGUUUUUCACCGAUUAGACUGAAAAUCAACGAAGAUUUUCAUUAGAGUUUAAGUAAUUUUUUAGUGAAAACCGUUUUCCCAAAUUUACAACCGUAUGAGAGAUAGAACGUAUACGGACAAAUUAAUAAAGUAUUUUACGUUAUAGUUAAUAAAAAUCACUGUUCUAAAAAAAAAAAAAAACAAACAAUAUAUUUAUUUUUGUAUAAUGUAAAAUGUUAAAAUAACCAACAGUUUAAAAUAUGUCUAUUGAAAGAAAUUUAAAACCUAAUUACUAUUAAAUAUUUAAAAUAUUUUCUUUUGGUAAAUCGCUUAACAAGGAAUAAUAUAAUGGAACACUAAAUAAUAAAUUACAAAUUAGCGAACGAUUUGAACUAAAAAAAAACACAAAUUAAUUUUUUUUUAAUUCCAAAUAUUGUAUACAUAAAAUGAGUGUAUUCUAAAUAAUUCGAUUACAGUGAAAUGUUAAAUUAUAUUGAAAUGUUUUAGUGACUUAUUACAGUGUUGAUGCUUAGAUUUGUCGACUUCUAAAAAUACACGACUGAGAGUUCAAUUGUUUCUCGGGAACUUUGGUAACAGUCAAAUGCGGACAUAGUGGGUAUAUAAUUAGUCACAUUUACCGAUACUAUUAAUCGAUAAAAACGGAACCGGGAAAAUAUUCCGUCCAACUACUCGGGUCGUACAUUUCGCUUAUUGAAAUGGUACAUUUUCUGUUACCGUCGAUAAUCACACGCAGACGAUUUUAGACGGCCGUCUGUCAACUUAAGACACACCACUCCCUCCUCCCUCUACAAUAUGACACGUUCGUUUAUUUUGUCAAAUCGUAUUUCGACAAACAACUAUUAAAUCAGUUGACUAAUAAUAAUUAUUAAAUAUAACGGAAUAGACAUUACAAUGAAUUAUAAUGUCAUUAUAAUGAUGAUUUGUUUGGCAUCUUUCAUCGUAUUUAUCCGUCCUACAUUUUAGUUUCGAGUAAUCGAGCACACAAACAAAUUAUUGAUCACGAUAGAUAUUACAGGAUACCGUAAGCCGAUUUGUGUACAAUUCAUUACAGUUAUUCCGAGCGAGUAAGUACGCGUCCAAAAUGUAGUAUAAUUAAACAAAUUUACUUUCGAAAAUCGUCCUCAUCUUAUUUGUUAUUGGUCAUUUAGAUUUUAGACUAACUUUCUGAUUCUGAAACAAAUUUGUCGCCAUCUAUCUCUAUUUAAUGCUACUUCUUGCUAAUUUAUUCCUAUAAUAAUUAAUUCCUAAUAAUAAUUUUCUAUAAUAUUGAUCAUUUUUAACACGUUCUUCCCAUUUCUCAUCUUUCUAAUGCUUAAAGAUCUUUCCCCUAAACAGAUAUGAUUUAAUGAACAAUUUUAUCGAUGUACCAUAUAUUACAGUUAGUGUAUCCAGUUAACGUAACUGGGUGCAUUAGCCUUCUUUUCAUAAUUUAUAAAGAUUGCUCAAGGAUAGGAGUAAAUAUAAGACUAAAAAUGAAAAAUACACGUUACGCCUAAGAAAUAUGCUUAGUUCAACUUGUUCAAGGGUCUAUAUACAAAAAUACAAAAUUCAAUUAUAUAUGGCUUUGAGAAAAAAAUGAGACUAGCAGUUUUUGUGUGAAUAAUUUCAACAAGAAUUUGAGGUCCACAUAUUGAAGCUGUACAAGAAUAACAGAGAAUACAUUACAAUGAUGAGUUGAGGAGUAUUUUAUAAUAUAUAUUUUCAGAUUAAUAUUUUAUUCAGUUGGUAGUAGCUUAUAGUUUUGGGAGACUUGGCAGAUAUGAAAAAAAUGUGAUUUUUUCGCAAACGGAUCAUUGUAGUAGUUGUUUUAAAAUAUUUAUCGUAUGCGAUUUCUUCCAGAGUUGAUCCUCAAGCGCCGAACGAUCUUGGGCGGGUUACACUCUAUAAAUAAUUUGAUGGUUAUUUUCGUUCUAAAAUAGAAAUACUUACGAAAGAGUCAAUCGCUGUCGGCGUUAUUUUUAAGCAUUUUUCCGCUGCGUGAUAUUGGUUCGUUGGGACAAAAUAUAGUUGCGUUCCGUCGGUUUUUUCAGAAACGUAGGCGUGUGCAGAUAUAAUACCAUGCUCUAGGGGGUAGUCGCGUAUAUACCUAUACUUAAGUCCUCUCCCUAACGACCGAUUUCACCCCUUUUUCGCUUUAUUACUAUGUCCCGGAAAUCCUCGGAAGUCGCUCACUGAACCCUCCUAUCAAAGAAAACAAAAAAAAAAUAAUAAGUAUCUAUUAAACAUAAAUUACGACAUAGUUUGCAUGAAACACAAUAGAUAAUAUCCUAAAUUUUACAAUUAAAAACAUUUAUAAUACCAUAAUAAUAUUUACUGUAAUUUAUUAUUAAGACUCAUUUACCAUGUACUAUACACUUUUUCCUAUCGUCUUAAUUGUACCGACCUUUUAUAAAUUUACAAAUAAACGCUUGUUUAAAUAUCUGGUGUCUUUAUGUACUUUUAAUAAAAUUAAAUGUUUUAAUGUAAUAAGGUAAUUGUUUUUAAUUUUUAAUCUUAGAAAAAAAGUGCUAGUAUACCUAUCCGAUACUGUUUUAAAUCUAAUUAAAGAAAAAACAAUUUUAAUUCAAUUUUCAAAUACUAAGCUUUUGUUUUCAAAUUUUUUGUGGCAGUUAAAGGACCAACAUGGUUUUAAUUAGAGCUAUCUCAUUAGAAAUUAAACAUUUGUUAAGUACCAUAUGAAAAUUUAAAGUAUUCUCUAUAUGAUAAAAUAAAACGUACGAAUUAAAUACCACUAUAUUAUAUCUUUAUGAUUUAGGAGCCCUACAUAUUAUACGCGUUAAAUAUUGAUUUUAUUUUCUAGUGAGUAUAAAAACACAUUAAUAUUUUAUUGGAAAAUAUAAACAUUUUCUAUAUGCACGACAUUAUUUUUAAGUUUAAAAUAUUUAGAUCCUUGUCGUUUCAUUGCACCAUAACAAUAUGUUACUUUAAAUAUUGUCGAGGGACGUAAAGAGCAAUAUUUUCCCUUUACUACCCUUUUUAAUGUCAAUAUAAUAAUAGUAGGGCAUAUUAUAAAAGCUUGAUGGUUUUUCAAUCCAAUAGUAACCUAAGCUCGUGGUAAUACAAUUACCUCUUUAAAGCACUGGUAUAAUUAAUUCACGAAAAAAGGAGUUAAACGUAAAAUCACAGCUGCAGAAUUAUUUCUUCAAAUCCUUAUUUGUCAGUAAUACUGGAAACUCGGUUUUUAUUAUAAUUGGUGAAAAUUACGAAAAGUAUUAUUUUAAAUUUUUUUUUUUUUUUUGCUGUAAUCCAGUUAAUAAUAUUCAUAAAUAAUAAAAUAAUAAAGUAAAACGAAUAUUAUUAAAAUGGUUAAUACUCGUAAAUAAAUAUAUAAACAAAACAUUUAUAUAUAGAAAUAAAAAAUAAAUAAAUUAAUAAAUGCGUCACCUGAAGUAUUAUGAUAAGUACGAUUAAACGUAAAUUAUACGACCGGUUUCGAAUUAAAAAUUCGUAAUCACGUAUAUCAUAGUCAAAAUAUAAAACGCGACUCAUAACACUUCAGGUGACGCAUUCAUUAAUUAAUUAUUUUUUAUUUCUAUAUUUCGAUUUUUUAUUUAUAUAUUUAUUUAAUAUAUUUAAUAAUAUUCGUUAAAACUUUAAAUGUUGACAGAAAACUUAAAUUUGCUUUUUCUAGGCGUGGUAAAAGCUUUUUGAGAUAAAUGUUUUGAGCUAUUUAUAGACAUUCUAAUUUUGCGAGUUUUUUUACAUAAUUUUUAUUUUUAGGUGAGAAGUGAUUACAUAAUUUUCUCAUUUACAAUAUUAAGUAGGAUACUUAUCUAGUUUUUUUAUUUGGCAAAAAUUAUUAAGUUAAUGUGUACAGUGCAUGGUAUUAGUUGAGACGACGACGGUGAAUCACUUUCAAAUAUAAAACAUCGUACGGAACCCGUUCGCAUUAAUUAACUCUGCUGUUUAAACAAAUAUUUGCCGAAAUGUUUGCUUGUUUUUAAUAUGAGUGAAAACAGACUUAACGGAGUUGUGUUAUUUUAGUUGUUGAUGGCGAAGGUAUAGAUCCAGACAUUCGCAAGGGUUAUGGCGUCCCCUUGAUAGAACCCGAGUUUAUAAAUAAUACAAUGACAUCGACGUGUUCGCUAUGGGCCACGUGUUAGAAUGUGUUUUGUAUCUCGCGUACGAGAGAGCCUUAAACUAAUUUAAAUGUCAAAUAAAAAUACUUGGUAACAAUAUGAUAUUUAAGUUCGGUAUUUUUUCCAUUGUAACAAACGUUUUUACGAAUAAUGCAUAUAAAUUAUUUGUUCGAAAUUAAUUAGUGUAAUAUUAAUAUUAAUAAUGUGAACAAAUCACAGAGAUUAUGAACUUAUUCUUAAAAAUUAAUGUUUUUUUUUUAUAAAUUAAUUAAUUUGCCUUCAUGGAACGAAAACUACACUUGGGAAUAAGCUAUAUCUAUAUUGAUAAUAGUUUAAUUUUAUUAUUACAUUUUUUCAUUAAUAAAUGAAGAUUUCAAUACCUCCACAUCUUAGCCAGGUUAUGGUUUUCAUACAAAUUUUAACAGGGGUAAUAUCCGGAAUUUUGUUUAUAAAUUUUUUUGAGAUUAAAAUCGAGCUAAAUGAUAAUAUAUACAUUUAUUUAUUUGCCGUUUAAUUUGUUUGUGUAUGUUAAAAAAAUAGCCACAUGUUUAAUAAGACCAUUUCUGUUAAUUUACAUAAUUAAAAAUAAAACCAAAUGGAAUUUUCAACUUAUAGUUUUAUUUCCCGUGCCUAUACAAAUAAUACACAAUUUUCAGUUACAGCUUUAUAUUAUAGUAAUUUAUAGUGAUUAGUAUACAUUUAAACUUUCAUACUCUUGAUUUCUAUACCAUCGUGUAUAUACCGAUGAUAUACACCAAUACCUUGCAUUAUGUGAGGUAUAGUUCGCUUCUAAAGACUUAAAGUUUGUGUAAAUUUACACAAAAAUUAUUAAUGUUUCUUUUUGUUUGUAUAUAAUUAUUGAUUUUUUCUUUUUUUUUUUUAUAAUUACUGUUUCUGAUUUUUGAAUUUUAUACCUAUUAUUGUAACUUUAAAUUUCUACAAGAGAUUAUUUUUUUUUAAAAAAAUAUGUUGAUUCAUUAAUUAUAAUAAUUCACCUGGAAGGAAUACGGUGGAAUGUAACAUUAUUGUUUAAUACUUUCACAGAUUACGCUUCUCUUCUCCGAAAAUCGAAAGUUAUAAUAAAUACCUAUGUAUUGUCUAACUUCAAAAUUUCAGUAAUAUAAUAUCUUGAUAAAAUUUAAAAUUCAGCAUAAAAGUGGAAGAAUAUCAUGAAUUUUGAAAACCAUGAUAUACUUGAUAGUUUUUAAAAUAAUAAGAAAAAAAAACUUAAAAUAAAUUUGUAUCGUGAUUUUUUAUUUGCUAUAUAUUUAUUGAUAUAUAUUUUAUUCCUUGGAAAUCGUCAAAGAGUACAUUAAUUAGUUUCAGUUAUAUCUAUUGAGUUUAAUUAAAACGCAUAAUUUACGUUUUAACAUUUAAAUAAAAUCAUUUUGAUAGUUUAUCUUAUUGACAAAACGCAUCAACACGUACAUAUGAUAAGGAAUUACCAAAGGAAUAAUAAUGUACUCAGUAAGAAGACAAUUUAUUCAUAAUAUCAUUAUAAAACCGGAAAAUCUUACCUGAUGUUACGGGAGACUGUAUAAUCAGAGGUUAGACAUUCCGUACUUUUUCUUGGCUACAUAUAAAUGGGUGACCUCAAGUUAUCUGAAACUUGAUAAAUGUCCUUUGAAAUCGCAUGUUAUAAAUAUAAUGUUGAUUGGCAACUACUGACUAUUAGUUUUAUAUCAAUACUGUCAAUUCGGACAUUUGUGUAACUUGGGGUACCAAUCAUCAAGUUGGUUAACGGGUCCUACUUCAGAUUACAGGUAAUCAAAAAUUGAUCAGCUGAUCGAGUGUCCAUUUUAUAUUGGUCUUUGGUAAAAUAUGUCUCAGUUGUAUAGCACAAUCAGUUACUUGAGUACAGCUCGAUUCGGAAAAUCAUUUUAAUAUAUUAACAGACAAAAGUCUGAUUAAUCAAUGACUAUAAAUACAUUAAGUUCUAUUCCCUACCCCCCGAAAAAAUACCCAAAGAAUAGAAAUGUUUUUUUUAUUUAGUGGGGUAAUCACUGCCAAUGGUCGCCCCUACCGGGUUUUUUAGUCUGUGCUUUUAUAGUGAGACACAGGCGAUUAUUACUACGGUUAAUUGUUACAAUGGCUAAAUGAACAAACACGUUAGAAAAAUAACGUGCGUCGAAACUGGCGUCACUUAUAUUGAAUCGUGGACAAUUUGUUCAGUUCCACAAAAUAAACGGGGUAUAUAUAGGAGGGGAAAUUGGUCGGGUACAAAUGUUUGUGUUCCCGUUCAAAAACCGAUAUGACGUGCCUGGGUGUAGGGCAGAGAGACGUUUAAUAGGCAAGUAUAGGUAUCAAGAAUCCGGUCGAGAAACCAGUCAAUUCGGCGUUUUCAAACUAUUACGCGAGGUCGGAUCGCACUAUUAUAAUAUUGUCGUUGUGAUUAUUACACAAAGACGAAUAUUAUUGUAUUAUUAUUAUUAUUAUCAUUGUUAUACGAGCGUUACGUGCGUGCCUUAGAAUAUCCGGAGUAUUGUCUUAAAACAUCAUCCUCGCGUUCUAAAUGCGGGGGUGAGGAAGAGAAAGAGGAGAUAGGAGUGAGGAGAGAGCGAGUGCGUAGCGUAUAAUACUGUUUGUGUGAAGCACGUGCUACAAACAUAUUUCAAGUUAAACGCCCGCCCCGUCCGUCCCGCGAACUCCCGAAAUGCGGUCUCUAUAACGAUUAUCGUCUGGCCGCCGCCACCGCGCCGCCGUUUUUACUACACGGGUUUUCCGAUUUUAACCGCGGUGCGAUUCACGGAUUUUCUAUAUCCGUGAAAUAAAUAGUUAAUAUCACUUACGUAAACUGCGUACGUAUACGAACGCGAUCUAUAAGUUUCACGGUCCCAUUCGCUGCCAGCCACUAUAUGCUUCGGGCAUGAUUUUCUCGACCGUGAUUUUUUUAUUAUCAUUCCGGAUCGUGCAAUUUUGGGAUGUUUACCAAAAUUCAACGAUAAUAUUUAUUCGAUAUAAUAAUAUGAUAAUAUACAUUCCAAAACUCAACAGUUUGGUGGGUGCUCAAUAUUUUAUCGUUCGUUCUUGUUGUAUUAUUCAACGUUGCCGACCGAAUUUCCGUUGGAUCCAAAAUUCAAUUUUACGAUUCGAGUUUUCAACUGCAUUUUCAUUUAUUUCGUCCACUGCUGAAAAACGUUGUUCGAUUGGAUCUCAUAAAAAUGAUAUAUGGAGGCAUAACUAAAAAAUAAUAAUAAAAGACUAAUGUAGAUGAUAUAAUUACUGCUUUUGAUCAAAAUUCUUCUGGCAGUGGUGUAUAUAUUCUGUAUAGUAACUUUAACUAUAGUUUAAAGUUACAAAAUAAUAUGCAAAAUCAUCUACGUUACUAUAUUCUCAUUUCGUUAAUUUUUUCUGUUUGUUUAUUUAUGUUUACAUUAAAAUGCAUAUUGAUGAAAACACUUUUCUACAUUUUAUUUAUUUAUUUUGUGGAGGGGGGUCGAUUAGAUCAAACUUCCUCCCCCAAUACUCUCAUAAUUCAUGAAAAAAUUAAAUACAAAAUUCUGACUUUGUUAUUAAUCUAAGGUACUUUUUAUAUUUGAUAACAUAGGAAAAAUUGUACAAUCAUGGUUAUAGUAUUAGAAGAUAAGGCUUGAGAGACUAGGAUAUCAAACGUGACGAGGCAAUUUUAUUACUUAUUUUACCCGUGUAUUUAUACAUUAUAACAGAAUUCUUACAUGCUUGGUAACAAAUUGCUUAAGCUUUUAAUAUUUUAUAAUUUUAUAAUCUAUUUAAUCAAUCUGUUGAGCUGUAUUAAACAGGUUCAUACCUAUCUAAAAAACUAUUAUAUAACACUUCUGGAAGAUAAAUAUAACGCAUGUUUAUUAUGUAUUAGGUACGUAAACGAAACUCCGUAAAAAUGUAGUAGGUACCUUUGUACACUAUAUAUGAGCAGUGGUGUUGAUAAUUAUAUGCUAAGUAUUCCGUUUAACGUGAUACACGGUUGUUCCCGAUGAAUAAAUUUGUUUUUUCAUUUACAUAUAUAUAUAUAACAUUAAGUAUGCCUUUAGUACAACUGUUUUACAAAAAAAUAAAAAAAAACAAUAAACUAUUUUGAUCUUUUUUAUUCUUAGCACUCGUUAAUUUAUCUUCUGAUUUUAUACUUGUUUUUAUAGUAACAAUAACAUACUUAAAAAAUGAAAAAAUAAAUUCAUAUUCUAAAGUGGAAUGAUUUUCAGAAAUUUUAUAUAAUACUUACAUACAUAAAUAUAAACUAUAGUUACAUUAACCAUAAAAUGUAAUGUCUAAAACAUAAUAAUUUAUUCUUAUGAAAGUAGAUUAGCAUACGUGUUUCGAUAAUAAAAUUAUCAUGUAUCAAUAAAAAACAUCACUUGUCGGAGACGAAUUUUUCAAACAACAAAUUUCCACUAAAAAAAAAAAAUAUGUUUACCAUAAUCUUUGAUAGCUUAUAUUUUUGAGACAUACGUAUUUUUUUUUUAUUAUUUAAUAUUUUGUUAAAACUACAAUUAUACUAUAGGUUCGUAUUAUUAUUUCAUGUUUACCUUUUUUAGAUUCUGAGCGGAGUGAGUUAUUUUUUGAUUUUCCCAAGUUUUCCUAAUAAAUGGAAAAAACCUGAGAAAAACAUGAGAAAAAACAGAAAAAACAGGAAAAACCGUAGAAAAAACGGGAAAAUUGGUACAAUAUUAAAAAAAUAUUAUUAAAGAAAAUAUAUUAUAUAUAUGUAAUUAUUUUACCAUAAUAUGAUAUAUAUAUAUAUAUUUGACAAAGGGACACUAUUAACCGAACUUCGCUCAGAAUCGUUUUUCGUUAGCAAUGGUGAAACAUUGCGUACAGAUAUACAUUCAAUUUUACCUUUACCUUUUCAACUUUUUACCUAUAUGAUAGUGGCUCACAUACGUGCGAAAUAUGUUCGUCUUUUUUGCUUUAAUUUUAGCGUUCGUAAAAUAUAAUAUUGUGCCCCGAUUUAAAGCCCAGAGUUAUUAUACAUUUUGUGACACAAAAAUAUUAUAUCAACAUAGAUUUUGUUUUCUCGUAUGGAAGAGAGACACAAUUUAGGCCUUCGGCAAUACGAUUUUAUGUAUUCAUAAUAAAUUUCAGCUCCGGUUUGAGAAUUUAUUUUAACAUAAUAAACCAAUCAAUAUUAUGUUCAGUGUCAAUUAUUGGCAAUGUAUAAACAGGAUCGAUAUGCAAUGGAAACUUGAAUAUAGUUGUGUAGUGAUCCUUUUUAUUGUGUUCGAUAGGAUCUAUUCAUGGUAAAUUAUUAUAAAUUUAAACUUCAUAAUCUAAUUAUAUUGAAGUCAUGCUAAUGAAAUCACAACUAUUAUUAAUUAAUCCUGGCCCACGCGAUGAUAGUUUUAACUAUCGUGAUAAACGCGAAAUUUACAAGCAAGAUAAUAAAUAUCAUAAACUAUCGUGAAAACCACUAUCAUACAAUCAUGCAUGCGUAGUUUUCGAUUGUUACUACGGUGAGACCACAUACAAUUAUUAUUGUUUUAUCUUACGUUUCUAUCGAAACUGGCUCUACUGUUGACUAUAAUAGUUUCUAUUGUUAUUCUAGUAUUCUACUAUAUCAUCUGUAUUAAUGUGAACUGUCUAUGUGAUAGUUUAUAUCGCAAUAGUUGCCACGCCAACUAUCACGAUAGCAACUCUAUUACUACACUAUAAUAAUCUGGUUAUUGUAAGUUUCAAAGUACAUUAAUAUUUAAAUAUUUGAAUAUCUAAUGAUACUUAUACACGAUACAAUAUAUGCAUGCAAUUUACGGUAACUUUAAAUAUUUGUCUAAAUUACGAUAAUAGUAUACACGUUAUAUUAUCAAUAAGUGCUUAAACAUGUUGUGCAGAGUUCUCGCUUUGGCGACUAUUUUAGACGGGCAUAAAUCGGUAUUUUACUUUUAUACUUUAAAGUUGAAUGAUAAAUUAUUUAAAUUUAAAAAAAACGGUUUAUAACAUAAUUAUUAUUAAUUUUUUUUAACGACAUUUAAACACGAGUUUUGUGAUUUAUUUUGCAGUUUUCCGAAAGCAUAUUUAAACUACCGAAAACCCCGAUAAAUGUUCUAAUUGUGUCUUAUUGAGUGCCUUAAGAAAAAGGACACGGUGAAGGCCCAGAAAAAUAUAGGUAAAUGGUGUAAAUGUGUAUAAAAGUAAAUUGGAAAGAGGUGGUACAAGAUAGGUGACUUGAUAUUAAAGCAGAGGCCAAACAUUUUAGAGAGCUAUGACAGAGAAUUAAUAAUAAACAAAAAUGAUAUUCAUACACAUCGAUAUAAAUUUAAUGAAGCUAAGCAAAUUUGUUUAAGGUAUCAUCUAUAUACCCAGGCUGAAGAAAUUAAAUUCGUUAAAAAAUGUUUGGUUAGUGAAAUAAAGUCAUCGCUUAUAUAAGAGUGUAAAAUAAUAUUUUUAUUUUAUAAAUUAUUCAAAGAUUAUAAUAUAAUAAUAUGUUUGUAUAAACGGUGUAAACUACAAGUGGGUUUUGGAGAAAAUGUAAACCAUACACAUAUAAUAAUAUUAUACUAGUUGAUCCCACACGGCUUCGCUCGUGCACAGUUUUAAAGGAUAAUAUUAUACAAAAUGGCGUAUCUCCUUGUGACGUCUUAAUCAUAACCAUUAUCGAAAAAAAAAUCAUCUACAUUGUCAGGGCCGGCUAAAAAAUAUCGAUACCUUGUAAAGUCAAUUUUUAAUGUUACAAAAUAAAACCGUAUUUCUCUGUUUUGACUCAAUAUCUUUAAAUGAAAUUUCGAUCUAGUUACUAUAACAAUCCAACAUUGAACUAAGUUUAUAUGGUAACUAUAUAGUGUUCGUUUUGCGUAUCCUCGUGACAAAUAUUGCCAUUCCGCGGAUUACCUGGUUAUUAAUGUUUUUGUUUUAACUUUCAUCCAUAUCACCAUAGGUGGUACGGAUGAAAUACGGAUUUAACCAUAAAUCAACAAAAAUAAUUAGAUUUUCGUUCUAAAAAUAUCAAUAACCCCGUAUAUCACUACCCUUUAGAGUUUGAAUGUGGGGAAAAGUGUAGCCUAUAAUAUAAUAUAACAUCUAUUAAACAUGUUUUAAAAUCUAAAAAGAGAACCGUACACAAAAAAAAAAAAAAGCGUUUAGUGAAAACUCUACAAUUUGAAUAACAUGCAAUAUUAUCGCGUCCUCGCCAACGUCGCCGAAAUUAAAUAGUAAAUAAAUAACAUUAUCGUGGGUUACAUAUUUUAAAUGCAAAUUGUAUUUAUAUACUUUAUUAUUUCGGGUGAAGACUGAAGAUUCCACAUACAUUAUGUAAUUAAAACACACAGGGAUGAUCAUUAUUUAAUAAUAAAUAUAAAUUAUAAGUGUCUAUAGUUCGUACAGGACGGAAAUUAUUGCAUUAACAAAUUAUUAAUGAUAAUCAAUUCAUCGUAAAGAAAUUCGAGUGCAAUGUAAUUUAAUUUAAUUUAUAAUGUAAUUAUUAUUAUUUCAUAUUUUUAAUAUCAAGUGAAUAUCAAAAAUGUCAUUAUUUUAGUAAGCUUAUUUUAAAUAUUAUUUCUAAAUUAUUAGACAUUUAUAUAUAUUUAUAUUUUUAAUAGGUACUUAUUUUGAAAAUUUGAUUUAAUUACCACGAGUAAUAUGAAAACUUGCAUUUUUGUAUUUAUAAUAUUGAAUAGAAUAAUUUAUUUUUUAAACAAUUAGGUACGAAAAUAAUAAGCAAAAAUUUGAUUUUAAAAACGUUUGAUGAUGAGAAUUGUAAGGAAAAUAUUAUAUAUAAGUACGAUAAAUUCCCACUUUGUAUAAAACGAUCUGAAAAUUAUUUACAAAACGUUAAAUAAAAUAAAAUAAUAUUUUCAUAACUAUUUUAUAAUAUUAAUAACUAAAAUAUCAGUAUUACGAAGUAAUGCAUUAAUUUAAUACUUUGUACCACUGUCUAUUAUACUGUAUUAAUUAGUUUUAAAUUCUAAAAUAUGAAUUAUACACUUAAAUGAGUGUAAUUAACAAUCUGACAUACCAAAUUAUGUAUUACUACCUAAGAUUUUUGGAUAUUUUAUAACGGUUUUUAAUUUUAUUUUUAAAUGCUCAAUGCACUUAAUCUCGUAAUAUGCUUCAUUGAAUUAAAAAUUAUUAAAAGUACACACAUGUAUUCGUUAUAAAUGAUAAAACCUUUUCUUUUUUAAUUUUUUAUUGAAUUUUUCCAAGCUAUACAUAUAUUUUAUCACAAUAAGUAAAUGAAUCCAAAACGAUAAAACUUAAACAAAAUUUAACAGAUUGUAUAUAAAUCUAUGUAUUACACGAGCUAUGUAUAAUAUAUUUUAUCUUCCACUAUAGCUUAAUUAUAGACUUGAAUGAUCUUUUGCUGCGACCGUGCAAAAAAAAAAUAAUAUACAAAUUGAUGAUACGAUGAUAAUGAUUUCAUUACUUUUAAUUUUUUAUUCUUUUUUAUGUUGUAAUUAAGUUAAACAUAAUUUUAGAGACCCAAAUAUUUCACAGUAUAUUUAUAUUGGUAUUUUAUAAAUGUGAUUAUGAAGCUAUUAAUAGAUAUUUAAUAUUUUCGAAGUUUUUUUAGUUUUUAUUAGCUUUUAUAUGGACAAAAACUGUUUUGACCUAGCAAAAAUGUUUGAAAAUCUAACACAAGGUUCAUUAUAGUUUGAACCAAGUUUAUUUAGUAUUAAAAAAAAAGUUGUAAUGUAAUACAUCACUUUUUUUUUAAACAGAAUCAUGCACAACAGAAUGUUUCUAAAAAAAUGUUUCGUUGCGUAUAGAUAUAAAUUAAAUAACCCUAAACCUACCUUCUUAAUUUGCUACCUAAAAUAGUAGUAUAUCCAUGAACAGCCAGAUACGUUUAUAUGAUUUCAUUUUAGGAAGGCCAAUUUUGAAAAAUUAGAAAAUAUCAAAAUCAUUAACAAAACCAAAUGUAAGUUUUAUUUAAAAAAAAAAAAAAUUGUAAAUUUUGGUGGAGCGGACAUUCAGGAUUCCGUGGUUUUUUCUGGGUAUAUAUCAUCGAUGUGUAUAUCAACAGUAUCACUUUUUUUUUUUUAAUCGAUUUAAAUCUAUCGACUAUUAAAUAUAAAUAUUAAGUAAAAAAACCGCAAUGAUAUACAUCAUAUUAAAAUACUUAUAGCAAGUUUUAUUUUGUACAAAUAAUAAAAAGUAUAUUUUUACCAAGUUUUAUGUAAAAUGUUCUAUUUAUUUAAUGUAAACGCUUAUAUAAUAGUUAUUAAUAUAUUAUUAUAAAUACAGUUUUCGGAAUACUUUAUUUGUAUUAAUGUUAUAAAACUUUUCUCAUUCAAAACUAUUUUAUUUUAAUUCUCACUGGCUUAUAAAUUAUGGAUUAAUUUAAUUUAAUAAUAAAUACAUAUUUUGAAAUAUGGACACUUUUGAAUAAGUUAUAUUGGCUUGUUUAGACAUUUUUUUUUUUUAAAUUUACUAAAAUAUAAUUUAAUAAAAUUCAAGAGAUUUAUAAUUCAUUGUUUUUCAACUAAAACAUCAUAAGAAUAAUAAUUAUUAAUUUAUUGAAUAAAUAGUAUUUCUUACAGAUAUCGGGUAUGCUAAAGAUUCGAAAAUAUUGUAUAAAGUAUAUAACCUUAAAUGACAUUUCAACGAAAAUUUAGAUCAACUAUAUAUUAUUUAAUCAUAGCUGUCUAUUAAAACAUUGUCAUUAAAUAUGACGAAAAAGUUUUGGUAUUUCGUCUCAAACUAUAUAUACUAGACUUAAACCAGAGUGUGAGGCAAGAUUAAUUGUGUUGUCGAGUAUUUUUCGAGUCUCGAAAACUAAUAAAUAAAUAAGACCCUCCAGUCACCGCACGUGAUGAGUUUUGGAUCGCAUCCAAGCUGACAAAUACCCACCUACUAUAUCUUUCUUCGUUCUUAAUAAUAUAUCAGAAACUAUUCAGCUAUAUACAUACAUAUACAUUCAUGGUGGCACGAGAUUAUAUUAUAUUGAUUUUCUAUAUUAAUAUAUUUCCUAAUUUAAUAAUAUUAAUGUCAUUAAAUAAUGAGGAAGGUUUUUAUAGUAAAAUAAUAUUUAAUAACCGUUUGUAAUUUGUUUUUAACGGAAUUGACAUGAAACAAUGUACAACAUGAUUUCAUAAAACUUAUAUUUUUUUAAUUUUUAUUACUAUGAUUAAAAAUAAAGAAAUAAUAAAAAAAAAAAAAAAAAAAGAGCUGUUACUGGGAAUGGGUGCUGCCACUGUUGUAAGUGGGUAGUAGGAAAGAUGGGAUACAUAUAUAGUUGUUAAUUUAUGCCUGUAACCAACGAUAAAUCGUUGAUAACGAAAAACGAUUCUGAGCGGAGCUCGAUUGAUAGUAUUACCUUUUCAACAAUAUACAUGUAAUAUUAUAGUUAAAUAAAUAUAUAUAUUGAAACAAUUCGUAUGGUCCAGUAACUAGAUUUGUUCCACAUAAACGAUUUUCGUCAAAAUUUAUAUUAAAAUUCUUAUAAAAAAAAAAAAAAAAAAAAAAAACACUACACUAAGUGGAUCACUACUUAUAAUGACCCUACUAUUAAAUUUUCAAUCAAUUCUGUUAGGCCUAACAAUUUAUUUAUAGAAUACCUACCCAAUAAAAAUUAAGUAAAAAACUCGAAAAUUUAAAAUGUCUAUAAAUAUACCAUAUCUAAAAAAAGGAUUUAUAUAAGUUACAUGAAGAUUUUUAAUCACUACGAAUAUUUUUAACAUAAAUAAAUUGAAAAAAAAUAAUUUAAAUAAGUAAAUUUAAAUUACCUACUUAAAGAUAUAUUUUUAUAAAUUUGUACGUUUUUAUCCAAUUUUCCAAUAUAAUUACAGGGAAAAUCAAAAAACGAAUAUAACUUACUCAUGAUCUAAACUAAAAAUGCAACAAAAAAGGUCUUUUGUUUUUUAUCUAUUGGAGUAAUAUUUAUGGUAAAACAUAAGCUUUACAAAUUUAAAAUAAUGAAACUGUUAUGAAUUUGAAAAAAAAUCCCACAGUAUACUCGUAUAUUGUUAUAUUUAUAAUAUACUAUCUUAGAUAAUAAUACUAAUUGUGGGAUGAGUUUGAAUUUUCUGUUCCGAUAUCAAUAUCCUUUGAAUUAACUGUAAAGGUAUACUAGUAAUAGUUAGUAACUACCUUUAGACUUACUAAAUAAUCUUAACGAAUUAAAAUAAUAAUAUAGUAAUAAUAUUAUUAAUAAUAAUAUUAAAAUCCUCAUUGGAUAUAUCUAUAAAUAUGAGUUUUGAAAUAUUGAGGAAUUUGAUAUUUUAAAUAAUUUGAUUAUCUUAAUAUAAUAGGUCCUAUGCGUCGUAUCUAGUCCACUUUGGCACUAUUAUAUACUUAUUAUAACUAUCUUGCUGUUGUAGUUUGUGUGUAGUAGAAGUCAGAGUCCAUAAAAUCUUGUUCUUCCUCUUCUAGUUUUACCUUCCACAUUACUAAUAACUUACAUUACAUAAAAAACUUAAUCUAUUACUGCAUCCGUAUAAUAUUCCAUACGAUAUAUUCACAAUUUAUUUUUGUAUGGAGUCCAAUGCUGUUUGUGGUUAAUACGAGAUUUUAUUAUUUUAAAAAGCUCUUUUCCUUUAUCCAUUUAUCAUUUCUAACUAUCUCGUUAUUAAGCAUUAUUUGUUCUCUUAAGGUAGAAAUAUAGAUUUGUAGUUGUUCAAUAAUUUCUCUGUUAAGAAUUUAUGAUAUACAAUAUUUAGCUCUGAAGGUAUUAAAAAUCUUAAUUAUCACAAUAGUUAAUUGUUAUAUAAUAUGACUGAGAACAAUCUAAUUACGUAAACGUUGAUGUUUAAUCUCUGAUUUUUAAGAAAUUAUGUUUAUCAUUUUUCAAUUAAAUAAAUUUCCAUGAGCAUAUAGUUAUUUAGCAGCAUUUAUUUGGAUAAUGAGAAAAUUUGUAAUUUUCUUUUAAAAGUAUUCAAAUAUAGGUAUAUUUAAUUUUGUAUGUUUAGUUGUACAGUAUUUUUGUAAUUCAUUUAUUUUUUCACAUUGCAUUUUAAUUUAUUUAAACUUAAUUUUAAACCAACGACAACAAUAUGUGUAUUAUAAUGUAAUAGUUGUAAUAGUUUAUUUUUUAAUAUUAUUGCUUUUCUAUAUAAUAAUUACUCUACUGAUAUUAUAAAUUUAAUUGCCGAGAAGAACGAACAGUUAAGACGGUGUUGGGUUUGCACAUAAUUGUAAAACUAAUGAUUAUUUCUUAGAUUUCAUUCCAGAAUAAAAAAAAUAUACGUUUUCAGUUAAAUUUAACUUCAAAGAUAACUGCAGUUUUUAAUAAUAAAUUUUCUUUAUUUUAUUUUAAAUUUAAACGACCAUAAUAUAAAUGAAUGUAACUAUUGUAAUAUAUUGUAAUAUUAUAUUAAUUGAAAAAUAAUGAAAAUAUAAGGUGAGGUUUAAUGUGAUAUGAAUAAUUAUUUAUACCUAUACAUGUACCUACGUGUAAGCGUAUAUAAUUUUAAUAAUACGUGAAAAAUAAAUUUAAGUUAAAUGUCCGAAGAAAAUUAAUAGAUUUACAUAUACAAAUUUUAGAUUCUCCUUAAAAAAAUAUCCUGCCACGCUUUGUGAAAUUACGGAAUUUAAUUAAGUCGCACCCUGUACAUUGACUUCGGGUGAUCGGGACGUGACGCAAUUUAAACAUAAGCUAUAAGUUUUUUUUUUUUUUUAACAACCAAAUUGUAUAUCCGGAUCCGGAAGGUUACGAAAGUGAUUAAUGGUUAAUAUUACUUAUAAACAGCUUUGCAGAUCUCCCGGGUGUACUUUCGACGGAAUGAAGACACAAGUGGCGUGGAUAGGAUUUCAAUAUGAUCUGGAAGGGAGUAGUGGAGGCCAAACAAUUAUUAGGUAGUAUAUAACGAUUAGGCAUAUACAGUAAUUUGCAUUUUUAUAGUUUUACUAGGUACUAAAAUUUAAAUAUUUUCGAAAAUUUAUUCAGCGUAUGAAAAAGAAAAUCGCACGAAGGUAUGUCCCGAUAAAAAGAAAGUCACCCUAUCGCGCACAUUCGAUUUUAAUUAUUCUUUAUAAUCAUUCGUCUCAUUGUCGUAUCCAAACGUUCAAAACUCUGAUUUGACCACCCACAAGUAUCAUUGUACCUAUACGGCUAUACCUUUUAUAUUGAGGAAUUAAAAUUCCAGAAAACCCGGAAAAUUAAAAAAAGUACUAGAAAAUAAUUUUUAUGUAUAAUGAAAAAAGUACAUGCAAACAGUUUCAACUUGUUUUCAAUUUUUCGGGAACAAAAAAAAGUUUCUUAACAAAUGAAUUUUCUAUACACAUAUACAUAAAAAAAAAUGAUUUCCAGUUUUUCCAGAGAUAUCUUUGUUUUCUAGAAUAUUGAUCCUUAUUCUCACUAAUGAAUUACUAUUCCUGCCUCAUCGGUCUUUUCAUUAUCGUAUACGUAUAAUACACCUUUAUAUUCACACGCGGUGCCGGUUAAUGGAUCCGGACCGGGUGUUCCCUCUCCUCCGACAGCAAUCCUGGUUUGCUUAAAAUAUUAUAUUUUGUGUAACGAACGUUCAUUCAUCGAUUCAUUUAUAACAAACUGGCGUGUAACGUCGAUUGGCACCACUCGGUGUUUUAUUUGUUUUAAGAUCCCCGGCCGAUUACCGCCUGCCCCACCGCUUUACGGCGCGUUUCGUGCACGAGUUCUUCUCGCUCCCGCUGAACCAUACGUACGACAUUAUUAUUUUCCGCGACUGCUUUUGACUUCGACCGGGACUUUUGCUCUCGUUUUCGCUACAGCACAUUCAUAAUGCGUAGCUGAUUAAUGUGCCUGUUUUGUAUAUGAAUAUAAUAUUAUAUUAACGUUAACGCACGUAAGCCGAUUAAAUUGCGACAAUUGCCCCGCUCUUCAUACAUCAUCCCCCCCGGGAAUUCAAUGUGAUUUUAUCCUUUAGGUAUACCACGUUUGUAUAAUGGUACCUAAUAAUAUUAUAUUUUACAAUAUCCCUAUAUAUCGUGAAUAAAAAACGGUGGUGUAUUGAUUUUUAAAAAUAUUGUUUACUGUUCAUAAUAUAGCAUUGAAAAACAUAAAUUGGUAAUAGUAAAUAGAUAAAAAUUUUUAUUAAAACUAAAUAAUUUUGAGUACCGAUUAAAACGGUUAUGUACAUAAUCGUAUUAACUAUGUUUUUAACUAAAAAAAAUAUUUGCUAUAUAGUAAAAAUUUUAGUUGCUCUGACUAAAAAAUUAUGGAUAAUAUUAUAUAAUACUCCUUUUUUCAACUUUGUGCCAGAUACUGAUCAUUAGGGCCUGAAUUUGAUGGCCGAAAAAUUUUGAAAAAAUGCACCAAAACAAUAUGCAUAAAAUGUUAAAAAUAUUUUAUUUGAAAAAGAGUUAAAAUGCAACAAUACCAUCAAAAAAUGAUUUAAAAAAAUGAAAUGAAAAUUAAUAUUAUUUUUAUUUAAAUUAAAAAUAUCACGCAAAUAUAAUUCUAAGAAUCUUUUAUCUUACUUAAAAUAAAUAUUCUUUCUUUUCGAUUUUGCUUUCUCGUGUUUCUUAUUAUUUUACAAUUUAAACUGUAAACAUGUUAUUAAUAUAAUAAUCAUUGAUUACUGUACACCUGACUUCACAGAAAUGCUCACGAAAAGUAUAAAUUUUAGAAAAACUAAACAUAAUAUCUAGUGUUUGGUUCGUCGAAUCGUGGAAACGUGAAUAACUUAAAAAUAUGAAAUCGUAUGUUUUCAAAUUUUUCAAAUUUAGUUACCAGAGCGUGAAUACAUGACAUAUAUUUCAACAACUCCCUAUAUUCGAACAAAUUUUCUUUGUGUCAACAUUUAGUAUAUAAUUAUAGCAUGAAUUUGCACGAAAAUUUGUAGGCUUUAUUUUAGAUGUUAUAUCAAAAAAAAAACCCUGAGGGCUGGAGACACGUUUUUCCUUGAGGUUUAAAUUAAACUUUCCAAAAUUUUUCCGAUGGCCAUGCAGUUAACAUGAAUUCGUAUGGUUGGUUCCGAAAUUUGCACGAUAUCUUCUUGUAAGUAAAUAGAUGUUUACAGAUUUACGCAUUUUACUAGUCCCCUCUUUUAUAUCGAAAAAACCCCAGAGGGAAAAACUUUUCUUUAUUCAAUUUUUCUUUUUUCUUUUAAUUGGUUGAUCUAUGGUGAUUCUUAUUUUCCUGUUAAUGGGCAUAAGGCUGAGGAUUUCAGAGUAUAUUGCUGCGCUCCCCAACUGCUCCUUAUAUGUUUAUGCAUAUGUAAUAGUCUGUUUUAUGUAGUUAUUUAAGAUUCUGAGCAGAGUGAGGAACGUAUUGGUUUUACAUUGAUGUUUAUUAUCUUUAUUUUUUUAUUUUUUCUGAAAGAAAAUCUGAUUGUGGUAGUCUUUAUUUAGGGAGCCAUUUUUUUAAAUUUUUUUUCCAACUGUUUUAAUAAAAAAUAAGGAUGUUCGAUGUUUUCAAAUUCUAUAGUUCUACAUUACGUUUAAUUUGUGAUAUCGUAUGCUUCUGGUUUUCUCAAAUGAAAAGGAUAUAUUAUUUGGGUUUUCAUCAGGUUCAGCUAUAAGUGGUUUUUGUGGAAGUAAAUACCGACCUUUGUCAGUAAGGGGAUAAGUGGUAAAAACCUUUAUGUGGUGUACUCCAGGCAAUAAAUCCUAACGGCUAAAUUUUCUGAAUACAGGCUCGCAGACUUGUACACUUCUAAUAAAAACAAUAAUAAUAAUAAUAAUAUAAACAAGAAAUGGUUGAUGGUUUAUUAUUAUUUGUAAGUGAUUUGGCGUGGUAUUUUGUUUAUGUGCAAUAUUUAAUCAUGCGUGUGUAUGUAUAUUGUACAUACUUGUCUACCUAUAACAGAUACAUAUUGAUACAGUCAUUUUUUUUCAGGCAAUAUUUUAUUUUAUCAGUAUGCUAGGUUACUUAGUAGGAAUUGAGAUAUUUGUCUCUACACCUAUUUAUACGUGUUUAAAUUUUUAUUCUAGAAUACCAAAAAUAAUAAAUCGAUUAAAUAUUUUAUCUUUUGAAUUUUGCAUUAUUACUGGAGGGAGAAUCUAUUCCGGUUUUUUUUUUUAUUUUUGAGAAAACUAAAGAAAAAAAAUUGAGAUUUUCGAAGGGUGGAAGGCUGGUGAAAUUCACGUGAAUAUGUGUCGGUACAGUCUGUCAGAAUAUAUCGCUAUCACAGAAAAUUAUUAAGAUAGUUGAUUAUUUUAUAUUUUAUAAUAAUCUAUUAGGUAGGUAAUUAAAGUAUACGAUCCAAUAUUUAAAAAUAUUUAGAUAAGAAAUGUAGUUUUAGAUUUUGAGUGCAGUGAAGAAUGUAUUGGUUUUACUAGAAUGUUUAUUAUUUUUUUUUUUUUAUCAUAUUUAAAGAAAAUACGAGCACAAAUUAUAGCUGACGUUUUAUUAUUUUUAAAUAGAAUUAAAUACCUAAACAAAAUUAGUAAUUUAAAAAAUUAAUAGAGCUGUCUCAUAUGCAGCUUUAAAUCAUGGUAAGAUGAACUUGAAAACCAGCUACUUUUUGUUUUUUCAGAGCUCAUAAUACAUUUUAAAUGACUGAUAUUCUUAAAAAACCUCAUUUAAAUUUGACUCCAGAUAAAACAUUAUAUUUUAUGUUACCAUUUUAUUGAAUCACACUAGUAUAUAUUAUAGUUAUAUAGUAUAUACUGCAAAAAAUUACAAUAUUCAAUUAUUUAUAUUUUUAAAUAUAUUACUCCUAUUUUGUUGAAAUAAUUGAUUUUAAUCGUAAACGUUGGAUAAAUACAUUCACAAAAAACUUGUAUAAAAUAAUACUACCUUUAUAAAUCUAUUAUUAUUUUUUUGUAAUUUUUAUUUGAACAAGUAUAUUUCAAAUAAUAUUAUGAUAAAUUGUAUUGUUAUUUCGAUUCGAAAUAUUUCUUUUGUAAAUAUUUUACAAGCAAAUUAUCUAAUUGAAAUUACCCUGCAUUGUAAUACCUACUACCUACCUACUUCUACCUACCCCUAACUUCACAGGUAGGAACGUUAAAAAAAUAAAUAUACUUGUACAAAUAUUUAAUCGCUAUAAAUAUUAUUCAAAGAUAUUUGAACGGUUUUUGUGAUGUUCCAAGAUUUAAACAAUUAUUUGUUCGAAAGAUGCACGAAACUCGUUAAAUUCGCUGGAUCAAACAAUAACAAACAUGUAUUGAGAAAAAAUACCACAUUUCUAUGUACAUUUAUUAUCCCAGUGAUACUAUACUAAAUAAUUACUGCAUAAUAUAUUCGAGAAAUGCAUUAUAUAAUAUAUUACAUUUUAAUACAAAUUAUUAUUUCAUAUCUAUAUAAAAAAACUCCACUUUGCGUUUAAAGUGUGUAUAAUAAUUUAUUAUAGUCUACAGACAAUGUGAUAUAUUAUUCCUAGAGUAAAUUAAUUUUCUUUACUAGGAUUACAUUUAAGUAUUGAAUAUUAUUUUUUAUAAAAGUAUAAUUUUUUAUUUAGUUAUAUUAUUUAAAGUGUUGAUACUGCUGAUGGGUGUACCACUGUUUUAGGAGAGAUUUUAGAAGGGAAGUUACACAAUAAUGUGGAACUUAAUUUAUAUCUGUACUUAACGAUAAACUAUUGCUGACAAAAACAAUAUUUUGAACAGAGUAUUUUUAGUCAUAUUUUUUCACUUGUUGCCAAAAUAACCGAGAGUGUAUCAACAUUAAAAUUGAUAAUAUCGAUAAUCGAUAAAGUAAAACAUGUUAUAAAAAUAUUCCUAUAAAGUUUUUGAUCGGACAAGAUUUCUGGUAGAAAAGUUGUUUACAGACACAAAAAUAAACCUAUUAUUGUAAAAGCAAUACAUUCCUUGCUUAUACUUAAAAUUAUUGUAAUUGCUUUAUAUUUAUGUUUCUACAAUGGUAUCAGAGAAACUGGAAUUUUCAGUAGUUAUGACAGCCAUGUGGAGCAAGUAGAGAUUUGGGAGUGGUAUACUUUUAUAAUCUGUAAUAAAGUAGAACAAAAUAUAAACACGUGAGAACAGUAGAAUACGGGAUAAUAGCUAGAGUGCUAGAAUGCGCAAUGUCACGUGAGUCAUAAAUGUGUAAACUUUCAGAAAAUAAAACCGUGCUGUCACGCGUGAGGUCGAUAACGUGACGUGACUUCAAUGUGGUUCUGGAAAAUUUAAAUACUGAGUAUUCUACACAAUUUACACUUUUUCCGCGUGACGUGAGAUACUAUGAUAGCACGUGAACUCACGUGACAUGAUAAUAGUCUAUUCUCACCUUUAAGCGACAUGGCAUCACAGCGAUUCGGUUUGUUUAACUCACUUGAUGACGGAGCAUAAUGGAACGCCAACACUGUGGUGUACUAAAUUAUUGUAAUGACGUUGAAAUUCUAUGCAAUCAGCAACUAGAUGGUAACCGUUUUUGUAAUAGGCCUUCACGUCGUUUAUAGACAUUUUAAAUUUUCGAGUUUUUUUUUACUCUUCGUUUGGUUUGGUUAUGGGGAUAUAAUUUGUUUGGCCCAUUUAUUAUUAUAACUAUACGCUGAUUUAUUUAUUUAUUUCCAACGGUUUCGUAUUCCAAUAAGUAAGGACACAUUUUUACAUCCCAAGUGUAGCAAAUAAUAUUAUACAUUUUAUAAUGGUGAAUUUUUUUUUCAAACAUUUUGUUUCAGAAAAAAAAACUUUUUGGGGAAAUUAAAGUGGUUAUAAAGUUUUAUGCAGGAAUAUCUAUAGAUAGGAAUUUAAAUAUAUAUUAUUAAUGAAAAUUUAAAAAGGUAAUUUUUAAUUUUUUAGUACUUAUUAAAACUGCUUUUCAAAAACUGUGAAUGAUGAUGAAAAUAAUCACGAACAAGCGUUUAAAUAAAUAAAAAUUAUAAUAUAUUUUAAUAUUUCAUAUUUACAACCUUAAUAAUUAUAAGUUAACAUAAUUAUACUUAGCCUGAUAAUUUCUGUAAGAAAUUAUUUUCAAACUAAAGUUAAAAGUUCUAUAGGAGUAAUGAGAAGCUGUAUUUAAAUUUAAAUACUUCCGUAUAUUAUAUUUCUGUGUUUUGUAAUUUUCACAUCUUCCUUUUCUUCUACUAGUUUACGGCUUUGAAGACCACAUAGACAAACGAUGCUCAUUUACAUCACUAAAUUUUAAUAUAAUUAUAUAAAUUACAAUAUUUUUGUUAGACAAAUUCUAUUUGAAAUUAUAUAUUUUUAAUUACUAUUGUUUAUAUAAAUAUUAGAUGCACGUUUAUUCGGGUGACCUAGUUUAAUUUUCUAAAAACUUCAUUAAACAAAAAUCGAAAAAAUGUGAUACCAUACAAACAAAAAGUGUUUUUAUAAAUAAUUUAAGUUUUUUUUUUUAAGUGAGUGGUUUCGUUUAAAUUUCAAAUUAUAUCUCAAACUUUAAUAUGUAAUAAUAAUACAGUACCUGUUGAAUUGUGCCUAUAAACCAACAAUAACAAUUUAAGAUGUAAAGUAUGGCAGUGUGCUUUUAUUCAUGCAUUCGAUUGGUCUAGAAUUUUAAUUUUGUCAAUCAGAAAUUAUGGUAACAAUUAAGUCAUUAUCUUAUUGAAUAUUUUCAUUUUUCAUUUUGUUGUAUGUAAAGUAAUGUCCCCAGUUUUAUUAAUUAUAAUUGACCCGAACAAUAAUGGUUGGUAUAUUUCUGUGUACGAUUUGAAAAAACUUACAAUGUUGUCUAAGAAGCCUCAAAUAUUGAAAUACGCAGCCAUACAAUGUUACGAUUAUGAAAUAAAAUAUUUUUUAAAUAAUUGAAAGCAAUUAAAAUAAUAUAAUAUGAAUAUCUACAUUUUUUUUUUAAAUAAUAUAAUAAAUUAUAUUAUUAUAUUUGUAAUUUAAUUAAGAAUCGUAUAAUAUUCGUUUCUGGAAUAAAUAAAAUAACUAGUGUAGAAAUAACUUUACGAUCGUUACAAUUAAUUAUUAAUGUAAAGUUCUAGUUCCGCUUUAAAAAUUAUUUUACUUUUGUUAAAAAAAAAUACUUGGGAAUAAUAUUUGUGUCAUGAUUUGCAAAAGAAAAGGUUAAUACGUUGCGGGUAUAUUAUCUGUCGUCGCUACGCUUAUUAAACAGAAUACUGCUCAUGGGUAGGUCACUGGUGGGAAGUUGGUAAGGUAUAAUAUAUAGGUAAUAGGGUAAUUUUUUAUAGGGACUUAACCAUUAAUUACGAUUAAUGUAUUUGUUAAAAUUUUCCCGAAAAUAGAAGGGAUACAAUUUCGCCAACAGUAAGAAACGAAUUUUACUCUCUCGUAAUUUUUACCUCAGGAGUAAAAUUUUACGAAUAAUUUAGUUUAUUUAUUGUUUACGAAUAACGAUUCUUACGUUUAACGUUUUGAUAAAUUUAAAUUGAAAAUUGUAUUAUUAUAACUACCAAAGACUGUAAUUUUUGAGGUUUUAAUCAAAAUUUGAACUUUUAACUUAUUUAAAAAAUAAUUGUGACUUCGAAUUUUUGAUGUUUGGGUAUUAUAAAAACACAAUUUACGAUGAACCUAGAGUUUUUCUUAGCCCAACAUCAUAAUGCACAGAUGGACAAAAUUAGACGGACGAAAAAAACGUUCCGUCGCGAGUCACCAAAUUAUCGAAUUGCUCGCGAGCAGUUGUGAUAAAAAAAAAAAAUAUAAUUUUAACCGGCCGGUACCUACUCCUAAUCAGUUUUUAUCUUUAAAGUAAUUUUAAUAUCCGCGUGGUUGGAAUCUCGUUUGAGGUGGACACGGUUGGUAGAGAGUCAGUAGUGGUAUUUUGUGGACGGACAAACAGUGCGUUGGGUGCUCUCGCUCGUCGUGGGGUACGUGGUAAAAAUACCUAUAUCGACACAAUCGUACUGUUAUUGGAGUAAAAGCGCGUACCGGUUUUGAACGUCACAACUUAAUGAAGAUCGGAGUAGGUAUAGAUGAAAGGGAAAGCAGGGAUGAAUGUAUAAAUUAAUUCACCGUAAAAUACAUAUACAUAUACUCUUUGACUGCCUCAGACAUAAUUAAUUAAGAAUAAUCUCGAACGUUAACCAGAUUAUACAGGAAAUUCGCAUUCCCGAAACGUUAGCAAUCAACUACACCUCUGAAUUCAUUCUAAAAUCAAAUUUGUUUGAUGUACACCGAACGGUAUGGCAAUGCAGAACUCACAAAAUGUCAACAGUGACUUCCUAUAUUACGUCCCACUAUAAUAUCCCAAAACUGUACAUAAUUUUAAGAUUUUUUAAAAUGACCUAGAUGCUAAAUUAGGUAACUGAGGUAAAAAAAAAAAAAAAAAUACAAUAUAAUACAUGUAAUUUAAAAUUUAUUUCAAACAUUUUAUAAAAACUUUUCGACUGUGAUGGGAAUGAAAAAUAUUGUUUUUACUAUGAUGUUUUUUUGCGGCUGUAAAUACAUUUUCUACUAGAAAUCUUACCCCAAUCAAAAAACUACAUGUGACUUGUUUUGUUGUAUUUUCGAUUUUGUUGGUGAGUAAGAAAGUAAUUUUUUUAUUUACCUAGCAGUUUUUAUAAUAAUUGGGAAAAAUAACAAAAAAAGGGAUACAUUUACAGAGCAGCAUUAAAAUUACACUAUUUUAAAUUUUUACGAUUUAUGUUUUCCACCGGAAACCUUGCACACAAAAUGUUUUGUAUUUCAAUAGUUAUCUUGGAUAUUUGAUACAAUUUUAUUUUGAAUUUUUAAUACAUUGAUACCCGUUGACGGCUACUCCCUUCUCCCGUCCUAUAUCACGGUUUGCUAUACCUUCCAUCUUUCAGGUAUAAAAAGUAUAACCUAUUAUUAUAUACUUCGGAAACAAUAAGGAAUCGAUAUAGAUUCACCUAUACUAAACCUUAAGUUUUUACGCGAUUCGUCCCUAAUAGUUAAUAAUAAUAAUUACGGACACAGCGUUGACUAUACUGUAAUAUUAUUACUGAAUACGCAACUGAAAAUAAAACGCCGAAAAACUGCUGUAAAACGAAGCGUAAUAAUGUUAUUAUUCCUAACUUACAAAGACUAUUGUUAUUACAUACUAUUAUUAAUAAUUCAACUACUUAGACUUCUAAUACUCAUCUAUCGGGGUGAAAAAUUAGUUAAUAAAUAGUGCUUGAAUCUUAUAUGUUAUAAUCUAAACGUGGGCAUUAGCGGCAAUAUUUUCUGAGAAAUAUUAAUUGUUUUCAUAAAUAUGUACUUGACGAGAAUGAUUUCCACUGAUUGCCACCGCUGCUGCCGCCACUUAUUUUGUCAAACGACAAUCUAGGUGACAUUACUUCUGUAUUAUCGAUGCCAAGCGUGCAGUGUUCACUACAAUAAAACGCAAAAUAAAGCAAACUUGAAUACUUCGAUAGAAAACGAAUAAUCCACUGAAUAAUGCAAUGUUAUUAUGUGAGUGCGCGUAAAAAACAUUUACACCGGUUGAAAAUACAACACAGACGACAGACGACAUGGUAAUAAUAUUAUAUUUCCAAUGGUAAUAUUAUUAUUAUAUUAUACGAAUAAUACGGACUAAGAAUUAACACAGUAAGUAUCAAAUUUUUAAAAUACUACCACCGAACACUAUUUUAGUGCUGAGCGCUAGUUAGGGGUCGGUUAGGUUAGGUUAGAAUUACGACGGUUACCGUUCGACCAUUAAAAAUUUACAUUAAAUUUCAGUCUGUAUCCUACCUUCCCAACUUCUCACCUACAACAGUGACUGUACCCACGCGCAUUAUGUCCGUCUUUUUCGCGAUGCUUAUAGUAUUAAAAUGUUAUAUAACAUAAUAUAAAACAAUAAAUAACUAUAUUUUAGUAAUUAUUGUUUAAUGAAAAAUUCAAGGAAAAAAAAAUUAGGGAAAUAUUCGGUAAAAUUUAAGUAAAACUGUACAUGUGCUUAUAAAAUAAUGAAUCCCCCAUGACAUUUUCAAAACCUGGUGGCUUGGCUUACAAUAACACAUAACGCACACGGGUAAUUCGCAACGGGUUUCCGAUCGAUAAAUAGGUCCAUGCUCGAAUUAAAUAGUAUUGUAUCAGUGCGACCAGUCCCGUGUAAGAUCAAGUUCCCGACCGGCGUUUUCAGAGUUAUCAUCUGAGCGUAUCUGACCAAUACGAUCCCAUGAGUACAAUUGAUUUUAGUCUAUGUUGAAUGACUUCGGACUUUUGCUGGUUCACAGAUUAUUUCGUAUUAGUUUCCGAGACGCGCUGUGCUUGAAAAACUGGCUUCGUAGUAUUACCGAGAAGAGUGUUGUUAGUACUGUAAUAUCUUCCGCGGUGUUCCAGGUAUAAUUGAUUGAUAAGUUUUCAACUCAUAAAGUUCUGCAGUUAUUUCUUAUUAAUUCGUUCUAUGACGUAUACAUUAUUUUUUGCAGAGUUUAAGGUACUAAAUAAAAGAAAUUUAAUAAGUGAAUUAAAAGUAUAUGACUUUUCGGGAUCUCUCCCAGAAAAAUAUUAAAAAUUCGUCAGUAAAUAGAGUAAUUGAAAGUAUAUUUAGACGUAAAAAUAAACCGAUGCUAGCGAAACACGAUUCUGAUCAGUGUAUUAUAGUCACAUUUUAGAUUCAGAUCGGAUCGAGGACUGCAUUGGUUUUACAUUUUACCAUAAUUUUUUUUUUUUUUUUUUUUAUUAAAAAUUUGUUCCUAUCGAAAAAUACCAUAUCAAGAGAUUUUUUGUUUCAUUUUGAAUCUAGUUAGUGUAUUGAACGGAUUAUUAUUUUUAAUUUUUGAAGUGAUUUUAUAAUAAUUGAAAACAGAUAGGUAAAAAAAAAAAACGUAUUUAGAGUGGUGUAGACAGAGGGAAAGUAGUAUAAUAGUACUUGACAGUAUUAUAAAUUAUUGUUUUGUAAUAUUAUUAGAACUAACCUGUGUAGGCUUUUCGAACGUAGACCGUUAGUGGGUCGUCGUUUUCAUUCUGGAGAGGUAACCCGAGACUGUUUUUGGAUGUGCGACAAUAAUAUUCGGUGGCACGAAAACCGGGAAAACCCGUCGAACGUGUCUCAAAGAGCUCGCGAAGGAAGCGCAAAUUGUUUUUCGGGAGCUAUAGCUGAGCCCGGCUAAUCUAUUUUCGAAAACGUUAUUCAUCAAACGAUAAAGCAUAUAAUUAUUAUAACGGCACAACGAUUAGGUAUCCGCUAAGCGAAUCCCGCGCCCAACGCCCGUCGGCCAAAGUUCGUCGACCCGUAUCAUCAAAGAUUAAUAUCAUUGUGCGAAAAUUCUAUUUUUAGCCGUCCAAUCAAAGAAAUAUUGACUUCGGUAACCGUUGAGGGGCCAACGGUCGUUACUAACAUAAUUUUGUUUUUUCGUCUGAACCCGGGUUUUUAAGUAAGUAACUGAUAUCUUGUGUAGUAAUUAAUAAUUUUGCAAAACCGGGAAAAAACGGGAAAGUUUACGGAAAUAACGAGUUAGUUUUUUUAAAUUUAAUUUUUAAAAAUGUCCGUAAAUACCUGACAUUUUUAGAAAAUGGGAACUUCUACAGGAUUUUCAUAGAUGUGGUAAAAUUUUUAAAACAUUUUGAAGAUUUUUAAACUAUGUGUUAACACUUGACAUUUUCUAGUUUUUUUUUUUAGUUUUAUUUGGUAGGUUUACAUGGAUAAAAGUGUGAAAAUUGAACAAGAGAUUCAUUGUAAGUUGUACUUGGUGGUCAAAAAAAAGUCGAGAGCAUUGAAUUUUUUUUUAGUAAAUGUUUUAAGAUUCAGUUUUAAAAUGUUGACAAAAAAACUUUAAAUUUCGGUAUUUCAAAACAUGUAUAAUCGAUCAGAAUCGUACUUCGUUAGAAAUAGUUUAUAGUUGCUUACAAAUAUAAAUUGAAUAAUUAUAUGUACAUCUUACACUUUAAAUUUCUCACAUACGGCAGUGACACACUCGUUUCCAGUAUUUGCUCUUUUAAUUAGGCAUACUUAAUUUUUAGAACAGUGUGCUUUUAAGUCUUUAAAGUAAUUAUAUUUUUUGCUUUUAUAAUUUAUUCGAUGAAACUCUGCAAACAUUGAUCUCAAUUAUCGUUUUUCGUAAAAUAAUUUUACGAUGUUUAAUUAGACCUCGAAUUAGACCGUAUUUUUUUUUAUUUUCGUAGUUUGUUUUUUUACCACAUGAAAACUGUGAUUGGAUCGGACACGCUUGCAGUAAUGAUGGUGGUGACACUUGAAAAGCUGAAAACACACGAGUAAACGGUUUUUAAAUUUUCGCUGCGGGAUACAAUAUAUAAAUUAUACGUUCGUUUUAUUUUAAAUUCUGAACGAGGAAUCUAGUAGUAGUUUACUAUGUUGAGUGGUUUUUUUGUUUUGAUUUUCUAUCUGUAAACAUGUUUUCUACUAAAAACCUUGUUCCGAUCGUCAAUUAUAAUAGCUUUUGAGUUUAUUAGUAUUGAGUUAUGUUGUAAUUAGUUUUGCUAUUUUUACAGAAUACUUACAUACUUGCCACUUCUAGACGCGAUAAAAUAGUUAGUAUAGGUACAUACUUUUGAACAAUGUGUAAGCAUAUUUUCAAAUGCCCGAGAUUAUUUAGGUUUUAUGUGGAUACAAUUUUAGUUUUGUAAAUUUAAUAAAAUUCAACACAUAUCUACUUAGUGAUAAAAAAAAAAAAAAAAUCGUUUACCGUUUAAUCAUAAUAAUAAUACUAAAAUCAAUAUCGUUUAAUUUUUUUAUUUCGCGUGAUAAUAUUAUUGGUACGAUAUUAAAAUAUUAUACUAUUAUAAUACACAUAACGUCUUUAAAAUUUUUAUUUUUCGUCGGGAUUCUAUGGCUGGCAAUUGCGAUACUAUGUUUGUGUAACCCCUUCCUCUUCCCUGAAACGGACAAUAAUUGUCGUUUUUUGUGAUGCAGUGUCAAUGUCCGUUUUUGUUAAUUUACCGUACAUCCAUACCAAACAUAAAUACUCGUAUUAAUUACACGUGCUAAAAAUACUCAAUAUGCUUGCCAUUGGUUUUAUAUUAUAUUAUUAUACACGCGUAUGUGUCAGUCUCAUCGUCUAACGCGGUGUUGGUAUCGAACACACUGUUACUGAGAAAUAUGUUCAGAAUAAUAAAAAAAAAAACGGCGGCGUAUGCGACUUUUGUAAUAAAUUUUAAGUCCACAUACGUACGCACUUAAAAAAAAGUUCAAAAUAAUAUGCACUUAUGCAUCAAAAAACAUUGAAGUGUAUACCAAAUAUGCUCUUAAAGUUAUCAAGAAAUAUGAUAAAAUAUUUUUUUUUAUGGCAACAAUAUGGUGUUAUACAAAUGAAAUGCAAUCAUGUUUCAAAAAUUGUAUUUAAUUUGUUUUUAUUUUUCUUGUUUUAAAAUAAAAAAAUGUAAAACAAAACUAAACUUACGUUUAGAGCGGUCUAUGAAAUAUUCAAAACGUAAUAAGUUAAUUAGGCAUCUAAAUAUUAACAAUGUAGAACCGAUAAAAAAAAAAAAAAAAUUUAACAUAUUUUGAGUUAUUGAAAAAAACAUUAAAUUUAAAAUUGAUUGACAUAAAAUAAAACUUAAAAAAUAAAUAACUUAAGAUUGUUUAGAGCACAGAAAAUUAAAACGUCAGUGUAUUACGAUUUACGAACACGAUAAAAUAAAAAUAAAAAUAAAUUGAGACUACGAGCUAUUUAAGGUUUUUUUCUAUCAUUGCAUCUAUUAUCUAUUAUAAUUUUGUAGCAUAAUACAUAAUAGGACAGUAUGACCAAAAUAAAUAAUUUGUCAAUAUAAUUUCCUGGAAUAUAUUGCUGUAUAUAUAUAUAUUUUACAGUUUGUUUUUAAGAUUUUUUUUUUAAAUACAAAAAAAAUUGAGAUAUAAAUAAAAUUUAUUUUUUAAAGUUUUCUACAAAAAAUAUUAUUCUUUCAAUAUGCCGUAAUCCAUAAAAUAUGCAUUUAUUUUCACUAAAAACAUUUUCUUAUGCUACAACUCCUUACAAAUUUCAAUAUUCCAAAUAAAAAUAUGAAAAUCCAUACUAAUCCGGAUUACAUACUAAUAAUCAGUCUAAUAACAAUACGUUAACAUUUUGAAUAUAAUCUUAUAUUAUUUUAACAUCACGAAAUGGUAGUAUUUAGUGUUUCGGUAUUCUACUAGCUGUGUUCAAACAAUAAUAUUAUCGAAACGCACGUGAUAAUAAACUAUUUAUUUCCCGUUAUAUAUACCACGUAUAACGUUUAAAAACUUUAUACGACCUUAAUAACACAUUUACAAAGGGGUAUAGGAUUGUUGUUUAUCACACAAAAGAACUUUUUUUAUUGCACUCCGUUGGACAUUCGAGAAAAUUAGAAAACUUACAUUACAAGCGUUUUCAAACUAAGUGCAUGCCAUUUGGAAAGUUCUGAAGAUUUUUUUUUUAAUAUUUUUUCUUAUUUCUUAGUUUACACACGUUUCUGAUAUUUAUUUAUUUAUUCUUUUAAUAGUCACAUGUAUACUUUAUAUACAAUAUUAUACGUGUUAUUUUUUUCUUUAUAAACUAUUGUGGAGUUUACAGGUGAUUUCUUUAUAGAGGAAUAAACAAUACAUUUCAUAAUAUUCAUUUUAAAAUUAAAUUAACCCUAUAGAUAUUCAAAUGGAAACGUCUACGAAAUUUCAAAUUUUAGUGAAUUCCAAGUGUUUCAAUUGUAAAACUAUAUAAAGCUUUCGUGAUUAUAUAAAUUAUAAGAAUCAUUAUCGAUAACGUAAUAUUCUAUCUUCUGUUGGAUAUAGAAUUACAACACGAAGACAUUACGAGUUUUAUGCAUUGGUAGCGGUUUUACUGUUAGUAUCCUUUUUUUUUUUAAACGGAUAAAUUUGAAAACGUAUUUUCUAAAAGAACCUAUGUACUUUUGAGUAUAGAAGUAUUUCGAAUGAGGAGAAUAGAUUAUCAAUCUUUUGCGCCGUCAAGUUGUCGAGUCUGUUGCACGUUUCUAAAAUGUUAUUUUAAAGAAGUUCUAAAGGUGUACGGAUCCAUUUACAAACAUAUCGGUAUCUCCCCGAAUAUGGAAGUUUACCGGGAAGCCAAACAAAUGAUUCUGUCAGUAGACAAUAAAUGGUGAUCGUUUGGCUAGUUUUAUACUUGACCAAAACAAUUAAGUGUGUAAUAGGGUUGGUAGAGAAAAAAAAUAUAAACACUUAACUAAAAUAUUAAUCCGUUGAAUAGUUUGAAAAUUAUACUAUUAGAGUUAGAGAUCACUACAAACAAUAAUAUUUUGGUAUUACGCGAUUUAGGUAGUUUCAAACAUAGCUGAAAAUUAAUAAAUUGGAUAUUAUGCAAACUUCCGAACAAAUAAAAUUUAGCUACGCAGUUUUAUAUUAUUAAUGUUGUAUUUUCUAACGUUAUCGUUAUUAAUACAACUAAUUUUUUUAUAAAAAUGAACAACUAAGGUUAAUUAUAGGUACAAAUUAAAAACCCUAUAUUAUAUCCAAAUAAAUAAACAUAAAUAUUGUUGAUAUUAUCAGGAAAUCAAUUACUUAUUUUCAGAAUUUAACAACGGGCAAAAUUUAUAUAUAUUUUUUUUAUUAAUCGUUGAGUUUAUUUUGCAAGUUUAAAAAUCCAACUAUUCAAAGACGAAUUUCAUUAUUUUUGUAUAUUUUGCAUUCAUUCUUUUAUUAUUUUGUAUUGUUAAAUAGAUAAUUAAAUAUUAUUUUAUCAUAACAAAUACAAAUUUAAUGAACAGAUAUUUUAAUCAAUUCUCUUGUUUAAUAACUGAAUAAUAUAAGCGAUUGAGAACACUAAUUCAGCAAGCCGUAGAUAAUAAUCAUAAUUCAAAUUUAAAAAAAUUAUUAGUAUUCAAAAUAUCAAAAAUUACUGAGUGAACUAAAAUAGGUAGUUUUUGUUAUCUUUAUUAAAUGAUUCUGAUUUUGAAAAAGAUUAAUUUAAUAAACACGUAAAUUAACGGAUAUUGCUAUAGUUAUUCGAAAAUUAAUAUAAUGGGUCAGGCAUAAUAUUCCACUGUUUCUAAACCUUGCAAAUUAAUCGCACCAUCUCAAAAUAUCAUAAUACCAUAAUUUUGUAUUACAGUUCUCAUUAUUUUUUUUCUAAUAAUACAAUUAUAAAAUUAAUAAUAUUAAAAAGUAAAUUUGUUACUCCAAAUAACACCUAAUACGUGAUGCAAUUUCUAUAAUAUUAAACUCACUAAGAAACAGUACCAACAGUUAUAAUAAAAACUUUUUAAUGUAUUUUGAUUGAGAAAUAAUUAUAACAUUUUUCUUUAUAUCUCAUUCGUGUUCAAUUUUCUUUUGAAACGUAGAUACGUUCUUUUAUUUUAUUUAUUUGAAUAAAUUGUUGAAGUGUACAUUUUUUUAAAGAUAAAAACAAAAGAAAAAUCUACGUAUUUUAAACAUAUCAAUUGUAUCUAUAUAUUAUUUUGUCAGGGAUUAAUUCAUGAAAACCAAUUGCGAUAUUAAUACAUUAGUAAUUGUAUUAUUCUUUAUUAACUUUAUCCUUAAAAAAAUUAUAUACUAUAUUUUUCGAAGAAAUGUAAAGAUUAUAUAAUUUGAUUUUAAAAGUAAUGGGAUACCUAAUAAAUAUAAAAUAUAUAUAUAUAUAUAUUUAUAAACCUAUACAAAUAGGUACUUAAAAUAAAGAAUUGUUUAAUCUAUUCGUGAAAUCUAUAGUUGGAACACUUUUUUCAACUAUGCAGUAUCUAUAUACAAAAUUAAAAUCGAGGUUAAAAUUAUUUUUGGAUUUAAGCAUACUUUCUGAAAUUCUUACCAAAUAACUUAAAUAAAUAAACAAAAUAAAUAAUUGAAUAUGGUUUUAUUAUCACUCUGUUUAUUCAAUAUGUUCGUAGUACUAUACCUGCAUUAAACUUUUAAUUAAAAAUGCCAUUACCGAUUGAUCAAAAAUUCGAAAUACCCGGACUCAAUAAUUAAGUGUGUUACUGAGUUCCUAAAUCAUUAUAAUAUUCACCACUCUUAAAACUCAUAUCAAUGUUAAUUAUUUUAAUAAUUCUAAAAAAUUAUGUAAUUUUGUUUUAUUUUUAGGAUAAUAUAUAAUAUUCUCUAACUAAAAUUAUUUAAAUUAGUCUGAAAAAUCCCCAUAUAACACGUGUAAUAUUUUAUACGUAUUUAUAAUUCCCUCCGUUGAUUGUACUUAAAACAUAAAACAUUUGUAUUUCAUUAAUAUUGCCUUAAAAAUUAUUUAUAUAAGAAAAAAAAACACUUCGUAUAAACCAACACCUUUCUUGCUCCGUUCAGAAUUUAAAAAAUAAUAUAGCCGCGAAUAAAUUAAAUGUUUUUAUUACUUUAAAUGGAGAAAUUGGACCUUAUCCAACACUAACAUUGAUUUUAAAAGAAUGGGUUUUAAUUAGAUUUUUCUACAUACCUACCAUGUUUUCACAUUCUAAUUGGCUGCAUUUUUCUUUAAAGAUCCAUUUUAUUCUACGAAAAUAAAAAAGUUAGUAGUUUGGUUAAUUACAAUUAGCCUUUACACUGUUAUUAGCAGGCAGCAAGCUAUACAUGCCAAGAAUAUGUUUUACGUGAUCACAGGGCUUAUUAUAUGGAAUUUUAUCGUAUCAAUUAUAUUGUUUAGCCUGAUGGUCCAUACGAUCAGAAUUAAUAUCGUGAUAGUAGACAAAUUCACAAAUAUCAUGAUUAUAUUAUUAUAUUUAUCAUGAAUAAUCGUCGUUUGAAUAAGACUAUAGUUAUAGUCCAACUAAGGUAAAAGUAACAUCACACCACUAUAAUAUAUGCAAAAGAAGCUAUAUUAUCUUGAGGGAAAUAGUAGCACAGCCUGGACACAUACUAUAAUAUACCGUUCUGUUUUACACUUAGUAAUAUACUUUUAGAGACGUUUGUGUUGAAGUUCACUCUACGAUUAUGCAUAUACUCUCAACGAAUAGAUGCUGUCUCUAUGCUAUUUGUUAUCACGAUAUAUAAGUCAACUUUUAUUAAAGUAUUUAUUACCAUGUUAAUCCGAAUUUAUGAAUGAACCUAAAGAGAAAAAUGAAUAAUUUAAUAUUAUAUACAAAAUAAUUUUUAUUAUUAAUAAUAAAUGCUAUAAUGCAUUAAACAAUGCAUUAUAGCCAUAGUGUAAAUAGCGUAAUUUUUUCAGAGUUUAGGAUUUUUGACUAGGUGAAAUAUAUAGUUAAUUUAACCUGACCUAACUAAAAAUUUAUUUAAUUAUAAAUAUUCUCUUAAUCUAAUUCAAAACGAUUAGAUUAUGAAAAUUAAUUUUAUUAUACUUUGGAGUACAAAAGCAAACUCGAUAGGACAUUCAUACAUCCAGAAUUCCAAUCAAUUAUAUCAAAUGCUUUCCACUUUAAUUGGUACUUCUCCUAGUUUUUCCACAUCUUUCUUCACUAAGUCCUCCAUUCUUAUUCCUGGUCAUUCAAAUGGUCUUUUCUCUAUUGGGUUUCAUUCAAGGCCUAUUUUUUGUAAUAUUUCGUAUUACACAUUUUUUAGUUUAUAUAGUUAUUUCACUCAUUUUUUUUACCAUUUAUAGUUGUUUACAAUUUUUUUUUAACAAAUAUUUCUAAGUUUAAACUUUUCCAAGAAGAAAUUUAUGGGUAAUGUAAGUAACAAUCUUAAAAAAAAAUAUUACAUAAUAUCAACUAGUUAGUACUUUAUUUAUACAUUAUUCUUUCAACAAAUUUGUUUAAAUAACAUUCGUCUGGGUUUAAUUCCUUAUUCAAAGUCAGUAAACUAAUUAUAACAAGUUUUAAAAUAUCAUAGUAAUAAAUAAUACAUUUUAAAAUACUUUGUAUUUGAUCAAAUCUCUUUGAUGUACUAAAUUAUAAUUACUAAGUAUAUUCUAAAUUUGUUAAACAAUUAAAAAACACUACAACAACAAAACAUAGUUGAGAAAUAUUUGUUGAUAACAUUAUACAUUUUAUAAUUCCAUACUACACAUUUAAUAAUUUAGUAUUACAUACAACCGAUUUGGUACUACACAUAGUGUGGCGUAUUACACACAAAAAUAGACCCUGGUUUCUUUUUAAUACUUUACGAAGUAAUGGGCUAUAGUUUUUCCAGAGAUGUCUUGCUAUUUCUUGUCCUUUGUAAUCUCUUAUUUCUGUUGGCUUCCACGAUGUUUGAUUUCUGAUACAUGUAUCCUAAUGUUUAAAAUAUUCUGUGUAUCAGUAUGUACUCGUAUUGCGUUUGUAUAAAUAAUUUAACUUAUACAGGGUUAUCAAUUUAUCGUACUCAUUAACUCGGAAAGUAUGAACUUUUUUUCGGAAUUUGUUAGGUUAUUGUUGUUAAGUUGUUAUAGAACAUUUAAGAAUCGAGUAGCUCUAUAAUUUUAGCAUUGUUGUUUUUUUUUGUCACUCUUACUUUUGAGGGUUAGCAACCUAUAUUAACAAUUCUAUAAAUAGAUGGAGUAUUAGUUAAAAUACGUUUUAGUAUUGAAAUUUUUGAUUUCCGUCAAACUGUUGACAAGAUAUUCCACUUUUAAUAAGUUUGGGUCGGGUGAGAGUAUUAUUUGUGUGGUGGCACGGCAUGCGACGUUUUAAUAAUGCACCACUAUACUCUUCCUCGACCAAAACUUAAAAGUGAAAUAUCUCGUCAACGAUUCGACGCAAAUCAAAAAUUUAAACACCACAAUUUAUUUUGGAUAAUACAAAAUACUCCAUAUUUUUAUGAAAUUUUUAUUAUAGUUUUAAAUUUGAAAAUCAAAAGUAGGUAGUGGUUUUAUACUCAAAAAUAAUGGUGACAAAAAAUAACAUAAAUGUAAAAUUGUAGAGUUUGUUUCUUAAAUGUUCUAUAAAACAAAUUUCGAAAUAAGUAAAUACUUUCUGAGAUAAUAAGUGUCUUAUGUUAUAUUGAUAAACCUGUAUAGACCCAUUAUUUAUGAAAGAACGGGACACUGCUGCAAUGUCAUAUGAUUUUCCAUAGUAAUUUGUACGAUGUAAAAAAAUAAUAAGCACGUAAUAAAAGCCAAUACAGUUUCAUUUUUGCCCAACGAAACUUAUAUUUAUAUAAAUUUAUAUUUAACUUAUAUAAAAAAUAUUUUAUAAAUAUUAAAUAACUAAAUAAUAGGUACUAAAUUAAUAUAAUUAAUUAUAGAUUUUAGCCAAUAAUGUAUAUAAAACCGAUUAUUUUCUCCUUCGACUCGUUAUAAAAAAAUAUUAAUUUUAAGCAACACAUCAAAAUAGUUUUUCGAAUGUGACAAUACCGUUACAUUUCUUAUAUUUUUAAUUAAGCUCAAACUGCGUAUUCAUCUAAUUAUUAUUUAAUAUAAUUUGUCGUCAUCAAACUGUGACAUUUCAAAAAUAAGCUAUCAUCUAUUAUAAUAUAUCAUCUGUUGUUUCAAACAAUAUUCGGUGUUGAUGUAUUUAUUACGGUCUAAAAAUGUUUCCUGUUAAAAAUCACAUCAUUAUAAAACUAUAAUAAUAUAAGCUUAUUAGCUUCAAUGUUUCUCCAAGAAUCUAAUAUUAAAGUUUAAUAUUACUUAUUAAUAUUAUUAUAUCAUUGCCAUAACUACAUAGUCAAUUGGAAUUUAUAUUCACUAUUUAACUAUUAACUGAAUUUUAAGAAUAUUUUAUGUAGUGAAACUAUUUUAAUAAUAUUAUAUAUUUACUAGGUAUUUGUAUUUUAUAGCGAUCAAUUUAAGACUUUUUGAUUAAAAAAUCCUUUACAUUUGUUUUAAAAUAACUACCAUUUAAAAUGUCAAUAUUUAAUUAAGAAAUAUUUUUACAUUUUUGAAUUUAAAGUUGUUUGAUAGAAUAACUGAUGUUUAUGAUUUCCUUUUAAAACAUUUUUAACUCCAGGGAAUAAUUUUAAUCGUGAAAAAGACACAGCACCUAUCUAUUUUCAAUGUAAAAUCUCUUUAGUUAUUAUUUUUUUUUUUUUUUUAGAACUAAUUAGUUAUAAUAUUAUUUUUUUUCUCUUUUAUUCAGUACAUAUAUUGUCAUUAUAAUUAGACAAGUCCGUGAUUUUUAAUAAUUAUUAUAAGAAUCAAUCUUAAGAUAAUACAAUAAAAUUAAGGAUUUUUAAUAACAAAUAUUGAUCCGGAAACCUAAUGUAUUACAUCUCUCUAAUGCGUACAAAUCCUGUAUACAAAUCCACACUUUAUUAAUAAGUAAAGUUUUUAUCGAGGUUUUUAUGCUGAUGGCAUGUAUAUAUUUAACUGAAUUUAAUUAUUUAUGCACAUCCGUGGAUUACGAAGUUCUAUAAAUUCAUUUUUGUUUACCCUGCAGUCCGCACUGUCCGAAACGGUUUUUUUUUUAUAUAUAUAUGUUUUUUAUAUCCAAUGAGAUAAAAUGGUCGCUAGAGGGGAAUUGAAUUUUAUAUAAUCUCUUUUAUUUUAAAUAAUACCUACAACUUUCGGAUUACUAAAUGCGUGUGAUUUGAAAGUAAAACUCGGAUUUUAAAUCUCGGGCUUUGAUUCUUUUAAAUGGUUCGUCAACUAUAAAUAUCAAAAUGGUAUACUUUUCUGUAUUUAUUCAUUUAUUUUUCACACUAAAUCCGUUUGAUUUUCUUAAUUUAUUUAAAUUGUAGUUAGUCACAAAAUAGUUUGCAAUCGAAUUUGCGUAAAUUACUGACGUUAUAAUCUUUUUAAAAAUUAUGUUUUCAAAACGAGAAAUUAUGACCUUGUAGGUACCUCUAUAUAAUAUAAUAUAUAUCUCUGGUGAAAACAGCCCAGUAAACUAAGUACAUAGAAUGCAUUAAGAUAAAAACAUUCGAAGGUGUGGCUGAACUGGAUUGUAAAUUAGCUGUACAAAACAAAAAAAAAAACCUCUGAAAUGGGUAUCCUCUAGUUUUUGGAACAAUAAUAAUUAUUAUUAAAAGGGAGUGUACAGGCGGAGAGGGGCACGCGCAAGAUUUAUUUUACAUUCCCUUCUUUUAACAUGGUUUAUCUGUAUGAUCAUGUAUAGCGGUGUAUAAUAUAUGUUUUAUGUUUCAUUUCGCAAGAUUUGUCUGGUUUGUCCCCUGCACACUACCAGCAUUCAUAUUAUUAAAUGCUCUUCUCGGUUACUACCACCGUAUAGACCGUAUAGACGUACUGAUGCUUCAUUUAUGUUUAACUUUUAAAUGGCCUUGUGUGAUUUAGUACCUAAAAGAUGUUUUUUUUUCUAUAUUCUCAAUAGUAUUCUAGUCCAAAUUUUCCAACUUUCUCUUAUUUCUACAUAUUAUAAUAUAGCUUCAGGUUUCUUGUUUGUGAAAAUCCUCGGCACAUUAUUUUGUGUUUGUUUUUUAUUUUAUUAAAUUUUCUUUAAUUUUGUUUUGUUUUCAUUACUUUAUACCAACUCAUCUUUUGUUAACUUUUUAAAUUAGGUAGGUAUUAUAAUUAUGAUCUUAUCGUACAUUCAUCUGAAAAUUCUAAAUAUUCAAGCAAGUUUCAAACGCGACGUUUAUAAUAUAAAAAAAACUGAAUACCAAAAUCCUAAGAAAAUGAUUUAAUUCUAUGAAAUUUAAAAAAAAAAAUAAAAUAAAUAUGUCCCUAGGAGUAAUAUAUUUGUUAUUAUAGUAUAAUAUUAUUUACAUACUAAUAUUGUUGUAAACAAAAUUUUAAGGUGGUUAAAAUAUUUUUUUUUUUUAAUUAAUUUCUUUAUUUUUCAGUUAGUAUUUAUGCAUCAACAUCUUACAGCUUUUAAUUAAAAAAAUAUAAUAGGUACACAUAAUAAUUACUUUUAUUAUUUCAUAUUUAAAGAAAAAAUUCUCGGGAAAAAUAUUACUAAUUAUGAAGAUAAUUAUCCUAUCACCUGAUUAAGAUAAAAAUUUAAUUAAGGCUGAACCCUUCCUAAAUUAAAUACAUACAACUUUUGGAUUAACUGUAUUUAAAGUUCUAAAAACAAAAAUAAUAAAAAAGUGUAGAUAUUAGUUAUAAAAUAAUGCUAACAAUAUUUAACAUCAAAUAGAAUAAUACCCAUUUACUAAUAAAUAAAAUAAGAAAAUUAAAAUAUGUAGAGCUUUCUCAAAAAUAUACAUUUGUAUAUACAUCACUUAUACCUUAUAAUUUAUUGAUUCAAACUAUAUAAAUUAUUUUUUAAUUCAGAGAUAUACUAUAAUUUGUAUUUAAAAUCGAUAAAAUUAUAUUAGCUCUAAAUAGAAUUAGGAUCCAAAGUUAAUUAAAUAUAAUUUGUUGGACAGCAAAUACCGUAUGAAUAAAACAAUUAAAAUGAUAUCAAAGUAAUUUGAUUAGUUUAUUAUUGUAUCCAAAUGCAAAUUUGAUAUAUAAGGUACAUUGGUAAUUAAAUGUGGUGAACUAAAAUUAAUUUUUAACGUACAACAGUGGAUUUGAGUGUUAUAGUUUUUUAGUGGUUGGUUACGCUGUAAAAUAAAAACAUAUUAUUAUCGUUGGAAAAAUAAUAAUAAUAUUCAGCGGUGAAAAGAGGGUUUAAAUUUAUGGCUUAGUUGAAUUUAUGAUAUAUAUUCUGUACACGCGAGAAUGGAAAACAAAAUUGAUCCCCCCGGAGGGAAAUUAAAUUUCCAUAACCACAUCAUCCGCCGUCUUAGUCUCUAAUACGAAUCUAAAUUCUAUCAAUUUCUCAAGUUUUUGUAUUAUAAUAUGUCCACGGGUACCUUGUCAUAAAAUGUAUAACAAAGAUGUCCCAAAUAUUUUUGGUACAUUUUUUUUAUUAUCAAAUUUCUAAACAAAAUUGACGAAGCCAUGAUGUCCGACAAACGCAAUAUCGAAUAAACUUCUUUGGAAGAAAAAAAAAUCAAUACUCAAUAGUUUGAAAUGAUUCAUAGAAUUAAUUUGGUCAUCUAAAUAUUAAUGUUUUAAAUCAUAGUAUAUACUAGGUAUUAAUUAUUCAAUUAAAGGAAAAACAGCAAAGUUUUUUGUAAAUUCAUUGGUUAUUUGUUUAUGUUUUUUUUUUUAAACAUAAAUAUAAAUACAAUUAAAAUAAUAAUACCUAUUUGUUUCUAUGUAUACAAUGUUUACGAUUGAUAAUAUUUACUAUAAAUUACCUAUAAUUAAUGUUCAAAUACCACUUUUAAAACAAAUAUAAUGCAUGUGUAUAAAAACUUAUAAAUGUUACGUGAUACAGUUCAUUUAAAUUAUCAAACUAAUAUUUUAACAUUACAAAGUUUACACGUUAAAACACGGCUUAAAAAUAAAAUCGGUUUUUUUUUUUAAUGUACGUCAAAUGCAUUUCAAAUACCUAUUAAGACCGUUAAAACGGUGUGCUGAAAUAUAAUUAUAUUAUUACCUACACUUCGUAUUAUUUAAUGGUUUUAAUAGCUUUGGCAUGUCUGUAUAAAAUCAGCAGUAAUACGAAUUUUAGUUAUAUAGAAGUAAGAAAGCCCACAAAACUCUUGUUUUUCUAGGGUUUUUAAUAUAAAUGAUCACUGUUACAAACACCUAAUAAGCCCUGGUAAAUCUAAUAGAAAAUAUUACGAACAAACGUCGAAAAAAAACACUGAUAAUAAAUAAAUUAUAUAAAUUAAUUUUAUCCAUUGAAUUUGUAAACGAUAAAUUUUGUUCUAUAUUUCAGGUACGAAUAGUUAUGAGAGAAAUUUUAGUUUUAUCAUGACCAUUUAACACAUUCCGGAGAUGUGAUAAACGAGGGAAAUUUCCGGAAAAUUCCAUAUGGGGUUUUUAGUUUUACAAAUCCAUAAAAGGUUUGUGAAUUUGAUAUUGAUGUUUUUUAGUUAUUACUAUGAGAUCAUUUAAUUAUGAUCGAUUUGUUACAGUAUUUGUACUGGUGACAAACGAAUUCGAGAAAUAAUAAUUGUGUUCCGCAAAGAAUAAUAAAAAUAUAGUUCAACAACAGUAUUCUAAAAUCGUUAAAACGAUAUUAUAAUGUUGUUAGCAACCAGCACGCAGAAUAGUGGAAAAAACCCCUUAAACCCAUUUCGUCGACAUUUUGAGUAUGUGAGUGAAAAAAAAAAUAAAAAAUCAUCUUUUGUAACGGUGCGUACUCUGCAUCAUCAAUUACCGGACCCAACGACAUUGUAGUAGCCUUGCACUCCUCCCUAGCUACUUCGUGAAUAAUAGAACCUUCUGGGUUUUCUUCAUACUAUCGCACACACCCUGCCCUCUUUAUAGUUCUCAGCGAUGAGAUCGAUUCCCAUGUUUUGCGGUCUCCGCGUGGGUAAUUAAAACGAGGCCGCCACCGGCAGCAUCGGCUUCGAGACGACACUGCUGCGGUGAUCGCAUACAUCCCCCUGGCCGACCCGGCCGUCACCCCGUUUUCCAGGAGUCUUCCGACGGUCCAACGCGGAGGCAAAAGGGUCGACAAGGACAUUGUUGUUUCGGCGGAUUUUAGGGUCGUGUCGUCGUCGCAUUCGCCGAUAACAUUCAGGAUUUCUGACCGGACUAUUAACUGCACCCGGCGGAUAUACCUACCUUUUAAAAGUUCAAUCAAAGAUCGAAAACGAUAACAGAUAUAUUCUCGUUUGGCUCGAAUCCAAAUAGACUGCGGUAAAUAACCACAGUACAAAGUAUAUUAUACUUUCUUUUUUCUUUUUAUUACAAUUUGAGAAGACCGACUGGGACAAUUUAAUUUUUACAAUAUUCAUAAACAAAAUCCAAACGAUUCAGAGAUAAUAAAUAUUUAAAUUAAACUGAUGCGCCCGAAAAUAUUUUCACAUGAAAAAUUAUAUUUUAUUUAAUUCCUUUGCAUUAUACUUUAUCGUAUGUUCAACCGUUCGGCAAAUAUAUUAAAAUAAAUACCUAAAUAAAAGUAAAUUUGGCCGAAAAAUUGUAUACUUUAUAAUAUAAUCGAUUUACGAAAAACUAGGUAAGAAUAUUAUUUUUAGGCAUUAUUUGUAUGUUUAAUAAUUAACAUUAAAUACAUUUUUUCGAUAAAUGCAGUAUAAAAUUUUUUGAAUUAAAUUGAAAAAUAUUAAAAAAACUCCCUUGUGACAAAUGAGAGAGCUAUCGCUGCCAAAUUCAACACACGUUACUUUCUUGUAUCAUGUAACAACAUGGAGAAAAGGGAGGUUAAGAAAUUUAAAAUAAUUAAAGGCCUGUACCCUAAUAUAUAAACUACGAGUAUAUGACAGACACAAUAGAAUAUGACAGUCUUCAUAUUCGGAGGGAAUUCGAGAAAAAUGUAUAAUAAACAUAAAUAUUAUGUCUCUAGUAUAUUAUAACAAUAUAUUAUUCUUUUUAAAUUCUAGUUUAGUCUACUAAAAUCGUAAGCUAGCAAUUUAGAAACUGUUUGGCAAGUACUAUCAAUGAUGUAAAACACGUAAAUUGCUCAUUAAACUUGUAUACUAAUUUAAGUCUCACGUUAAUGUAAUUACGUUUUGGGUUUAUAAACAAUUACUUUUUGGCACAACAAAGUAUUAAACGAUCGAAAUAAAAAUGCAUAUCGGUAUUAAACUCAAACCAAACGAACACCAGAUUGUUUACUAUUUUUCCGUGCAUUUAUGAAAAUAUUUAAAAGGUAAGUAUCAAUUUUUAAUGUUACAUAAUAUUACCUAUCUGUGAAACAUUAUUCUGGUCACGUUUGUUAUUUCAUAUUUUGCAUAUUUUGCGAGUAAAAAAAAAAUAAUGUAAAAAUAACAAACACAUAAAACUAAUAGUUUUCUCGCUCGUUUGCUCGGAAUUUAAAAACGAGAGUAUAUAGUGGAAUCAGACAUACUACAGAAAAAUAAUGACGAUAGGCUGCAGGAGUGGAUGGAAGAUUCGAGUUAUUUAUGAUCCGCUACUAUACGCCGUCGCUGUUGCGGUUCACUGUGCGGGCGACAGUGACACACACGCCGCCGCCUUCUUUGCCCAAAACUUUUGUAUCCCUUUGACAAGGGGUAACCAAAAAAGGUGAAAUUUACGAUUCUACAAACGAUAGCACUACUCCUUUUCCACCCGCGUGUUAUUGAUGAGACCCGACAUAAAUCUCGUCUACGCACACGUAGUACAAUCGUACAAUUUACUUGUUUCCCGAUAUUGGUUAUACCGCUCGAUCGAUAAGGUCAUAAUGUAUGUAACUGCCACGUUACUCGUGACUUUAUUUUAUUUAUUCAAAAGCCGAUAUAGGUAUAUUUUAAUUUUAAAAUUAAAAAAGUCAAACAUUCUUGAAAAUAAUUGUUUUCCGUUUGAAACUGAAUCGACUAAAUUAAAAAUUAUCGAUCCUUUAUAUCCAAUAACUUGUUAAAUUUUUAUUUUUAACUACAGGUAUGCAAAUUUUUAUUUUUAUUUUACGAUUAAACUACGUAGGUAGUAAACUAUAUAAUUAAUGAAUCGAAUUUUAUAAACCUAACCGAGCUCACAUAAACCUUCGGUAAGGAACUGUGUUUAUCACGCGGUAUGGUUUUCUCGAAUAAUAAUAAUAAGUGGGCUUUAUGCUUUUUCCGUAUGCUAAAACGCGUGACUAUAGACAAGUAUUCUGAAGGUGUUUAGUGUAUGCAUAUACCGUAUACUGACUUAUGUAUUCAGCCGUGGUAGAGGCGGUGCAAUGUAGUGGAUAUGGCGGGCAGACCGUACUCGUCGUCGGGUUAAAAGGAGGAGAUGAGGACAAAAGUCGUAUGCGAAAAUAUAGCCAUAAUAAUAGUCGGAUCUAUAUAUAGUCCAACAAUAACGAAACGAGGAGUAAAAAGAGGAGGAAAAAUAACGAUGACGUGUAAGGCACCCUCGUCGUGCAUUUGCCGAUAAUGUUAUUAGUUUCAUAUUGGUCGUUGCCUUAGUCGUACAUAUAGGAACUGUUUUCGAGUGCGCUAGGUAAGUAGGUAUAAGAUUGGUGACGUUACAUUUUUCUGCUCCUCACGUACAGAGAUUGAAAUCCCGUUUCAUUCGUUUCCCCUUUACACGUCAUCGACAAUACGGUGUUUGAUAUUGAGCCGCACAGUCUGCACAGGGGUUUUGUAUAGUGUCCAUAUAUAUAUAUAUGUACAUACAUAUAGAAGAGGUAAAGAGAGACAGCCAAUCACGAGUGUGUGUGUGUGUGUGUGUGGUUUUUUUUCCAUACUCGUCACGUCUGUAAACAAACACGUAUCUACCUAUAUUCUUGUAAACUACUGUAAAAGUCGUGCUUUUAGUUUGACGAAGCGUGUCUCUGAGAAACGAAAAGAAAUAAAAUGCAAAAUGUUCGCAAAUCGUACCUCAGUUAACGGGAUGGUUUUCGCGGAAAAUCAUCAUGGAUAAUAAUUGAGAUAAUAAAACCCUGUUAGGUAUUCAGUGAAUCUCUGUGUAUUCGUUUGCUGUCGGCUCUAACUUUCGUUAUUAUCGGUAUUAUAAAUCAUAAGAAACUCGCAUACGAGUGACACGUACACAAACAUUAAAUAUUGACACCAGAAUUAUAUAUGUUUAUAAUAUAAAUUAAGACGCUACGAAACAUAUUUCUAACGUUAUAACUUUAACUCGAUAGGUAUCUAUUUUGAUUAGAAACACUUAAUAUAAUUACUCGAUUAUUAAUAAAAGUAAACAUAAAACCCAUCAUUAGGCGUUUAUAUUUUUAAACUGUCACAUGAUUGUAUACAAUAAAACAGAUAGGUAAUUAAAUAUCUAUAUCCUACUUAAAGCAUUUGACAUUUCGCAUUACCUACGUGAAGUAUAAGAGUUAGUACACGUACAUAUUAUAUUAUGAUUCUGUGAACUUGAACUGCUUUGAAGUUUGAAGUGAAUAUUAAAUUGGUUUAUUCCAACGUAAAAUAAAACAAUCGUUAUUAAUAAUAAUACACAAUGCGUUGGUAUACCUUAUAAUAUUGUAACUUAUAAACAUUGUAUCAGUACAAACCUAGUAAAAUUACUAAUACUGCUGAUUAAUUACAGUUUUAGCAAAUAUCUCUAUCUAAAUUUGAUUGUUCGUUAUAAAAGAAAGUAAUAAUUUAUCGUUUGAUUAUUACAAUAUAAUAAUUUAUGCAUGGUAAAUAUCAAAAUAUGUAUUAAUUGUAGUUCUUUUUUUCAAUCCUAAGAUUUGUUAAAUGCUUCGUUUAAGUCUUCUGUUUGCAUAUAUGUUUAUUCCGGUGUAUUAUUUUAUCACUUGCUUAAUAAAUGUCGUUUUCGGUCUUCGUCUUUCUCCUUCUAUCUUUCCGUCAAAUCUCCUUUCGAUUAUUGUCAUCACCCGAGCGUUAUUUUUACUCUUUUAAAUUUCUCUGUGUUCAUAUCCUACAGUAUUGCAUUUCAAAGAUACUUGGCAUUUUUUAGUUGUCUUGACCUAUGUAAAGAAGAGGUUCCUUUAUUUAUACAGAAAGAUUUUUUUGCUUACACUAUUCAGACUAUUCUACUUCUUAUAUCCGUCAAACUUCUACCAUCACUCAUGACUUGCUUCCCGAAUAUGUAUAAUUAUUAAAUCUGUACUUGGCAUUUAAUAUUAUAAAUUGACAAUUUAGAAUAAAGUUCACAAUUAUUUAACAAACAAAUUUCGAUAAAGGUUUUCAAUUUGGCGAGAAAAUUUAAAAAUAUUAAAAAGAAUGAAAAUAAUUUUUGUUUAUCAUAUAUAUUUUAGGAAAAUAAAAUUUAAAAAAAAAAGACAGACAUAAUUCGCACGUGGGUGCAGCUACUGUUGUAGGUGAAAAUUUGGGAAGGUAGGCUAUAGACUGGAAUUUAAUGUAUAUUUGUAAGCAACGAUAAACCAUUGCUAACGAAAAAACUAUUCUGAGGCGAGUUCAGUUGAUAAUGUUGCUAUGUCAAAAAUACAAUAAAUGGUAUCAUGUCAUAUUAUAAUAAAAUGAUUAAAACAAUGGUCGUUUCCAUGAUAACAAUGAUUGUUUAAAAAAAAUUAAAAUAAUAAAAACUUUAUAAUAACAAAAAAUAAAUAAAAACGGUUGCUAAUGACAACCUUAUUUUUAAUUCUUUAACCUAAAGACCUAGGUUUUCCUCAUAGUCACAAAUUUUAAUGAGAAUUUCAAAAAAUGACCUAUCUAAAAUUCCUACUUAGAGAAAAUUUCCUUUCAGAAAAGGUGUUAUACUUGAUAAUCGGAGUAUAAUUUCUGAAAAAAAAAAAUUAUAAAACAAUACAUUUCUCGUUCCACUUAGAAUCUAAUAUUCGGAAACAAUGAAUGAAAAAAUAUAAUUGAAAAAAUCACCUUGUUGAUUGAUUAUAUAUUCAUGUAAAUUUUAUGAAUGUUUAUAAAAUUAUGCAGCUAUCGUAUAUGAAUAAUAUAUAAGAUAAUCUAAUACUUAAUUUAUUUAAUGUAUCGAUUAAAUUCAAAAUUAUUUCAGCACAGUAGUUUAUUAUGUUAAACUGCACGCUAAAUUGGAAUUUUGUUUAUUUUGUUUUAUUAGUUGGUUAACAUAAACAUACAGAUACCUAAUAGUUAUUUAAACUUGUUAAUCCCUACAUACCAAUUAAAGUAUUAGAGUCUAUUUCCAAACUUUGGAGAAAUAUUUACUUCUUAAUUCGUUUUAAAACUUUUAUAAUGAUUUUGUCUCUUUAAAUUUAUGCUAGCGAUCCAUUUAAAUAUCUUAUCUUAUCGUUACAUACACAAUGCUAGGAGCUGUUUCUUAUAUUAAGCUAAUAACAAAUUAUUAAAUAAUUGGUAUUUAUUAAAAAGAGGUACAUAUUAUUAUUAUAAUAAAUUGUAAACGUAUAAAUAUUAUGAUUGAACUGAGUAUAUUUCACAGAAAUAUUUUUAGUUACGUUUGGUGUGAAUUUAGACAAGAACUAAUUGGGAACUCGGAAACCUUUACAUCAAUUACACCAACUUAAACUCCUACAGUAAAUUCUUGUGACCUAUUCACCUACGUUAAUCCAACCUGCCAUCUUAAAGGAUUGAAUUUUUUAUGCCAUUAUUUAGUAUGCAACUAGCAGCGUUGCUCCAGAUUCCCAAUAGGUUUUUUUUGUAUAUUACACAGUUUUUGGUGCCGUACAAAUUCUAAAAUCGUGUAAAUUCGUGCUAACACAUGUUUUCGUAGGACAAAAGAUUGAAAUCUAAUGUAGAUUAAGGUGGGGUAACGUACGUGGUCUAUUUGAUGUGGUUCUUCCAUUGGUUUACAUUUAAAACUUCUUAGGAGUAGUAUCAGGUUUGGACUAAUAGGUAGGUUGGCAUGAUCUAAUCGCAUUUAUUUUCUUCCACUGUGUUCCAAACCAAAUAAAUUGUAUUUCAGUGAUCACCUCUGUGGCACUAAUUGCUAUACAUAAUGACAUAUUAUUGUUUUAUUGAAAUUGUAUUUACAUUUUCACUUUAGCAUCUGUAUAUAUUGAUAAUAUCUAGUUUUAUGGUUAUAGACUUUAAGGUUCACUUUAUAAAAGUAGUUGAAUAAUUUGAUAUUAUUAUUAUUUUUUAGAUUUGAAAAAUUUAUAAUCAACCGGACCAGCAAAUGGUAAGUGAGAAUAUAUUAUUUUCUAGUAGUUCAUUACGUUAUAAGCCCAAAACUAAAAUUAUUAUUAGUUUAAAAUUUAGAAGAAAUAUUAUUAAAAUAAAAAAAAUGUUUUUUAGGAAAUUAAUAUAGUUGGGAUACAUAUAUUUUUAUUUUUCUACAUGUACAGUGCAAAUUGAACUGUCUGUAUUAAAUGUUUAUAAAAAAAAAACCAACAACUUUCUUUAUGCUGUAAUAUUAAACCUUUAAUGAAUUAUUUUUUUAAUUUGAAAAUUAGUUUUUAAAUUUUUAUUAAAUAAUUAAAAUAACGUUUGAUAGAAAUAUUACAAAUUGUAUUAAACGUUCAAAAAUUAUAUUAUAUUUGGGUUCCAAAAAUCAUAAAAAAAAAAAUUUAAAUUAAACACUUCGCCAAAUUAAUUAUACAAAAUUAAAUUUUAUACUUUUAACGUUAUUAAUUCUCAACAUUUCAACAUUUCAAUAAAAUGUUAACGCAAUUUCAUAUGAUGACUUUGUAAACGAUAUACAUAAAAAGCUUAUUAAAUUAUGUUGUUGGGCACUUGUAGAAAUGUUAUUAAGAAAAUUACAUUAUUUUCUUUGAAAAAAUAUGAUUUAAUAUUGUAAAGUAUAAACAAUUAUCUAAUUAAUAAUAAUAAUAUUUUAAAAUGUUUGUGGACACUUAUUUAUUGUACCAUAGGUACAAAAUAAUAAUUUGAAGAAGAAAUGCCAAGAAAUGUUAUUCGAUGUAAAAUUAUUAUUUUGAAAUAUAACAUUUAGAGAAAAAAAAAACCACAUAUUAUAAAGGUAGAAUCAUUAUAAACUUAGUCAUAAUUAUAUUAUUUAAUUCAUAAUUAAUAAACAUUCAUUCUAUUUCUAUUGUAUCUAAAUUAAAACUAAUAUCGAUAUAUUAUAAUAAUAAGAAAAAAAUAACGUUGCAAUUGUUAAAUGGAUUAUUUUUCUGAAACUGUUGAUGAAUACAAUUUAAUAUACAGUGUGUUUCUGAAAUUAAUGAGGUUACGAAUGACGAUGUUUUUAAGAAUUUUUGUUUGCAUCUCCAAAACGUGUAUUUUGUCUUCAAUUUAUUCUUAGUAUAUUAAAUGCAGAAGUAUAUGCUUAAGUAUUUUCGCAAUAUUCUGAGGAAUCGAUAUUAUGACGUGACAUCGUGUUUUAUACUCGCCCGGCGUUUUUGACAUUCGGUGUCACCAGAAUAAUAAUAAUAAUAAAAGGCGACGCGAUACAUCGAUUUGCAUAAGGAUAUUUUGCAAGAAAAACGGUAGUGAUCCAAUAUUUUAUUUAUUGUCAUUUAACACGGUUACGUGACUAAGUUCAACAGUUUAUAGUUAUUUUGCAUUGUAAAAAUAACUAAAACCAAAAUUAUAUUUUACAAAACUCGUUCAAUUAUAAUCUACUAUACAAAUUAAAUGUCUAGUUGAUUACAAAACAGAGCUUCAGAUUGUAUUUUUAAGCAUCUAAUUUUUGUUUUGUUCAAGUUUUGAUUCUUUAUUUUUCUCUUGAAUAAAAUGACAUUGUUCUUCCCAUAUAGUUAAUAUAUAAACAUAUUUUUAAAAUAUUCCCUCGGUAUUUCAUGGACUUGUAUAUACAUUUUCUAUACAUUUUCCGUGUAACUUUCCUAUCCAUAAUUUCACAAGACGAUUUUUCGUUUACAACGUUAAUAUUAUUUUUGUUUCAUUUUAGUGUGUUAAAUGAUAUAACUAUUUAUUUUUAUUAAUGCUAUUGCGUAGUCCUUUAUCUCGACUUUCAACUGUUUUACGUUCAGACGUUGGAUUUAUGGCUUAUAAUUUAAUAACCACAUAACUGGUGGUUUUAGAAUUAGGACAUUAUGUGUAUUUGUUAUAUAUGAACCUCGUGGAUAUAAAAUUAUAGUGACUUAAAACCGCAGGAAUCAAAUGUCCACGCACCAACAUCUUAUCUAUUUAUUUUUAAUUUGUAGGUUUGUAGGUACUUAAUUAUUUUAUUUAUAUUUAUAGUAUUUUACUUCGAUUUAAUGAAUUCUGACUAAGAAGAGGAAUUAUAACAACGCAUUUUUAUUUGAGUUACUUUUUUUAAGUAGAUUUAAAUACAGGGAAUAUUGAAUACAUAAUAUAGGUAUAUUUUGUUUUUGAGAACUUUUGUUUAUAUUUCUUAAAUAAAUUAUUUUGUUAUACUUCAAAAUUAAUACAAUUAUCUUUUAAUAUUUAUUUUACUAUUUAUAUUGAAGUAGUACGAAAAAAAGAGAAGAUGUAUUAUUAUCAUUUGUAUCAUAGAAUACCUACAGAUAAAAGGGUGAAAUUUCGGGUCAGUGUUGUCUGAGCAAAAAAAAAAAUAUUAUUUAAAUUUAAAUUGAAUCACUAUUAUAUUUUAUUGUUGAUUUUUUUUUAUCCAAACGUUAAACCCGAAAUAACCAAAUAACCAAUAUACCGAUAAAAUAGGUAGGUAUAUGUAUGUGUUCCAAAACUCGAUAUCAUAAAUAUCAAUUUCUGUAUUUAAGGUUAAAAUGAACCCCAUACUCGUAUAUUAAACUUGUAUAUUUGAAAUAUUCUCAUUGCAAUAUUUUAAAGAUGGUAUUUUUUUUCAUAAAAAUAUUUACUAUAUAAAUUGAUUAGUAUAUACUUACCUGCUCUGUGUAGUUUAAUAAUAUUUUUCUUUUGUAUCCUAGAGAGUACCUACUUUUUAAAUAUGUUAUUUUCUAUUAGUUUUAGCUUAAUGCUCUAAACAUAAUGAUUAUCAUUACCAAAACGAAAUCGAAUUAAUUGUCUACAUUUGAACCUUGAGAGCUCUAUUAAGAAUUAAUUUUAUAUAUAGGUAUAAGUAAUUAAGUAACUAAUUAACGAAAACGAUUUUUAGUUUAAAUUAAAGGGUUCUUAAUACUAAGAGAAAAAAAUUAAAACCUUUUAUUUUUUAGAACUGGAAAUCAUAUAUUUUUGUAUUUAAAACGUAAUGCAUUAAUUAAAUACUCGUAAUUUCAAUUUAAACUUCCGGUUUUUACUAUUAGAACCAAUAUUUUAAAUUCUGGUUGAAUGUAUUUUAUUACAAUGAUGUUUAUUUUUUUAUUUUUUUACUAUAUCAAAUAUUACGGCUUUUUAAAACAUUUACAACCGAACUUCGCUAAGAAUCCUUUUUCGUUAGCAUUGAUUAAUCGUUGCAUACAAAAAUGUAUUAAAUUUCCUUCUAUAUCCUACCUUCCCUACUUCUCACCUGCAACAGUGGCCCAUCUAUCGAGGAGUCAUACGUUUGGGCGCUUUACCCUUUUUCCCACAUAAUAAAAACACUGUAUUUGGUUCCUAAAAAUGUCUUUGAGAGAAUUUCUAUAAAACAAAAUGAACGAUUUACUUCGAUUGAAAAUGUAUAACCAUACUCGUGGAAUUCACAAAUAUUCCCAAGUUGUCAAAAUGAGAAGGAAAAUAAAAUGUUAUAAGUCACUCUAACAUAUUACAAGAUUUUAAAAUCACUCGCUCAAAUGCAUUGUGAAAAUUGUUCAAACACAAUACAAUUUUUACAAACUCACCCAAACAUAGAUCGCCCACCCAUCAUAUGAAGGGCAAUGUAUAAUACAUCCCUCUCAUACCCCACUCGCGUUUGACCACCCAAUGUGAAAAUCAAAAUAUGAAGCUAAAUUCAGAAGGAAAGUCAUUAACCCGCAAGGACCUUCCGAAGAAAAUGUAUCGUCUAGGUUAGGGUGAUCAUAUUUAAAAAAUUAAAAAACAGGCCAGAAUAAUUUCAGUUGCACAUUCAAAAUAACAUUCAUUAAUUAUUGUAGUUUUUUUUAUUUUAUUAAUUUUUCAUUAUUAUGCUUAUAUUAUUAACUAUUUAAAAUAUACCCGUAUGACGUAUAUCUUAGAUGUAUUAUCAUCGGUAUAGAUACUUAUGGUUAUUAUUUUACAUGAAUAUAAUCGCAAUCAUGGUCAUAAUCUAUAAGGAAUAUUCCUGUCAACAAAUUAAUUGUGUCUGUUUAAAAAUAAAAUACGAAUAAUACGAAAAAAUAAGAAUUAAUACGCAAUAAUUAGCAUCGACAUAAAAAAACAUGACAAAAAGCAAUCUAAAAGAAGUUCGUCAAGACAACAGAACAUAAAUCUGAAAAAAAAGACAAUUAAACCAUGACUUAUGGUCACCCUACUCUAGAACGAUAAUUUUUUCCUCGAAUAUGGAUUCAGACCCUUUCUGAACAUGUGAGAAAUGAGAAUAGAUCUUAACUCUACAACAAACUUAAAAAUAUAAUUUUAUUAUUGUCAAAUUAAUGUGAUAAAUGGAUUUUAUGUUCGCCCUUCGCUAACCCCAUUAUGCACGAAUACUCACACGUAGGGAUGAUAUAUUAAUAGAAUUUGAUUUUCUCAAUUUUAUACGGCAACAUUCCUAGUUAAACAAGCGGUACUCGAAUUAACUUCUUUCCUUCACUCCUUAGAGUAAAUGUUAAAAUUUUUGUUUACGUUUAGAUUUAUUAUUUUAGGAAGAUGGGUUCAGAUUUAAAAUUGCACAGCGGAAUUGAUUUUAAUAUUACCUAAUCCGUAAUAAAAACAGUUUAAUCGAAUUUUUUGGGCCGAAUUACACCUUUGAAUAAUUUGUAUGUUUUAUUUUAUAAAGUUUGUUUAAUGCGGUCGAGUUCCUAGCAGUAUAAAAUACAUCUGGAUAUUUUAUUAUAACCUUACACCUUCAUUACUGUAAUAAUAUAAGUAUAAUGGUGAUUAAUAUAGAUAGUCAAAUGUUACAUUUUAGUAAAACAAAGAUUUACAUAUCGUAUACAAAAAAAAAAAAAAUAUUACAUAAUAUAACUUAUCAUUAAUAAUAUUGUUUAAUAGUAACUAACAAAAAUAAAUAAUAAAGUAAAGAAAUAUAUAAAUAAAAAAUGUAUACAUAAAAAUAAAAAAUAAAUAUAUUUUUUAUUUAUAUAUUUAUUUACAAGAAUUAACCAUGUAAAAAUUUUACUUUUAAUUUAUUAUUUUACUGUAAUAAAUAAUAAUUUAUGUUAUAAUUUAAUUAUAGAAGUAAACAUUUUAAGCUGAGACAGUCUUAUAAAUUUCUUAGAAUUAUUAAGAUGCUAUUGAAUUUGAUUUUGAUAAAUAUCUAACGGUUUAUUGAUCCUAUAUCAUAGUUGGUCGAACUGUUUUUAUAGAAUGUUUAUGCAAUCCAGCAAUCCGAUUGUCACAGUAAAUGGGAAGGGAUUCUAGAAGGAAUUAAGUUUUAAUUUACCGAUUUUUAGUAAUUUUAGUUUCACAACAGCUGAUUACAAAUCCUUAUUUACUCAUAAAUUAUUUAAUAUUCAUAAUUAUGUUUAUGUGAAAAUAACGAUUAAUGACAAGUUUCGAGUAAAAUCUGUUUACAUUACAGUCAGUUUUCCAUAUUUAAGUUCGUACAAUUUAAAUUUGGUGCUCAAGCUUUCAUAUUUUCGUGAACAUUUAAAAAUGCCUUAUUCGUAUUUAUGAUAAUGAUAUAUAAUAGCGCGUCACCGAAAAUUUACACUGAUAUAGAUUGACACGUGUGACAUGCACGUCAAUUUGGCACUGGCACAUGGUCAAUAAAUAUAUUGGUCAACACAAAGAUAAUAAACAAUAAUAACUAUUUUUUUUUCAUCUGUUUUACCAAGAUAACUUAGAAAUAAACAAAAAAAAAUAUGAAGGAUACGUAAAUUCCUCUAUUUUUUCUUUUAGCAAUUUUUGAAUGAAGUGAAAAUCAUGCUUUGUAGUUGAAUUUCAGGAUAAAAUUACCCAUAAUUGGGAAAAACCAAAAGAUGAAAAGUACGAUUUUUUUUUCAAACUAAAAUUUCAUUAUUUUAAAUUGUUACGCUUUCCGUUUUCUACCAGAAACUUUGCUCCAAUAGAAAAACAACAAACGAUCUCUUGUGUUGACUUUUUAAUCUCGUUGGUGAACAAUGUAGCCGUUUUUUAGUUUUCUUUGUAAUAUUUUAAUAACCAAACAAAACCAAAAAUGUAUAUUUACUUUUUCUAGACAUGCUAAAAUGUUCAAACCAUUUGAGCCAUUUUUGAGCUAUUUAUUAAUUUAGACAUUUAUAUUUUGUGAGUUUUUACGUAAUUUUUAUUUGGGAAGAUACUCUGUUGAUAUAAUUGUUAGAAUUAACAGAUAUGCUUACAAAUUUGACAGGGGGUUAAUAUAGUUGAUAUAGUUAAUACUAUAAGUCAUACUUAGUGGCAAAAAAAAAAGAAUAUUGUAAUGUUGUAUUUUUUUUUUCUAUAAGAAUUUUAAUGAAAAUCGUAAAUAUUACGGUCUUUCAAAAUAUGUAUAACCGAACUUCUCUCUAAAUCGUUUUUCGUUAGAAAUGAUUUAUCGUUUGUUAGAGGUGUAUAAAUUAAAUAUACCUUAAUGUAUCCCACCUCCCCAAUUACCUACCUACAACAGUGGCCGCACCCAUCCUUAGUAUCUACUCGUUUUUAACAAUAUUAUGAUGGUCUGACAAAAGCUUAUUUUCAUUUACAAAAGUAACACUACUACAGUAUAAUAUAUUGUACUUAAAUUAUAACAACUGCAAUGUACCUAACAAAACAUAACAAUCAUUUUCAUCGAUAUUAAAUAAACAAAACGAAAAUAUUUGUUUAGCCUUUUACAUCCAAAUAAGUUUUAUUAGCACUUUUAUUUUUGAAACAUGAAUAAAUAAUAAAUAUUUUUCUUUCGAAAAUGUAUAGAUAUUUUAUUUUAUUUUUUUGCCUAGAUUUUUAAUAAAUAUAAAGAAAAUAAUAUACAAUAUAAUGAUUUAUUAUUUUCUGUAUAUGUACCAGAUAAAUUCUAAGUUCAUAUAUUAUAACGUCACAGCGUUUACAAUUGUUACUCAAAAUGAAAUAUCUAAACUUUUCAAGUAUCCGCGAUAACUGUGUCUGAACUAUUCUUCAAUACGAUAUUGUUUCGUUCUACUUUAAUAUUUUGUUUUCGGAGCUUAAACGAACUAUCCGAGUCAUCUGAUUACCGAAUUUCCGUUAUAAAUCUUCUACAUAUUCACGUUAAAAAUUCAAUUUUUUUUUUUCAUAAAUACAAGUUGAUCCUUUUUUGUAAAGCAGCAAUGUUUCCGAACGAUAUGUGAAUUUGAUUUCUGGUUUUUAAAUCAUUAAAUUCCAUUAUGGUAUCUUUUGGGCUAUUUUUUAAAUUUCUAACACCUUUUUUAUUUUUUACUCCUAAACUAUCCACAAAGCAUUUUGAAAUAAUCGUAAUAAUAUUAAAUUAAAAAUUAAUAUUUUAUAUAUUAAAUUAUUGUCUAUUGAAAGAAAAUUGUUUUAUGUAUGUAUACAUAGGUACAUUAAUUUUACUUCAAUAGUUAAUUAUUUCAAUAUUAUGUAAUAUUUAAAUUUGAAUAAUUCGUAACUUGAUUGAAAAUUAAUAAUUUGAUUUGGUUAAUAAAAUUGCUUACAGUCACUUAGUAGUCUAAAUCGUGAUGCUCGACAAAUAUGUUACAAAAUUAUUUACAUUUACAAGUAAAUUAUAAAUUUACAAAAAAAAAAAACACCAAACAAUUUAUGACAUAAAUGAUCCGUGAGAGAGAACAAUGGUUAAGCUGUCGUACGCGAAUUUUUUAAACGGAAUAUUGUUUAAGAGGAUGCCAUAUCUGCAUGAGCUGUCUCUGUCAUCCAACCACGCGCAUAGUAUAUUUUCGCCCAUCAGGGAUAACUUUGUGCUGUUUUAAUAUUAGAGUGAAUAACUCUAUUAUUAAACUUAUAGAUAAGAACAUUAUUUGUAUCGGCAUUGUUAUUUUUUCAUAAUUUUUAUUUUCAAGUGAAAUAUGAGGGUGUGUAAUAUUUAUAGACUUUUUACCUUAUAAGGUCUAUGGGAUAUAUUAUUAUCUUUUUUUUUUAAAAUUCUUAUAUUUUCCGAUAUCAAUAUUUAGCAUACGGUUAAUAUCAAUUUGCACGACUAUCGCAUUUAUGUCACUUUAUUAUGUUUAUUAAGUGUAUACCAAUUAAUUUCUCAGUACAUAAACUAUUGAAGUACGAUUUUGAUAAUAAAAUGUUAAAAUAAUCUUAAAAUUAAGUAUAUUAUAUUAUACAAAUAUAUUUUUUAAAUAUUUUAAAAAAACAUUUCACAUAAUACUAAAGUUUUUUUUAUUUAUGUGUAGACUUUUUUUUGAGAUCUUCAACAGAUUUUCGAUUUUCUACUCUUUUCUUAACGAAAACUUGAUAGUGUACAAUUGAAUUUCGAAGCGAAUUUUCUCCUAUAAAAGAUCUUUUUUCUUAAUAAGUUAGAAAUAUCCCAUAAUUUUAUACUCACUAAAUUUACUGCUUUACUAGAGAGAUCGACCUAUUUAAAAAAAAUUGAUGGGGUGAGAACAUAAAGGAAUAUAAAUCCAAUAGUUACGCAAAUUCAUGAUAAUUUCAUACUAAAUUUGGCUUCAAAAAGAGUUUGAAAGGUUAAAUUUAAACCUUAAGGGAAAAAAAAACGUUUCUCUAGCCCAUCAUAGUUUUUUGAUAUGAUGUUAUCAUACUUUUAGUAUAGAAUUAAAGGUAUGAUGAUAGGCAUGCAAAUGCAUACUAAUUUCAUGUUCAAAAUAGGAAAAAAAAAAUUGUUUUGAAGGGUUGUACUGAAUUUUACAUUAUAAAACUCGUGUUUUUCUUAUAGUUUAAAAAAAAAUGCAUGGAUCAUUUUUAAUUGACCAGAAAUAAUUUGUAGGUAUGUAUAAUAGUGUGUUUAAUAAGUAUACGCUUACUUAUCCAGGUACUUUUUAAGCAAUCAAGUUCACUAAAAAUACCCCGAUAAAUCGCCAGUUUACGAUAUUUAAUUUAUUUUGUUUGGUAAUUUAAGAAAUAAAUAAACAAAUCGUUAUAUAUUAGACAUUCUAUUUACACACAUUCAGAACGCGUUGUAUUCGUAUUAAAAUGAUUGAAAUAUUCUGAUAUAUCAGUAUUUCGUUUGGCUGUGUGGUUAAGAUGUUUUUUAAAUGUCUACUGAACAUUUCACGACGUCUCGUUAAUAACUGUGUGCAUACCAUAUAUUUUCAAAGUGUAUUUAAUUUCAAUCUUUUCUAACAUUUUGACUUUGAUUUUCGGCUGUAAUAGUUUCGCAACCCACCUAAAAUACAUAAUAAUAUAUAUAUAUAUAUAUAUAUAUAUAUAUAUCGGACUAUUAUUAUACUAUAAUAUACUUAUUCAAAUCUGAAUUAAAUAUAGGUACCAACUAUUGAAAGUUAAAAUUUUUGUUUACAUUUAAUAUAUAGGUAUGUUGAAUAAAAUAUGUUUAUAGCUAAAAUAAAUAUUAUUUUGUUAGUAAAUUUAUUUUCAAAUAUAAUUUUAACAACUAUAUACGAAAAUAAAUUAAAAGCAUCUGAUUUCUAAAAUAAAAAAAAUAUAUUUUGAAAUUUAUCCUGAAUUCAGUAUUUAUAACCUAUAACCAUAUAGCAUUAUUACAUUACUGCAGUAAAUGGAAUUUAAUCUAUGAUAAUGACAAAUUUUCAAAAAAAAUAUACUUAUUUUUUACUAAACUACUAUUAAAGUGAAUUUGUUCCGUUUUGAACUGUAUGGCGUAUAUUUACAAUACCAAUAAAAAAAAAAACUUGUUUGUUACAAUAACAAUAUGCAAUAUUAAAUGUACAACGUUUGUACUAGGUAGGUAACCUAGCUACAACAGUAUGCUGUUAAAAUAAAUUCAUUGUAUCUUUCAUAUCUACAUCCUACUAUCAUAAUAUUAUUGUAGUAACUUUGGCUCAGGUAAGCUAUGAACAAACUAUUAUUACAAUCAAAAUGUAUUAAAAUAUACUUCAAAAUUUGCUCGUACACACUUUACUGGUAAUAUAAGUUUAUUAUAAACGUGUUUGGUUUUUUAAAAUUAAAGAAAAAAUAAAAUAUUUAAUGUUGAAUUUACUUUUUAAACGGAAUUAAUUAGGUUAUAUACUUAUUAUUUAUAUAUUGUUAUUAUCUAUGUCUAUGAUAUGUAUUACAGGUAUAGGCAUCUAUAUUAUAAUACACUCUUCGUGUAUUUACUUUUUUUAAAUUUAUAUUCGUAAACAUUAAACUCGAAGAUUUUUUAUGUUUAUAUGUUAUGCAGAUUUUGUAUACUUUUAUAGUGGCCAUUUUUAAUAUAGUUGGCAUGUUUAUUGUUUAGUGUGUUACUUUAUUAUAGUUAAACUUUGGAAUUAGUAAAAACUUUAGAAUAUUUAGUGCUUGAUAAAAAAGUAUGGUAAUUUUUUAAAUCAGUUUAAAUAUAAACUAGGUUUAUUCAACAAAAACAUUAUAAAUGUAUUAGGAUGUUGAGCAAAACAUCUUAUAAGAAAAUGUAGUUAUUUCUAUAUGCAGUUGAUAAUUUAAAUACAUUUAUAAAUUACUCGAUCGAAUUCAAAGCGUAAAAAUUAAUGGUUUUUCUUUAAUUUCGAAAAAUAUAAGUAUAUAAUUUUCAUGUGAUCCUUCGAGUUUUAUUACGUUAAACAAUAUAAAUUUUGGACAUUUUUGACUAUAGUUGUUUAGUUUCCAAAUCUAUUAAUACUUAUAUAUUAAAAAACUACUCUUUAUUAAAUUGAAUAAUAUGUUAAGGUAGUUGCGCAGAGAUACACGUAAUAUUAUAAUAUUGUACAGUCCACGAAUUCUCGUAAUAUUUACAAUUUUACUUACAAAUGACGCAUGGAUAAAUUAAUCCGUAAAGUUGAUAUAAUAAUAUUUUAACUCCUUAUUUAUAUAGGUUAGGUACCAGCUACUAAAUAAAGAAAAAGAACCGAAAAACUAAAAGGACCUAUAAUAAUAUAAUAUUAUGAAAUUGAAGUUGCUUAUAACCUAAUUAAGUUAUUAUUUUAGUGCACAUAAUGUUAUCUGUAGGUCGGACAUAAUAUUAUUAUUUGAGGGUUUCUGUUAGUAUUAAAAAAAAAAAUAUUUACGUAUUUUACUCCAUGGGUAGGUCAAUCACUGUUGCUAGUUGGAUAUUAGAAAUGUAGGUUUAUGUUAUUUGUUGUGUCUGUAAGAAACUUUUCUACCAGAAAUCUUGCUUCCAAGUAUCAAGUUUUGAUCCUUUUCUGAAAAAAAUUGUGUCUAGCUAGUGCAUUGGGAAGGGUAAUUUUCUGUAGGGUUUUCAUAAUAAUCAAGACAAGACAAACCGGAAACAAAAUUACAGGUAAACCGGCAAAUACUUAAAGCAGGUGAACCAUAUUUAUAAUAUUGCUUUAUUAAAAAAUACCUAAAACUAAAUGUUUAAUUUUAGAUCUAGUUGCUCUCAAAGGAAAUUUUUGUUUAAAUUUUUCAAUUAGUAUUCAUAAUAAUUAGGAAAACCGGAAAAAGACGAAAAAUUAAAACUGAUAAAUACACGGCCUUAUGAUUCCAUUAUUUUAAAUGUUUACAGAAAAUGUUAUCUACCAUAGAUAUUGCUCCAAUAGAAAAAUAUCAAGAGAUCUCUUUUUUGUUGAGUCUUUAAUCUUCUUGGUGACCAAGAUUUUUUUUCUUUAUAGUUGUUUUAAUAAUUGAGCAAAACCGAAAAAUACGUAAGAAGAACGAGACGCUUUACAAAAAAAUUGUUUUAUUAUUUUCAACUUUGUUUAUUUAAUGUAAUUUAGUUCAAAAUAUUCGUAGGGAUAUACAAAUUUGACAAAAAACUUAUAUUGGCCUUUUCUAGAUGUGAUUAAAAAUAUUUGACCAUUAUUGAGCUAUUCAUAGGUAUUUUAAUUUUGAUUUUUUCUUUACGAAAUUUUUAUUCAGUAGGUACUGUAUGGAUAGAAUUGUUAGACUUAAAUAAAAUGCUUGAAAAUUUAACAAAAGGUUCAUUAUAAUUCGUAUUUUGUGGUGAUAAAAAAGAAAAUUGAGUUUAAUGUAGUUUUUUUCAUAAGAAUUUAAAUAUCAAAUUUUGACCAAAAUUGUAAUUAUUACGGCCUUUCAAAAUAUGUACAACCGAACUUCGCUCCGAAUCGUUUUUCGUUAACAAUGAUUUAUCGUGACUUAUAGAUGUAAAUUAAAUACAUUUAUGUGUUCUAUACCCUCCCAACUGCCAAUCUACAACAGUGACACACGUGUCCUCAGUAUCAGCUCUUUUUACAAUUUGAGUGAAGUGAAGAAGCUUAUGGUUUUACAAAGAUGUUUAUUUUUUUUUAUCUAUGCACAAUACUUCUACCAGAAAUCUUGCUCUGAUUUAUAAUAAUAGCAAUUUUUCUAAAAAGGAAUCCCGACUAGGGAGGUACUUUAGAGAAGUCAUUUUUCGAUUUUCCCAACAGUUUUCCCAGCAAAUGUGAAAAACCAGGAUAAACGUAAGAAAACCGUGAAAAUCGAUAUAAAAUUGAACUAAUAUUAUUAAAGAAAAUAUCUAUAGUAUGUUUGUUUAUUUUAAUAUAAUAUGACAUAUAUAUUGUUGAUAAAGCAUUACUAUCAAUUGAAUUGCGCUCAGAAUCGUUUUUUUUUAUUAUAAAUGGUUUAUCGUUGCUUACAGGUAUACAUUAAAUUACCUAUAACAAUGGCUGCACCCGUCCCUAUAGAAAUCAACAAAAAUAUAAUCGAUGUUCCUAUCUUCGUUUAUCUAUCUAUUUUUAAUUUUCUAUAAAAAAUGUUAAAAAUCUAAACAUAUAUUUAAAAUAAAUAGGACGUAUCAUCAUAUCUUUUAGAAUGCGAUAGAAAAUGUUAAACGUGUCAUUUGGAGCAUUUUUAAUAACCACUAAAGUGUUUUCCGAGAAAAAAAAAAUUCGCUUCUUAGUAAAACGACAAGCUUCUGCGCUUAACUCAAAAUUGUAUAUUGUGUAAUAAUAUUAUGUAUGUAAAAUAAUAAUAAUAAUAAUGAAGGAUUCAUAUCAAAUAAUAUGUAUACCACUGACCAUUUAACUAUAAUAAUAUUAUAAUCACCCUACUACAUUUCUCCUCCUCUCAUCGUUUAAGGGAUAGUAUUAACGCUCUAUCACGUAACAGAAACUCAAUAGGUAGUACCUACUCCCUCUGCGACUGCUGUCUAGAGUUUACCGCCUUCAUCGUCGUCGUAGUGUUUUCUUCUCGCCUGAUGCAGAUUGAUUAAAAUCCCCAUUCUGUUUGAUCAGUAAGACUAUACGGGCUUUUCUGUGGAGAAAAUAGGAAUCUCGAAAAGAUUUUAUUUCACGUGCAAACAAAGCAGUGGUAUACAUUAGACCGGCGAGAACGCUUUUAAUCUGCGAAAUUAAACACAAUGUGCUGUAGUAAUAAUAAUAAUAAGACGAACGCGGCGAACGUCUCUCCUUAAUCGGUGAAGAUGCGACGUUACGCUCUGUGUUGAUACCUAUAUUUAUGUAUGUUUUUUUUUUCAAAAAAUAAGUACAGGUGUAAUAUUACAUGUUUUACGAUUACAAUUUUAUAUUACAAACGGACCAACGUGAUUACAUUUCGGUUUGUUCAAAAAUAUGUUUUUGAGAUUUUUUCGAAUAAAAUAUUAUAAUACACGGUGCUUUAAAGGUCUCUAGAAUCUUCGUUUUAAUUCAGAAAUCGUAAAUCGCUGCAUAAAAAACACUCAUAUACACAAAUAGAAAUAUAAAAUAGUAAAGUUUCUUUUUACUAGGUUUAUUUGUACUUUCGUUCCUAAUAAUUAUGUCUCUUGUGAGCAAAAGAUGAAGUUUUUGUAUCACCAUUACCUACAGACCUGAAAGAGCACAAAACCCGGAUCAGAGAUGCCGUGGCCGUGAAUACCGUGGCACGCAUUAUGAUCAGUAACGUUUUCGAUGAAUACCGUAUAGAUCAUUUAGGUUCCUAACUUAUAUUCCGAAUAUUGAAAAUAGUAUUUAACGUUAACGAUUUUUGUUGUUAGAGUUAUUCAUAAACUCACUGUACAUAAUAUCACUUAAGUUAUUAUUACCCGUUAAAUCCAAAAGUUAUAUUAUAAUAAAAAUUCAUCAGCAAGUUAAAGUGGUCCGCGGCCUAUUGAAUGUUUACCAAGUGGUCUGUAGGUACUGUUAAAAAUGUUAGAAGUUGGAAAUAACUGGUAUUAUAUUACAUAGCAGACGUCUAAUGGAAAUUAUAUUUGUAGGCAAACUAUCGAAUUAAAAUUGCAUGGUUAGGUAUAGAUUGUUAGGAAUAUUUUGCACUUUAUCUCAUCAGUGUACCUUUAUUUUUACCAAUAAAUAUGAAUUUUUGAAAUUAGAAAAAGGCUUUUAAAACCUUGUGUAUAUAACUUGUAUUAUAAUUUCAAUAUACAAACUUUUGGAUAUUCGUUACAUAUUCUAUUGCAAUCCUGUUUUCAUUUUGUAUUCAUUGCUCGGACGGGCAUACUGAAUUCGACAUACCAUUAUGCAUUUUGUUUGUCCUACACUAUAGAAUUUAUAGGUAUAGUAUUGAAGAAAAGCGAGGGGAAGUUUCAGUUUUUGUCAGGUUCGUCUUAUUUUUUUUAUGCGAUACCGGAUAUUUUAAACGGAAGUACCUAUAUUAUGUAACUUUUUUGUCGUCUGAAGGGGCAUACCAUUCAAUUGAGAACUUAUGUUUUAUUUAUUAAAAAAGUACGGUUAUACAAAAAAAAAUAUCCGAAAAUAGAGACUAUUAUCCUGAAUUGUCUGUUAUACAUAUAUUAAAUAUAUUUUUUCCCCACUAGUUUUGUAUACUUUUAGCGAUUCUCUCAGGACCAAAUGAGCUCAAAUUUAUCAAUUAGAGUUGCUUUAUUUUGGAUUGAAGUGAACAAUUUCAAAUUUUGGUGGAAUUUAAAUAGGUAUGAUUUUUAUCAUUUUGUUAAGGUUUAGGUGUUUUUAUAGCUUUAACCCCAAAUUAAGCCAGGGAGUUAAAUUUUAUACGUGCACGAAGUAUCGAAGGUAUACUUUUUAGGAGUUUUAACUUUCAACGCACAUAUGCAACCAAUUGUGUGCUUAAAUUUCAUGUUUUUACGGGAAAUAUCUAAAUAAAAAGCUAUCUAUAAUUAAUAAACGGUGCAGGGGCAACCGAGGUAGUUGCCUUGUGACGUACUUAUUUUUUGGGAGCCUACAUUGUAAUAGGGACGAUGGUUUUUAUCAAGUAUUUGAUAAACAAAUUAUUGUUAAAAUUGAAUCAAUUUAAACGUACAUGUAAAGCAGACCUACUAGCUAGCUGUUCAUACAAAUUUAAGUGACUGCGAUUCAUGUGUUAUCCGUAGUUGCAAACUGAUACAACUGAUAAUAUUAUACAUUUAUAACUAUUAAAUAUACAAAUAAAGUAAAUAAAUAUAUAAAUAAAAAAUGUAUAUAUUUAUUUACUAUUUUUACUUACUUUAUUUAUUCACGAGUAUUAACCAUUUUAAUAAUAUUGUUUUUACUUUUUUAUUUUGUUAUUAAAUAUACAAUGAAUAACUAUUUAAUCAAUGACAAUACUAAACAAUUUUAAAAUAAAUUAUUUCAUAGAUAAAAAGUACAAAUAAAUACCUACGUAUGGUGUAAAUGUAAAUUUACUUAAUUCAAAAUUAAAGCAACGUUUCUAAUGCGGUAAGGUGUAGUCGGUUUCAUCUUUUCCAAAGAAAAAAAAACCAUAAAUACCCAGUCAAAUAUUCAAUCACAGUACUGUUUUAGUGAUACAAUAUAAUUUGUCUUUCUAUUAUAAGACAAAACAAAUAUUUUUCUUUGAGACGCUGUGAUGUGUAUAGCUGCGCCAGUGCGCAAAUUAAAACCACCUAUCGUUUUAUAUAUUAUUAUUAGAGAUGGACCGAUACUCGAUUAGUAUUAGUUUAGAUGAUAUUGGUUUUAUCGGCAUCGGUUUUUUUCUAACACGAUAUUUUUAGAAAAAAAUGUGUGUAAUGUUUCUGGAAUACGUAAAAAAAAAAAUUUAAAUAAAUUGAGUUUUCAACCAAUAUAUCAGUUAAUUCUAAUACCAUUCGAUUUCAAAUAUCGGAUAUCGGUAAAAUGUGGUAUUGGCCUAUUCCUAAUUAAUAGUACGAUUAUUAUUUUACAAGUAUGAUAUAAUACGGCGAAAUGACUAUGGGGUAAAUAUUUGUAAAAUUAAUAAAAUAUAAUGAAAAUAUUGUGAUUUCGUUUUUUGAGUUUAUUAAUUGUUUUAUUAACACUUUAUAUUAUUGUUCACUAACUUUGGAAGUUUUCGAUUUAAGUGCUUGUAUAUAUUGUUAUUAAUUUUUGUUACAAUAAUUUUCUUACAUGAAAUAAAAUAUUGACCUUUUUUCAUAACCAAAUGCAAUAAUAUUUUUUGUAACACACUAUUAUAAUAAACAUAGUUUAUAAAAUAGCUGUGCAUUUUUGAGUUUAUGUAUAGUAUACAAUUUAAAAAUAAAAAUAAAUAAUACGAUUACAAUGAUAAUAAUAUACGACAUUCAUGGCGCGACCGAUAUUAUAAAAUACAACUAUAAACAAUUCGGUUUUUAAUAAUUUAUGAAGUUAUUUAGCAUAAUAAAUAUUCUAUCGCGAUUUUUUCCAAUUUUGUUACGAGUUAUUUAUUAUAAAACAAUUUUUGUAAAAUAAACUUAUGGACAACAGUAAAAAAAAAAACUCGUAAAAUAACAUAGUGAUAUUAUUGUUUUGGUGUUGUUUAAAUACGUUGAACAUACCUAGGCCCAAGAUACUCAUGUAACUCGGUAGUUCGUUAAUACUGAAUGCACACCGAAAGUACCUAAAUAUACCUAUAUAAAUAUAAUAUUGUAGUUUUAACAGUUUCUAAUAUAAAUCAUAAAUUCUUAAUUUAAGUUUUCAUCUUCACGAAAACGUGUCAAAUACCUUUUCCCUGCAGUUUUGUGUGUCCUAUUAAUUAUUGGACUAUGGUUUUUAUAGUUUCUCGACUGUAGUAAGACGUCCUAUACCGAAUCCAUCACUCCCACCUAGACACGUUAUGAACGAUAUUGGCCAACAGAAACAGUAGAAGAGGUUUCACACUAUAAAUGGGUCUAUACCACGGCCUAAAAACUAUUAUCCUGCAGAUAGUAAAGAGAAUAAUUUUUCAUCGGAACAUCGUUAGGUUAGAAAAUUCGUUAACUAUCGUCAUCUUAACUAUACGUUCUUACGCGUAACUAUCUCAAUAAUAUUUUUUAUUCAGUCGCUUUAUUUAAUUCUAUGUAUUAUAUAUUAUCAAUAUUUUACUGUUAGCAAACAUUUUGUUCAUAUAAGAUAGAUUAAAAUUAUGAAUAUCGAUAAGUCUAAUUCAUUAAAGUCUAGUCUCCAUUAGUUUGCAAACUUUGCCAAAACGUAAAAUAAUAAAUUUAUAUUUUAUAGUUUGAAAAACAAAAAAAUACCUAAUGCGAUGGUUCUGAAAAAAAAAAUGGUGUAUUUAUUAAAAUUUUACUGAACAAGUAAAAAUACUAAAAAAUAUAAUAUAUCCGGCUAUUUAAAUAUUAGUUUUGAAAGUCCCAUUGAUUUAUAGAACUUCAUAUAGUUCUAACGAUGGUGAUAUUUAUGGUCAAAAAACCAUUAUUAAAGAGUGAAAAAAUCAGCUUUAUCCUAUAAAAAAAAAAAUGAUAAUACCCCAUAGUCUGUGGAAAAAUACGGUCGUGUUUUCUUUUAAAAUCCGCUUACGCGUGUUCUAGAAUAUUUCUAGAGCCAACGGUUUCGGCCACCACAAUCGGCUUACCCGUAGGCCGUGAUCACUUUGUAGACAACCUAGAUCCAAUAUUCUUGUGUUUAUUUUUUCUUCCGUUAUUGUCUUUUGAUUUGCACGUAAUAUAUAUCCAAUAGUUCAAUUCUAUAAAUAAUAAGUAUAUUGCAUAGAUAAUAGGCUCUUUCCAAAAUUACCUUUACUACAAUAAAGUGACUCUUAAAGAAAACAAAUUCUUCGCUUUAUAAUCCUCUAAUGUCUAAUUCAUUAUAAAAAACGUCAAUUUUUUUAAAUUGCAUAAUUGUAUACUUAUUGCUUUAUUUGUGUAGUAAACAGCAUUUUAAUUACUUAAUAUUAUCUGAUGAAUACAAAUGUGUACCUUUUGAACACUAGAAAGUAAUUGAAUGAGACAAUUUCUUUUUGAAAGGGAUUAUAAUCUUACCGCCUUUGGCUACGUCACUGUUUAAGACAAAUCAAAGACACGUAAUAAGAUUAAAUUCGGAGAAAAAAUAUUAGUUUAUUUAAACUAAUAAAAUAGUAGAUACAAUUAAAUUCAAAAGUAAAGAAACAAGAAGCCUAUAAUAAUAAAAAAGCAAAAAUAACAAUUAAUUCAUUUUGACCUUAUUAAAUUGAUGGAAAACUAAGGAUUUGUUGUUUAUUCAAGUUACAACGACGUAAUUAAUUACGAACGAUGUUUUAUAUGUUGACUUUAUGCGGUUAAAGGGUUAAAAUACAAAAACAACAUGCCCUGAAACAAUUACGAUGCACUUUAUAAUCCGAGUUUUAAUUUCUGAUCGUAAUGAAGACAGUGCGUAUUGAAUUUACUAUAAUAUUAUGUGUUCUUUUCUUGUUAGUGUUUGUAAAUAAUUUUUUACCAGAUAUAUUAACAACAAAAAUGGUUUCGUAGGUGUUUAUGUUUUUAACACUUUUGACGCCAGUAAGAGUUGACGUACUCAUACGAGCAGGCAACUUAGACAAUUUUUAAAAAAUAGAGUUUUUACCAUAGUGAACCAUUUAUAGAAUCAAUCCAUUAUAAUAUGUGUUAUUUGAUUAAAAAUAACAGUGUUCAACAAUUUUAUUGCAUUUUCGAGUCAUUUUCGAGUUUGACUUUUCCGUCAAAACUUCUUAAUAGCUGAUACUUAAAAUUUGGGACUUUGUUUUAGAUUCUGAGUGGAGCGAAGAAGCUUAUGGUUUUACAAAGAUAUUUAUUUUUAUUCAUAUAUUUUUAUUUUUAUCUGUACUCAAUUUUUCUACCAGAAAUUUUUCUCUGAUUUUCAAAUGUAGCACGUUUUUCUGAAAGAAAACCGGUAUUAAGAAGUAAUUUAAACAGGUCAUUUUUCGAUUUUCUUAGGAGUUUUCUCAUCAAAUGUGAAAAACCGAAAAGAAGGAGGAAAAACAAGAACAUGUACAAAAUCUAAUUUUACGAAAAUAUUAAGUUUUUUUUUUGUGGACAACUUUUCUAUCAGAAAUUUUGCUUGGAUUUAAAAUGAUAGCACUUUUCCUAAAAAGAAAUCUGACAGGGGAGUUACUCUAGAGAAGUCAUUUUUUUAAUUUUCUCAUCAGUUUUCCUAAUAAAUGGAAAAUUCGUGAAAAACCCUGGGAAAACCGUAGGAAAAACAAGAAAAUAGGUACAAUAUUGAACAAAUAUUUAAAAAAAAAUAUUUAUUGCCUAAUAGUAAUAAUAAUAGUAAUAGUAUAAUAGUAAUAAUAAUAAUAAUAAUAGUACUAACAGCAUAAUAAUAAUAAUAGUAAUAACUACAUAAUAUGUAAUUAUUUUUCCAUGACAUUACAUACUCGUAUAUAAUAUUGUUGAAAAAGUAAUAACACUAUCAACUGAAUUCCGAUAAGAAUCGUUUUUUUUUUUUUGUUAGCAAUGAUUAAUCAUUGCUAACAGAUAUAUAUUAAAUUACCUAUAACACUGGCUUUAUCGAUCUCUAUUAUCUUAGAACAGGUUUUUAUAAGUUAACGUAUUUAUACAGAUAAUCCAAUAAUAACCCGUGACCAUGGUUAGAGAUAGAAUAGUUACCAGUUGUUAAAAAUGGGCCACAAAUAAGGUUCUUAUCAAAACUAUGAAAAGCCACAGAAACUUCAUAUCUUGUUGGUUAUCUAGUUUAAAUUACUAUAAAUAUUAUUAUCAAUCAUUCGCUAAUUUUUUAGGGUCAUAAUUAUCUAGUUAGUCUAGUGGUUUAUUAAUUGGGUGCAGCAGCACACUGGUGUGCCGCAAGCAUUCACUAAGUAUGCCGUGGUCUUUUGACACAUAAAUUGUGACGGACCACCGGUUACGGUGAUCUGCUUAUUAAGUAUGAAGUCGCAAACUCAUUUGCUUAUGAUUCGUUUGAGUAUGACUCAUACAUUGUAGAUUCCGAGCGUAUCGAAGGAGCUAUUGGAUUUACAAUGCUGUUUAUUUUUAAUUUUUUUUGUUUUCUUUGUUUUAGACUGUGGACACUUUUUUUCCCAGUAAACUUACUCCAAUGUACAAGUGUAGUACAUUUUUUGAAAGCUCAAGUUGUCUAGAUUUUAUUUUAAAGAUGUCAUUUGAUUUUUGUCAUUUUUUUAAAUAAAAGCACUUAAGUGGGAAAAACGUAAGAAAAUGUACAAUUUCACGAUUUCAUUAUUUUAUAAAAACACGGACGACGUUUUCUACCAGAAAAAAUAAGUUAAUUGAAAAAUCACAGGAUACCUUUUUUGUUGAUUUUUUGAUUUUAUUUCUUAGGGUAUCAUUUCCAAAACUUUUGCGAAACUUUUAUGCUUUUAAUUUUUGAGAGUUUUUUGGUUUUAAUUCGGUUACAAAUACACGUAGAGACUUAAAACUUGGUAAUAAUACUUAUAUUAAACUUAAAUAGACGUGGUGAAAUUUUUAAAAACAUUGGACGACUUUUUUAUUUUUAAUAAGCGUUUUGAAAUCAAAUUUAAACGAAAAUCGUAAAAAAAAAAAAUUACGGCACUUUAAAUUAUGUAUUACCUAAUUGCGCUCGGAAUCGUCUUUCGUCAAGCAAUGGUUGAUCGUUGCUUACAGAUAUAAAUGAAAUAACCUUAUGCAUCCUAUCUUCCCAACUUCUUACCUACAACAGUGGCCACUCACAUUCCCAGUAUCAGCUCUUUUUUUUUAUUUGUUCUAAUUUUAUUCAAAAAUUUAAUCAUUGGUAAAAAAAAGUCACAGUGUGCCGUGAUCAAAAAUAGUUUUUUUAAUAUCAUUGAGUUAGUCCAAUGUUUCACUGGCAGCACUACUAGACAAAAAGGAUUUGACAAGAAUGGAUUUUUAUUUCAUUUUUACCUAGCCUACUAACUACUUCAACAAAUAUCUCGCAAAAAUUGUUUGUAACUUAGUCAAAAAUAAUUUGUUUGUUUUUCAACUUCAUAAAUAUGUUAUUAUGACUCCAUAAAUGAAGAAGUAUCAGUGUUUUAUAAUUAAAAAAAUAAAAAGUCCUGGCUGAAAAUGUUAACAUAGAUACACUGAUAUCUAUAAGUAAAUUAAUGAUUAAAUAAUUAUUUUUUUUUUUCAAUAUCGUGCGAGAUUCUGUGAUAAAUGUAAUAAAUGUUUUAUUAAUUCCACUCAAAGCUGUUUAUUAACAUUUUAUAAUACAAAUUUAAACUUAUAAAUACCUAAUUAUAAUAAUAAUUACUAUCGUAUAAUUUUCUAUACACGAUCAACACAAAUUCAAUCAGUUUAUGAUAUUAAUAAAAAUGAAAAAGUUUCACUGUAGAGAAUUGUGUGUAUACAAAGUAUAAUAUAAUACCUAUCCUUGUUGAAUUAUUUAUUUUAUUUCUGAAUAAUGAUUGAUUGAUAUUCAAUACACAUUGCAUACCAUAUUCUUUAAAUACAGUAUAGUGUACUUUGUUUUAUUUUAUGGUUAAACAUUUUAUUAAAUUGUUUUUUUCUUUUUUUUUACGAUAGUAUAAGACCUAUACUUAUCUGAUAUCUGUGUAGAGAAAUUGAAAAAGUUUCAGAGUUUUUGUAAACAGAUUUAAUAAAUAUGAUCGAAUUCCAUGGUGGCGGGGUGAUGUUGUACAAGUGUUUUAAAGUUUUUAUUGAAAAAUGUGCAAAAUGAAUUUUUGUUAGUAAAUUAAAGUUCAGUAAUAGAGCUUUUAUUUCCCAAACUUUAUUCUGUAACAUUAUCGCUUAAUCGUGAAUUCGUGCAUCAAAAACUCAAGUGGUAAGUUUUUUCCUUCCAAUUAAACGUUUGCGUGCACAUGAUUUCCGUUAAAUUUUUUAUUUUAUUUUCUUCUUCAUAUUCGAUCCAACAUGAUUGUUAAUAGUUAUUAUGCUAAAACAGUUUAAUUUUUUGCCUACUAUACAAGAAGGGCCAGGAGGUAGCUUUCAUCAUCGUUGUCGGGUAAUGAGUUAAUGUGUUAUCCAACAGGUCUAUUUAAAAUUAAUAGUAAAAUAUCGUACUUUGUAUAUUAUUUUAAAUUGAGAAUGCUGUAUUGUAGAAGUUGUGUUUAAAUUUUAAGUAAUAAAUUGAUUUUUACAGAAAUACAAAGAUCAAAUUUGAUGUAUGUAUGAAUAUAUUUUUAUUACUGCAUUCACCUCGGAAUAUACUAAUGAACUGCCUUACCUGCCAUAUUAUUUCCUGUAUUCUGUAUAAGGUUUUUUUUUUUUUUUUUUGAGGAGGGUAGGUCAAAAAGGAGAAAAGGUAUACAUUUAUACACGUUAUAUACUGUAGCCACUUCCGCACCUAAUACUAUUUAGCGCCCGCAAUUAUUCGCCAUGCGUUAAUCAAACUAUUAAAGUUUUGACGUCGUUCGAACUUCAAAUAACGGUCGUUAUACAAGAGUCGCUUACCUUUAGUAAUUAUAUAAUAUGUAUAUACUAUGUAUCGGUGUAUACUAUGUAAACGGCGAACGAAACCGCGUCUGCGGCCGCAAAACGCCCGGUGUUUCACCCAACUGUCUAGCCAUGCCACCGCCGCACGCCGCCGCCGCCGAUGACGUCGAUUAACACCACCGCCGAAAAAAACUACCGCCGCCGCGCCGUGGACCCUUGCCAACUUUGGUUAUCCGCAUCGGUCCUCCGCUGCAAAAGCUCGCUAUCGUUUUUCCCUUUACCGAGAAACACGAUCCGUCUCGUAAUACCAUCCCCGCCAAUCUCCGUUUCACGUAGUUUAUAGUAAAUAUAUUUUACUUAACAUAAUAUAUUAUUAUAUUUGUUGGUUGUUAACACAUUUUGUGGCAUGUAAUUCGACCGAGGUCAACAGACCACUUAAAAAAAUUAUAUAUAUAUAUAUAUAAUUUAAUUACCUACCGAUCUGUCAGUACGUUACAAAAUACAUAUGUAAGAGUAUCGCGGUUUUGUUACUUUUUAAAUCAGAAAAUCGCCGAUAAUAUAGCAUUUAUAAGAUACGACCUAAUAAGUCGUGAUUAUUGAAAUGUGUGAUGAAUUUGUUUUAUGACGAUAAUUUUAAUGAAUUGUGGAAAUUUCUUGACAAAUUACGCCGUGAACCUCAGAAUUUAAUUAUAUUAGGGACAUAAGGAAUAUUAAUUGAACGAUGCCUAACUGCGAUUAAUUGAAAUGUACAAUAUUAUAUACGAAGACAAUAAUUUUCAAACUCUCCGAUUUUAACAUAUUAUUACUAUGAAAUGUGUAUUAUUACGUAAUCUAGAACUACCGGAUGAUUAAUCACAGUGUUGUUUAGCGAUAUUUCAUUGUACAUUUAUAGCUUUACCGCGGUUUAAAACUUCGCACUUACGAGUAUAUAGAGAAUUGCCAUUUUGACAGCGAGACACCAAGUUUAGCUGCAAGUUUUCACGCGACCGAGUUAUAAAAUAAUUUUAUCGGGUGUAAGAAAGAAUUUUGAAGAAUUUCCUCGUCUAUAAUUUACGAUGAAACAUCUUCUAACGGAUAAUAUUAUAUGCGUUUAUGCCUGCAGUAGUUAACUGCAAGUACAAUUACCUAAUUUUAAUCAUCCGGCACAAUAAUUUUCAAUAGGCCCCUUUACAAAAAUACAUUUUUUUUUAAAUUUUUCAUUUCUAUAAACAUUAAACAAGUAAUUUUAUUUUAAAUUUACAAUAAUCAAUAUCAUAUCUAUUUUUCCGUGUCCAAUCUGAGUAACAAACAUGUUAUUAAUAUUAUUAAAGAUAAUUAUUUUGUGUUGAAUUUGAAUUAAUAUAAAUAAAAUAACGUAUACAGACUUUAUAAAAUAUAAGAGCACGCUUUUUAAUUUGGUUAAAGGAUUAGGUUUCCUUAGGAUAAUAUUUUAGAAUACAAGAAAAAAAAAUCGUUCGGCUUAUCGAGUGUCUCUUCUAUAUUGUUUGUUGACCAUAGCUACUAUUUGUGUCUACAGCCGUGAUGUCAAUUAAACAAAAUAUUCCAAUAAGGUAUAUUUGAUCAAGAAAAUAAUUUUAAAUUUGAAUUUAAAUAUUUACUUAUAAAUAUUAUUUUCUUAUUUUCCCAUUUUGUAGUUUUUGCCCUGGAGAUCACCGGAUAGUCGAAUGGGCCAGACCGACACUCGAUUUAUGCAUUUAUAUAAUUAGUUCACAUAUGCUAUGCAUUCGAUACAGAAAAAGACGAGGAGUGCUAAAGUGUGAAACUUUGCAGUUGUGGUUCGUCGUUUUUGUCAUAUUUUGAUGAGAAUUUUAUUAGACAGGUAUAUUUGACAGGAAAAAUUCAAUCGUAUGUAAUUACAUUUUAAUGUACCUAUACUACUAAAUAUUUUGAUAGUAAUAUAUUUUUUAUAUAUGGAGUUAUAUACGAAUACUUAAUAAUUGUUAUCGACGGAUAGGUUGACAGAGGCAAAGUUUAGACUUUAUUUGAGCGCUGCAAACAUAAUAAGCAUUUUACUCAUAAUCUACACGGAGGAUCUCGAGAAAGUUUGACGAUAUUACGAUAAAAUAUAAUUUUAAACAAAUAUGAGUAAAUUAUAUUACUCGCGUAUAUUCUGAAAUAUUAUUCUAAUAAAUAAAUAUUACUAAUUUUCUCAAACGAUAUAUUUUUACAAUGUAUAUGAUACCAAAAAUUCGCUAUAAAUCAUUAUACAGUUAAUAUAACUUAAAGAAAUAUACUUCAUUCGGAACCCGAAGAAAAAUAAAUUACAUUUAUAUAUUAUAAGUGUGUUUAGUAGACGAUAUAUUAUUAUUAGAGUUAUUAUAAGAGUUUUAUUUUAGGACGCCGAACGGUGAUGAUAAUAAUAAUAAUAAUAAUUAGUGCGUUUUCCCUUCGUACAUGUUAUGUAGUUUUCAAAAUCAAAUCGAAAUAAUUACCGCUGGUUUUGUACAAAAAAAAAAUAAUUUUAAAUAUUAUAUUAUUUACCCGUCAUUUGAUUUUUUUUUUUUAAUGUUAAAUUAGGUUUUUAUGCUAUAGAUAAUAGAUAUCGUAGACAAAUGAACAUAAUGUAAAUAUUUAUACGCCGAAAUAAUUGGAAGGUCAUUAACAACAAAACGAAUUAACGUGAUUACAGAAAAAUCCAGUCAGUUUAAAAAUAGAACGCAUUAAAACAUGACUAUAAUAAUCUUACCAUAUGGUGGCGUUAUGCCUUAACGAGUUAACUGGGCCGACUAGUCGAGAUUUAAAUUGUUCAUUUUCAAGUAUACGCUUUAAAACGGGCGUCCUUUCUGUACAAUAAACCACGGACCGAAUGUCUAAUAGCUAUGAAAAUAUUCGAGGAUGAAUUACCGAAAACAAAUUUCUCGAACAAAAAAAUAAAGAACAAAUAUUAUUGAAUAAUACACAUAAUAUUGUCAUUAUAGGCACAGUAUAAUGAGGUGGCGGUUAAAUUGAUUUUUUCACGAGUCCGAUUUUUCAAUAAUUGUUAUUAUUAUUUGCAAUUCUAUUAUUUUUUUAUUUCUUUUAAUAUAGAUAAUAGUAUGUAAUACAAUACGUAUGAUUAUAAAUAUUUAAGAGGAAAAAAGGCCACGGAAAUCCUCACUGCACCCUCACCAUCGUUUGAUCCCCACUGUUAUAUUGUUAUAAUAUAGUAGAACCUGUUUAAAAUUAACUCCAGGAACGAACGACGACAACGACGGUAACAUAAUAAUUAUAUAGUAAAAUGACCCGACGAAAUCACGCUAAAUCGAUACUAUACAUUAAAUGGGCGAGACUCUUUUCCGCUGAAAACAAACCUUUUCUUUUUCCAUCAAAUAGAACAACUUUAAAUAGAGAGUAUAAAUAGUAAUAAUAUGAUUUGGAUUUUAUAAUAUGUUUUAAAACAACCGCGAUUAUUGAUUAUGAUAUUAUUCAAUUUUCUAUUUACAAAAAAUAAAACAAAAAUGAAUUGGUGAAAAAGGAAAACAAGAGAAUAAUUUAAUGGAUUUUUAUUCGUUGACGUAUUCGAAAAUCGCAGAUUAUGUUUUAGAUAACAUUGCACUAAAUAUUUUCGCUAUCAUCGUUUAAAUAGAAUAAUAAUUGGGAACGAUAUAAUAUUUAAACGUAUAUUUUUUUUCACCACAACUACGAUGUAAUAAUUCCGCAUACAUAAUAUAUAAUAUGCUUUUUGUCAAUCACAAUCUCCAGUUUUCAACUUUGCCACUAUAUAAGUACCUAUUAAAAACAAAAAAAAAUAACAUUGGCUAUUAUAAUAAUACGUUGUAAUUGGAAUUUUAAAGCAGUAUACCUACGGUAUUAAAAUAUAACCGAGAACAAGAAAUUACAUUCAUUAUGCAGAUAUUUUUUUAAAUAACUUAUAUAUACUUCCAUUUGUGGAAUAAGUUGCUCGAGUUUUUUUUUUUUUUAUGAACUUCUGUUACAGAUUUUGUUUGUCUUCAUUUUAUUUUGCCUAAUUCUGCUGUCCAUUGUCCCGUUUUUUUCUCUCUCUUUAAAACAAAUAAAAACAAAACUUUCCACCAACUAUAAACUGCUCGUUUUCGAAAUCCCCAUCUCUACUUAUUUGAAUAUCAUUUACAUUACAAAUUGUGAAUUCACAUUCGAGUGUCGGGAAUUCUAUAAAAGGAAGCCCUGUGAUUGUAUAAAAUAAAACUGGCAUAUUUCUGGAUAUUUCGUUUUGAGGCAUAUUUUAGAAAAAUCGUAAAAUACCAGUUGUUUUCCAUUUAUUUUUCCUUACAUUUUAAUUAUGCAAUAAAAAUAUUAUUGUAACUAAUGAUUUUAGUUUAUGAGUGGAUCCAGGAAUGUAUUAGUUACAUAAAACCUUUUAAAUUUAAAAAUUUUGGAUCUCGUUUAAUCAAAGCGUCAGAAAUAUGCACCUUGUGUACAUAUUAUAUUAUUAUAUAUUUAUAAUUAAUUAGUGAAUAACCUACAUUUGUAUAAUUUAAAACGGUAAAUAUAUACGAGUAUGCUAAUGUUCGUCUGCAUAAGCACUUAAAUUCUGUUUAACGACAUCGUAUUAAACCCUUAGUGAAAUGUUAUUUGACUUAAUGAAUCAAGGGUUUUGCGUUCAUAAUACUAUAUAAAAUAUUAUUCUCGAAAUAUUUUAUUUCUUUUUAAUCUGUAAACAGAAUUUAUGAGUAUAAACAAAUCGAGAGAUGUUUAUCUCUUAUAUAAAUGUUUCGAGAUCAAUUAAAACAACUGUGCGCGAGAUUUAUAAAAUUGUAUUAUAUUAUGAUCUUACAUUGUUAAGCGGAGAAUAAAUAGGAUGAAAAAAAAAUUAAGUUAAAAACAGUGAUAAAUACUAUCUGUGCACAAUUGAUGUUCUAUCUAUAUUUCUAUUGAUAAAAUUAAAACGAUGUUAUUAAUAUAAUAAUAUAGUUUUACAAUUCAAUUAAUUGGGGGUAACUCAUUAAAAUAAAAUACAUACGAGUUAUUAAAAAUAAAAAAAACUGUUCAAAACAAUAUUAACAUACAUCUAAGCAUCCUUAUUUGUUUACAUUUUUUAAUAAUUAUAUUUACGAAGUGGGUACCUACUGAAAAAUUCUUGUUCUUAUUUUUUUUUCCUAUUCGCGAGGAAAAAUAUAUGUUUAACUAACAUAAUAUUUUGCAUGGAACACCACACAAAAUACCAGAUGACAAUUUGAGAAAAAUAAUAUUAUAUAUUUAUAUGGGUUUGUACGUCAGAAAAAAAUUUAAAAAAUUCGGAAGCAUAAUUAAUACAUUAAUAUUUAUAGUGAAUAAGGGGGGUAAGGGGGCCAUGAGAGCGAUUGCUUCCUCCAUUCACUCUCCAAUAUACUCUUAGCUUGAUUUAUUAUUAAGCUUAUUGCGAUUCUGUGUUUUAUACGAAUUUUGAAAAUACCCCAUCCUUCAUUAGCUUUUCCUGGAUCUACGUUCGAUAAUGCUAAGGGUAAACCAAUAUAUAAUUUACUUAGCAUAUCAGCCACUUAUGUAUAUAAAACGUUUCAUAUAAACUUAAGUUUAAUAUAAUUACUUACGUACUUUUUUUUAUAGAAUGUAUUUUUAUCGGGUUCGUAAGGCAGGCACUCAAUAAUUAAUUAGGAACAAGAACACGCUUAAGAUCUAAGGAAUAAUUGAUAAAAAUACAGUAAAAAUAAGGAAGCUAUGAAUCAAAUAAUAAUAAUAAUAAUAAUGGAAGAUGCCGAAAUAAAUACAUAUAAAGAGAUUCAAAAAAAAUAUAAACGAUAGGGAUAGACAGGGAGAAACAUCUAUAAUUUGAAUGAUCUUGGAAUAUUAAUAAAAAUAUAAUUAAUUUCAUAAUAUUCUUUGAUGCGUUUUGAACGCAAAUAAAUUGAGAAAUUGGUAACGAGUAUAAUACUAUAAUCUCGUAUUAUGUAUAACCGGGUUAUAUUUAUAGACUUAAAAUUUUAGCGAUAUAAAUUCUGUUGAAUUGCUGAACACUGUAUGUUUAAUCAAUUAUAAUCAAUAUGGAUCGUACUUAAAACAUACACUUGUAAUUUUGUUCCAACCAUUUACGAGUAUAUAGUAUCAUAGUAUAUUCUAAUAUUAUUAUUAUUGUUUUUUAGGAGCACUUAACAAUAUUAUCUCAUAAAAAGUUCAAACAUUGCAGCAAUACAUUUAAAUAAAUUACAAUGUUCUCGCGAGAAUAAUUGAAAUCCAGCUUACUGAACUUUUGAUAGUGUAGUAUAAUAAAAAAAACUUCAUUAGCAUAAUUUAUUAUGCUCGAAAAAUGCAAUCAAAUAGUUUAUUAUUAUUUUUAUUAUUUAUUUAUUAAUAUUAUAUAUAUACAUCAAACUUUGUUUAAAAACAAUUAAUGAUUAUUUUUCCGAAAUUUACUAUAGACGAUAGUGUUUAAUUUAAAUAUAAAAAAAUGUAUAAAAAGUUUAAUAUACAGUAUACAUAUCGUUUAUAAGCACAUUAAAAAUGUUUUAUAGUAUAGCAGUAAGCCUGGGUUCGAGCAGAUGUUUUUUGUGAUGGUUGUGUGAGUUUUGAAAACCUCUGAUCUGUAGGAACAGUAUAAUACCCCCGAAAACAUAAUUCCAAUGACGAAGAUAAAGAUAAAUAAUGUGCAAGACAAAUAUGAAUUUAAUUGAUAGACCUGAUUAUGAGUGAAUUAAAAGUGUAUUUUAUGUAAACAACAUUGUAAUGUUUAUCUCAUUGAUAAAUAUUACUCUUGUAACUAUUAUUAUUUAUAGAUUUGAAUAUUACUGUUAAUAAAAUUAAUAAAUUAUCAUGAUCAUUAAAACCGUGCAUAGGAUAAAAAAAAAAAAUAUUAAAAUACAGCAGUGGAUAUUUUUGAACGGGAGAUAUUUGUAGUUACCAUACGAUUUUGUCGAUAUUAUUGACAAUACAAAUUCGACUAUAGUGACACUGGAAUUUUUACCCAGGCUAGGUUAUUUUUUAUGAUGUACAAUCUCCAAAAAUGUGAACGAUACUAUAGUUAGAUUAAUGAAUUUUUAGUUUUUGCUGCUGUAGUGUAAAAUUAUUAUUGUUUUUGUUUAAUGCUUUAUACGAUGAAAAUAUUUACUUAUUAAUUGACUUUGGUAAAAUGUAUUCCCGUGACUCAUUAUCAUUUUGAACGAUAUUAUAGUCAUUGCGGACUGAUGAUUGGGAUCAUUACCUAUACAACAUAAAUAAAUAUCUGGUCAAAAAUCUGGUCUUGACGGCCAUGGCUUUUGGCACUACAAUAGCGUGAUGUAUAAUAUAAGUUUCAAUCCUAUUAUAUAUUAAAUUCGAAUGGUUUCAAAUUAAACACCGAAAUGGAUGACUGUAAUUGUGUUUAUAAUAGCGAGAGUGGGGGAGGGGCAUUGAAGAACUGAACAUUUGAACAAUAUAUACACUGUGCUACCGCAAACGGUUCGACUAGUGGAUUUAUUAACAUUAAAAGCCGGAAAUUGAGAGAGAAGGAUUUUAAAAAUACAACUCUCUUUAUUAUAUUAUAAAAACCAGAUGUUAAUGGUUUCGCGUAUUUAUUUUUGAGCGAUCAUUGUCUUGUGUACGGCUAUUUCGCCCGGCGGCGGUCUAUGUGUCGGGACAAAAAAAAUAACGUUAUAUUCGGAUUUUAUUUUUGUAUUUCGAACACACUAUUUCACUUAUAUUCGAAAAGUUCAACUCCACUGUUAACCGCAUUGUAGAUACGAUUCGUGACUUUAGUAUCAGUUCGACAUUGAAUUAUCACAUUAUAUAAGCUAUCUAUAUUAUUUUUCAUUUUCGUAAUCUAUAAUAUCGUAUAAUAUGUAUAUAAUAUACAAAAGCAAAAACGCACAGCUCGAACUGCUGGGCAUAUAAAAAUUUAAAAUUUUGAUUAAAGAUUCCUUAUAAAAUGCACGAAGCCACUGAGAAAAUAUUUAAAAAAAUUUAAUCACUAUGGGAUUAAAAGUGGAUGUCAAUAUUUAUAAGGAAAAAAAUGAAUGUUAUGUUCUAUAAAUAAUAACGAAAAACAAAUUAUGGGUUAUUUUGGUAACACUGAUGUAAAUCGUAUUAUACCCGUAUAUAUAAUGAAUACAUACAACUUAUAAGUUAUAGAUAUUGCCUUCUCAUAUUUCCCUACCUAACGAAAAUCAAGACAAUAUAGAGUGAAAUAGAUGGCCUAAAGGUAAUAGCACAUUUUGAUCUAGUUUUUUUGAGGGGAUAUUUUGAUUCGAUGAGAUUAAAAAUUUCACCUCAAUGACUAAACUAUAUUUUUUCUCUCUCUCACUCUCUAUAUCUCCUGCAUGGCUUACAGCGGGUGAUAUGUUCACGUAUAAUGCACUGUCCAAUGAUCCAAAUGAUCUCAUUCCUGUUUCACUUUAUAUCGUCAUAUAAUAUCUCUCUGUAAGUGCCUAUUAGUUAAUAAGUCUAUGACUAUACCUAUGGUUUUAUCCACGGUUGUACGUCAAUAUAUAAACAGUAUUUUUUACGUUACGAAACUGUGCACAGGCUAAGUCAGGUAACACAGCUGGUAGUUAAUACAAUUUAAAAAAUAUAGCGUCUGCAUAAAGUAUAUUUUUCGUAUUGUUUCACAUAUAAUACGGGAGAAAUAAUAUUUUAUAAAAUAUGCAUACGAAAAAGUAUAUAAAUUAAUUAUAUUCUUCUAAAAAAAAAAAAAAAAAUCAAAACACUUUUACAUGAAAUAUAUCAUUUUAAAACUAUUGCAAUAAUUCCAUAUCCGUUUUUACAUUUUUUUUUUUUUUUUGUGUUAAAGGACUAAACAAAAACAACAAAAUAUAUAAUUAUACAUAUUUAGUGAUUGUUUUGCCAGAAAUUCACAACCUUUGGCCAGAUUACACGAUUUCACAGCGGGGGAGUGAUAACAAUUAUUAUAAGUACUUCAACACGGUCGGAUAUCUUUGACUUUAUUAUAUGAGGUCAUUUUAUAUCCGGCCGUAUACAUUGUUUUGUGUAAAAUAAUAAUCAUCGAGAAACGUUGCAUUCUACAAAGCGGGUUUACAAUAUCGAUUAAUUCGAGUGAAUUUCACAUUUUCACUUAACUUAAGAACCCGGGAAAUAACCUACCGCAUAUGCAAUAUAAUAUUAUAACACAUACGAUGUAUACGAUAUUCAUGUGUAUGUAGGUAUUAUAUUAUGCGAACGCACACGGAAUCUCAACGUUUAAUCAUAAUAAACGCGCCUUUACCUGGAGGGUCGUCGCAUAUCGUAGUACCGACUCCUGCGGUUCUGUAUUAUAGUCUCGUGACCGUAAAAUUUAACUAUCUCACGUGCAAGAUUUAAUUGAAACAUCCAUAAAACUCGAACGUUUUCGUCCCCAGAGACGUUCAAUCGAAUUAAAAUAUCCUAAGCAAUAAAAAAUAAAUAAUAAAAAAAAAAAAACGAAAAAUCUUUUCCUCCUUUAAACUGUCUGUAUAUACACACCACUCAUUGAAUUAUUAAUGUCAGUUGCUUGGUCUGUAUAUACUGUAGUAUACAUAUAUAUAUAUAUAUAUAGGUACUGUAUAGCUGGUUUUUAUUAUGUGCCCGAGAGCCUCUUUUAACGAAACCAUUUUAUUAUCAUCUGCAGCUCCACUCGCUGUACUCGUAUAUACGCUGAAAGGUUGUAUUUUAUGGCCGCAAAGGUUGAGCGCCCGGUCUACAAAUGAAUAAUAAGUGAGAUUGUAGCUUUUCUCUAUAUAUAAUAUUUUGCGAAACUUACUUACCUUUUAUAUACAACAUUGCUAAUAGACUUUCAUUUCUUAAAAAGAAAAAAUACCAUAAUUCUACUGUCGUAGUGUUAAUGCCUUCUUCCUGUAGAACUAUAAAUCUCUCGUUUAGUUUUUUUCUUUAUUCUUUUAAAUCAAAAUUAUAAUAAAUUAUAAUAUAUUGUGAGACUAUAAUAACUGUUUACGUUGGUAUAUGUAUUUUUGUACAAGCCAAAUCCCUGUUCUUCCGUCGGGAAUAGUCUCUAUUCACGCACAUAUGUGUAAAUGACCAGUAUAAUACACCCCUGUUCCAAUAUCAUCGUAAAAACAUGUUUAAACCAAUCUAGCGGACAAAAAAUGAAUUGCAAAACCAAAUAUCUACAAGGCGGUUUGAGCCUGUAACAUUAUACCUUUGGUAAAUACUUCUGAUCCAUAAUAGUAUAGUCUAUAGGUUUUUGCUAUCCCUACAAAGUAAAACCAUGUUUUUAAUUAUUUAAUGAUGACAGCCGGUUAAACUCUGGAAAUAAACACAAUUUUAAGUGAAGAAUUUUCAAACAUAAUUGAAUUAGAUCAAAUGGUAUAAACUAUUUAUGACAGUUUGAUAAAUUUAUUUGUUGUUUUUUUUACGUUAUUUUAGUAUUUUAAAUAUGUAUUUGGUACUAGUUAAAAUGUUGUCAUAUUGAUAAAACACUAAGACUCGUAGAAGUUUUAAGCAUACAAGUAGAAACAUAGAAACUAAAAACAAUAUUUUUUAAAUGAAAUUAAUUUUGAACAAUACUGUAAAAAAAGAGCUGUGCAUGCAGUUGAUAGUUUUGUCUCUGUUAUAGGUGAGAUAUUGUGAUACUUAGUGUUAUUUAAUUGAUAUCUGUACGCAAAGGAAAUUCAUUGCUAACGAAAUAUGACUCUGAACGAAGUAUAGUUAAAUAUAUUUUGAAAUACCAUGAUUUUUACGAUUUUACGAUUUUCGUUAAAAUACAAAAUUAAUAAGAGUCAUAUAAAACCUAAAUCACGUUCAACUUUAUUUUUGACAACCAAGUACAACUGCCAAAACAAAAAAUAAUAAAACCAAUCCUACUAUUUAUAUUUACUGUAAAAAAAAUGUUCGCUCAAAUAAGAAAGCGAACACAUAUUCAAAUAAAAAACUAUUAAAUAUUUUUCUUAAUUAAGUGUAAAAUAUGUAAAACCCAUACUCGGUUCAUUAAUUACUGACGAUAUUAACAUCGUCAUUUAACUAUUAAUUAUUUAAUUAAGUACACUAUAAUUGUUAUUUAGGGCAGACCGAGGUAUUUAAUUCAUACAUAAUAAAUGUUAUUUAUAUAAUAACUGAUGCGAGUUUAAUGAUUCUAUAUUGAUCAUUUUUUUUCGAGCCAGUUUUUCAAUUUAUUCACCUCAGGUAUCUUAGGAUUCGUCCAUAUUAUUAGCUAGAGUUAUUGUUUUUAAUAUACUUAACUCCUUAAAACACCUUUUAAACAGUGCUUUACCUUAAUACUACAAUUUUAUCGGAAAAAAUAAAGCAAUAGAUAAAGAAGAACUAACGAUUGAGUGUGAGAUGGAAUGUUUUUAUAGGUCAAAAACUAGUGAUAGAGAAUGAAAGAAUGUUAAUACUAUAUAUUCGUAAAUUAAAUUUAAUAAUUUAACAAAUUUAACACACGAUAUUUUUUUUUUUUAGAUUAUCAAGUGGUAAACGAAUAUUGGUAUUGAAUACAAUAAAUAAACCCACUUUUUUCGUUUUUUUCAAUAUCCAUAAUCAACGCUAACAAUAAUAAUAAUAAUACCUUUAUCUAAUAUAAUUAUUACAAUAUAAACCUCGUGGCCGUGUGAAUUAACUGCAGGUAUCGAGCAGUCGUUAACACACGGGUGUGAAUUUCCAAUUAUUUUUAUUGUUUGUGAAACGAGCUUAUUGCGAUAGAUUUGUAUUAUACAGCAGUCCCGCCAUUAAAACCGAUUAGGUACCUUUAAAACCGCAUUUUCACGACACAAUUCGUCCGGAUUAAAAUAGCAUUUUUAUCGUGAUAAUAAUAAUAAUAUUGGACAACUGGAAUAAUAAUAACCAAUAUAAUAUCCAAAGAUCGUUAAACAGGAUAAUCGUCUCGUUGUUUGUUAUGGGAUCAUCCUCCUUGUUUCGAUUCAUAGUGCGGAUAGAAACCCUGCACGGAUUUCUAAUUUUCCUUAAACGCUGGUAAUAAACGAUAUUCGAUAUUCUGAAACACUUUUAAGUACGGCCUAUAUCAAUGGCAUCGAUCGAUAUUUGAAUGUAAUGGGUUGCUGAUGGUCAACAUCACCGAUCGAUUUCUAAAUAGAUAAAUAAGUUUAUUUUAAUAUUUAAAUUAAUUUGGUGACUAUUUUCGAAUACUUAGAUUUUUCACAAAAUUUAAAGUAAAAAUGUAAAGACCGGAGUGUAUUUGAAAUAAUUCUACAUCUAUUCAUGAAAUUUUUAAUAUUGAUUCUUGUUUGAAAAACAAAAUCGGUCUCGCCACAGGAUACUUCUUGUGAAUCACGAAAAAUCUAAGUAUUCAAAAAUAUCGGCUUUAACUACAUUUAAAAAUUCCGAAAAUCAGAAUUUGAACAAACUAUGCAAAAUUUAAACAAACAAACAAAAUCAUGUGUUCGCGCUUAGUGAAUCGUUCUGUGUAUGCCCACGAUUGGCGCGAUACAAAUCGUCGGAUCGAUCCCGAAUAAUACUCAGUGCGAUUGACGAACAACCGCAGCACGUCCGCAGCCAGCGUCUAAAAUAAUAAUGUACUCGGUCGCGAAUUAUUUAUCGUGUAGGUGUUAUACCCGUGAAGCGUGACAACAUAGGCGGAUCCGUUUACGUCGCCGGUAUAUGAGUAAAACCAUACACUCGAACCAAAGCGACAGCUUCCGUGUCUAAUAAGUACGACCGACGAGCGCGCGCCGCCGCUGUUGCCCGUCGUUUGUUUCCGCCGCACGGUCGCCGUGUCCCGUCGCGUCGCGUCACCGCUGCCGGUUACUGCGUCAGACAUUCUUUCCCGCGGUCUCCGUGUACUCGUUUACGCGCGUGUAUACAUACACGCGGUAUAUUAUUAUAAUUAUUUUUUCAACAGCGGUUGACGUUAAUUGAAUCAUUAAAACAAUGCCACCGCGCUUCCACCGGCCACGAAGCUCUGGAAACAGUCCAAAAGGGUUUUGGAUUUUUAAGCACAAUGGGACCGUUGCCGCUGCUGCCGCCGUUAUUAUUGCUUUGUUAUAAUGCUUUCAACUCGUCCUCCCCCGUCUCCUAUCACCAUCAACCGCCCUUCCUCACACCCCCGUCGUCGUCGACCUUUCACUUAACCGGCCGUGCGGUUUCUAUCGCCGUGUCCGUUUUCCCCGGCGGAUUCUACACACACAAGCGCGCGUAUAUUAACUAACUAUUUUUUUUCCUCUCUCCGUUUUCAUCGUUGUUGUUACGCGUGUCGUUUUAUAUGUAUCGCCUACGAAAUUAUUAAUUGGACCGCAUCUCCGCGCGCGCGAAUACUAUGGGGAAUGCAGAUUUUAAUCUAGACGGUAUACGUGGACAUUGCCGAGGCGCAUUGCACAACAACCGACGCAAGGUCAAUAAUAAUAAUAUUGUAUAAUUGUUUCCUCCCCGCUUCGGGGGGGGGGGUUGGAGGAGAUGUGUGAACCGCAAACCCCGUAGCCCUUAAAUCCACCGCCGCCUUUAUAAUAAAAGUCGUACUACGUGACGCUAUGCGGCUAUGGGGCGACUGGCGUAUAAUAUUAUCUACUGCACUAUCACCGGGAAGAAUCGUGCGGUUGCUAUGACGUCUAGAUAAUAAUUGUAAUGCGUAAUAAUAAUACAGGGUUUUCCAAAUUGUAUACUAUAGUCGAUUUCACACGUGAAAUACUUAUUUAUUAUUAUUUUUUUUUUUUUCAAAAUUGACUUUUGCAGCGAAAACUUUUUGGAAUCAUGUUGGUAUUUUCUAAAAUGUUGCAUUACUACGCCACCACACAAAUUAUGCUCCACUAUUACCCAUCCUAAUCACAAAAUGACCCAUUUUUAAAGUGAAAUUUCUCGUAAACGGUUUGAUAUCCAUUACAAAUUUUAACACCAAAAUAUGUUUUAACUAAUAGCGAUGAGAUGUCCAAAAAAAUAAAAACAUAAAAUUAUGGCAGUGGUUUCACCCCCAAACUUAAGAGUAAAUAAUAGAAGCAAUGUAAAAGAAUUGUAGAAUAUACGAAUCGAAAAAGUUGUCCACAUAAGUGAUAGAUUAUUUUUUGAAAAAAUAUAAUUCAUGGCAAACUUUUUUUAAGACUAUUCCGAUAGAUAUUACUAUAUUCAAAAUAAAUUUAAUAUUAUAGUAUAACAGUUAUCUACAGCUAAUUUAUUAUAAAAUACCGCAAAGGCAUACAAAAAUCACGCUAUCCGUUGCCCUCCAUGCUACCCUACCCAUAACAAUUAAAUUAAUACAAAUAAUGACAAAGAUCGUGUAUUGUUACUACAGAAACGUUUUCAUUUGUUAUUUUAUUAUGUAGAUCAAUAAAUUAAUGGACUGCUCCUUCAUACGACAUUUGCUAGCAAAAAAGGGGAAAAAAUACAUUGUUCAUGUUUUUCCGUGAAAAGCAUCGAUUUAUAAUAAUCGUGAAUUAAAUCAAGUUUUAUAUAAGAUUAUUAAAUCCAUUAUUGUUAUUAUUAUUAUUAUUAUUAUUUUUUUACGAAAAAUGUAUACGCGAUUGGAUUUGUUGAAGACAAACUAUAAUUUGAAAACAAUUUCCCCGGAAUUCGAUUUCGGUUAAACACAAAUACCGUGCAAACGUAGGCAACUAUUUUGCCUCGUUUGACCAUAAUAGUACUCGUUGUAUUGUGUAACAGUAUUUUGACGAGGGGCCGUGUCCAUAUUUUAUUGAAUUUCAGAUUCAGUUAUAUGUAUAGGAGGUACCUCUAGGUACUGUCUGUGCCCAUACGCAAUUACCAUAAAAUUAAUAAAUCGAUCUGAUUAAUCAGUUAUAUUUGAUUAAACGUCGGUGUAUUGUUUAAAUUUGAUCAACUGUAAAAUUAAUUUUAACGAAUUAGUCAAUAUAUAUUAUAUAGUUUACUUUGUAGUUUGAUUUAAAAAUGUAUUGUUGUCCACAUGAUUUAUUACGCGUUAUUCGUCAUAUUAUUAUAAUAUUUUAUUGGUAAUAAAUUCUUAAAAUAUUGUUGUAUCAAUUCAGUGUCGAAAUUAGAAAAUCAUCAGUAAAUAAGAACCCUAAAAUGUAGAAAAAAAAAAUGUGUGUACCUGGUUAAUUAAAUAUUUUUGUGCACAUAUUCAUUACAAACAAAUAGAAAAGGCGCAGUAAAAUUAUGUUAAAAAUAUGAGGUAGGUACUCUCCGUUCCCCUCCCCUCGUAUCCCUCGCCGUCUUAUAAAAUCGAAAUAACUUAUGUGUGUAUAAUGCAUAUCUAAUAUUUGUAUAAAUCGUAUUACAACAUAAUAAUAUUAUUCUUUUUUAUUAAACUUUUUACAAAAAAUUGUAGGUAUUAUCGAAUCGAAAUGUGCACAAUAAUAUUUUAAAUACAAUUUCUUAUACUAAAUAAACACUAUACAUUGCAUAUAAUUUAAUAAAGAUAUACCUUUGACAAUUUGAAUGAAUGGGUAGGUAUUAUACUAUAAUAAGGAACAUACUAAAGUAUAUUCUUGAAAGGAAGAGCCUACUGGUUACAACUAGCCUCUGGGGGCAGAAUAACAUCAGGACUGAUAUAAAUAGAGAUUCCUAAGUUAGAUUUAAUAGGUUGUAGAAACUAUUUCUACCUACAGAAACACAAUAAUUGAACACCGUUGAGCAGCGACAUUACUGUGGUUAUUGUCAAACCGACAAAAUAUAUAAUAAUAUUAUUACUAUCCUGCAAUGUAUAAGCUAGAUAAAGCUGGGUAGUAAUUUUUUUAGGAAGUCUUAAAAGGCAAAAAGUAAAUUAUAAUAAUUAUAAAUUGUUUAAACUUUACAGCACUUACGUGUACACUAUUAAAACACUUGCUUUAUUUUCAAUGUAACCGUCAUAUUUUUACUAUACAAUUUUAUAACCUUUAAUUUUCAAUUUAAAAUGAAAUAAAAAUACAGAUAAUUAUAAAUUAAUUGUAUAAUAAAAAUAUAUAAACAUAAAAUACAUACUAUAUUUUAGAAACUAUUUUGAACAUUCUCAAUGCACAUGCAGAAACUUUAAAGAUAAAAUAUAGAGGACAGAGCUAAUAAUAUUUAUAGAGGUAAUUUUUUUUUUCUUAUAAUUAAUUUAGUUCGAUACAUUUAAAACUGAUAAAACAGCAAAUCGUGAUACUCAUCACUCUACAAAUCCAUGUGUACUUGUUUUAAUCCGUUUGUUUAUGUUUGUUUUAUAAUAACACGAAAUGUUAUCACAAAAUAUAUUAUUAUUAUUGUUAUUAUUGUAAUUGGUAAAGCUAUUUAUUUUAAUAUCUAUUAUAUGAUUAUUGUUUUAUACGACUAUAAUGUUAUUUAAGUUUAACAAUAAAUGUGGAAUAUAUGACCUAAGCUAACCUUGCUUUAUGGUUUUAUGCGAUGUUUAUAUUAACAUUAAACAUUUUCAAAUAAUAUCUAAUAAAGUUGAAUUUGUUUUUCUUUUUAAAAUCCAUAAUAAAUUGCAUAAGAGGUAUUAUCGUUAUUUUGAAUAUUCUAAUGUUUUAUUUUUACGAUGAUAUAGUUCGUAGCAAUUACCGGGAAGAGAAGUUAAUUUCUCAAAUAUUAUUUGGCAAGAUAUUAACGGGGGUAAUUGAAUACUGAACGUCUGUUGUUGUUAUGUAACUCGAGUUUAGUAAAAAACAAUAGGGGAAUCCGUACAACACAAUACGAAGGUAGGUGCGUGCAUAACGAAAACUUCUCAUUGGACACGGAAACUUCUCCGGUAAGCAAAUAUUCGUCGUAAUCGGAGAAUUCCUAUUUCUGGAAAAGAUUUUUUUCACCUACCUACUCCAUUAAUUGGCGGAAAUGGUGAACGAAAAUAUUAAAAACUUCGUGGCACUAUCAAUAUUCGUUUCGAGCAAUGAUAUAAUAUAUUAAAGGCAAGCAUUUGGGAAUUGCAUGAUGAACGUUUUGUAAUAUUUUCAGGGAACCUAACGAUAUUAAUAUAAUAAUACAAGAGAUGCGAGCAUAGAAAAAUUCACGAGGCAAUGUACCGAAACGAAAUGGCAGUAGGUUUUGGCUGGUAAUGUUAGCGGUGAAAAGGGUCGACUAACAGACCUGUACACCCGAUGUAAUUAACAGAGGAAACGCUUGGCAUCAUGUACAAGCGGCGGAGAUAUAGAGCACUCAAUUUUCUCGGUCUCGGCGUAAUUUUUGAUAUGUAGUUUUUCCUCUAUUAAAGUCAAAGGAACUUUUAGAAAAAAAAAAUAAAACGUACUUAAACAAUUAAAAAAAUCAUUAUCAUUUCCGUGAUGAUGUACAUAGUGUUAUAAUAAUAUAUUGCAAUAUUAUUACAGAAUUCUACAGGGAAAAUAAUAUAAGAUAUGGAUAUUCGUAUUCAAUUCAAGUCGGCGAAAUAAUAUAUAAAAUAAAUGUUUAAGUAUAUACGUACUCUAUAAUCGAACGAAACGAUUUACCCUCCCCUGCAUUCGAAAAUGUUAUACGGGAAAAAAUUACUACCCCGAGGGGAGAAAGAAAAUAUUGUAUUAUUAUAUAUAGACGCUAUACAGUGUAAUGCGAAAACGUUAGCGGUAUUGUGUUUGUAAUAACGUUAAGAGUAAAAUCGUCGAGUAUGCUUCACACCGAGUGCUAGGUAUAAGUGAUAUAAAAUAUCAAGACUACAAAAAAUAGUGUCUUCUUUUAUGUAUUUCUUUCUUUUGUUAACUCAAAUUACUAUUUAACGUAAAUAUGUUAACGCCUAUUAAGAUUUAUUUUCUUUUUUUUAACACCGUAAAUCAGAUAAUAUGUGCGAUAUGCCUAUUUAAAUGAACCCUCCCCCUUAUUAAUUAUCAAUUAAAACAUUGAGCGUGUAAAGCGACUGGAAUCCGUUCCAUAAAUUAAUAGUGAUACAGAAUUUAUUACCCGAACGUUGGUGAACCGUUUUUUAAUUGAUUUUUGCGAACAUUUCAACUGAAACCAAGUUAAAGAUUAGUUAAAGAUAAAUCGAAUUUCGAGUAAAAUUACCUAGCUUUUGCUUUUAAAUUAAAAUUUGUUUGAAAAAUCAGUUAUUUUUUUUUUUUUGGAAUCAUAAUAUACUUACCCAUUAAUUUUCUUAUUGCGGUAAGCAAAAUGAAAAAAAAUGUUUCCUUGUGGUUUGAAUUAUACAAAUGACAAACGUUCAAACAGAAUCUUCACGGACAUUUAGUUUAUCUGUAUCAUACUUGUAGAUCAACUAUACUUUCUAUAAAAAAAAAUAAAUAAAAAUAAAAAUUAAAAACAUUAUUAUCUCGCAAUGUUCUGGGGGCAAUUAUUGUUAAUUUUAAAUUUGAAUUGGUUUUUCGUAAGCUAGAUGAUAUAAUUUGUAUGGGUUAUAUAAUAUAAACUGCGCAUGAAGUAGUUAUAAAUUGCUGGAAGUACAUCCGUCAGGUUUCCUGAAUGAUUUUGUUUUAAUGUAUAAAUAAAAUAUUAUUUGGCGUCUAGUUUUGUUGUUUCCAAAAUGAAAUUGGUUUGUCAGAACUUAAGAUUUCCGUUUUAAAACCCGUUGACUUUUUCAAUUAAUGACUUCCUGUUCUAAUAAUAAUAUAUUUUUAUUAGCUUGUUUUAUUCAACUAUUUUAAGGUCUCUUUUUUAAUGUAUAUAUUCGAAUUAACAUUUUUAAAAUAUAUCCUUUGUUUCUUUUAACAAUGAUUUGAUUAAAUCUAAAUGACGUCACUGGAAUAUACUUAUAUUAUGAUUUCUAUACAAGUUUUCAAUUAAUCUAAUAAACCUAUCUUUAAAAUCUAUAUAAUAACUAUAAACCUACUUAUAUUACACACAUAUGAGCACAAAAAACCCAAAUAUAUUUAUAUAUAUAUAUAUUUUUUUUGUGGGGAGGGGACUUAAUAUUGAUUAUAAUAAACCAUGCUUACAUGGUGAUAAUUUGAUUAGGGGGAGUAGUUCAACCGAUUUUUGAUGGAGAAUCAACCCAUAAGCCCCCUAUUAUAUUGUGCAAAUGAUAUUACAUAAUUAAUUUGAGACCAUUUAAAUAAUUCUAUGUUAAAUUAAUAAUAACCAACAUAUUUGUUAUGUAAUUUAAUCCAUAUUCAUAGAAAAAAAAAAAAAACAUUAAUUAAAGAUCAUUUUUUUUGCCAUUUAAUCUCGUUUAUAACCGAGGUGUUUUCGUGUUGUAUACAUUUAAAAUUUUGUUUUUCGACUUUGACGUCGUUAUUUUACAGCACAUCAAAUAAUAUGCAUGUUUGACUGUGUUAAAUCAUGAUACAUAAAACGAGGGUAUGUAUAUGGAUAAUAAUGAUACUAUGAUACUAUAAUAACUUAAUGUAGUUUUGUAUAAUUCAUUUUUUUUUUCACUUAUUUACAAUUGAAAUUUAACUAAAACAUAAUGUACUUAUAUUAUAUAAAUAUAUUUGGCUGUUAAUAAUAAUUAUAUUAGAUUAAAUAUACAAUUUGUCUUCGUUUAUUUUUUAAGAAAAGUGAUAAAGUAAUAAAAGUCAUAUCAAUUCCGGUAAUUGAUUAAAAUCUAAAAUAAAUAAUAAACCUACCUAUUUUAUAUUAUUAAACCUAAAAGAGUUUCAAUAAUAUAAUGGGAAAAAUGACAAAGAACUUAUUUUAAAAUCUGUUAAUUUAGAAAAAUUUAACUAGAUCUAACUAGAUUAAAUUUAGGAUAAAUGCAAACGAUAACUAAUUCUAUUUAUGAUUUAAUAUGUGACCUAUACAAUUUUAUUUUUCAGUUAUUUUCCUCGGAAUAUUUAUGUUCGUGAAAAUAAAAAUAAAAUGUGAUCACAUAUAUAUAUGUGUAUAAAAAAGUCAGUUGUUAUCUACAUUUACAACCUUUCUGGAAGGGAAUAAUGAAAAAGAUACAAAAUAAAUGUUGUUACGUUUUAUCCUUCCGUAUAACUGCAUAAGUCUUUGUUCAAGUCUUAUAACAUAUAAUAUAUUAAUAUAUAUAUAUAUAUAUAUAUAUGUUACUGAUAUUAAACGUGACCGGUAAAUUGGGUUGGAUAACAAUUGAGAUUGAGAUUGCUUCAAAUGAACCCUUCGCACACCAUUCCUUUGUCAACAGAAAUAGCUCGGGUCGUUUGAAUUUCGUCCAAAAAAAUUUUAAUCCUACGAUAUAUUCAGCGGGUCGAUCAAUUUCCUCGCGAAAUUUUCAAUAUAUUUUAAAGAACGUAGUGUUUAGUCGGCUUCUAGAAAAUGACAACGUCUGAGUGAAACCGUUAAUACUUUAUAAUUCGCGAUAAUCACAAUUCUGAUAACACGUACACUUAUAAUGUGUAUAAUUAUUGUUGUUGAGCUUGAGAAAUUGAAUUGAAAAUGUAAACAGCCAUAUAAUUCGUUUUAAUUUCUUUUUACUUUAGCAAUUUGAAAAUUGUUUUUCUUAUAUUCUUUUUAUUUACUAUAAUAUUCAAGUUUCACCGUCAACCAUCGUCACCUCGGUAUAAAUAUAUUACCAGUUGUGUUACAAUGUUUAAUUAUAUUAAUCUUAUCUUAUCGUGAAAUUAUUAAAAAUAUUAUUUACGAUUUAAUACCUCGUAAAGUAUUUUUCAUUUAUGAGAUAUAAUGUACAAUUAUUUUUGUUCGAGCUUUCGUAAAAUUGUGUUAAUAUUCAAUUAACGUAUACCUUUAUAUAGCCAGGGUAAAAUUCACUUUUUGUUGAAGAGAAAACUAGUUAGUUCAUAUAAUGGUUUUGUAAAAGUAUGUGUUGGAUUAGAGCAAGGUCAAUCAGACCACGGAAGAAAGUUUUUUUUUUUCGUAUUAAUGGAGUAUUUGAAACAAAGCCAAUCAAAUACGUUACUCGAACCUUUGUUAAAACACGAACAACUUUUGUUGAAUUCGAUACACAAUGUAUAGCAGAAUUAAAAACAUGAAAUAGAAUAGAGCGCGUUAAAAAAUAGGCGUUUUAACAGUUUCAAAGACAAUGUCAUAAUUUUGUAAACUAAAAAUAUUUGGUACAUUUGUAAACAAAUAAAAGUCAAUUAAAAUUAUUAAUCGAGUAUCUUGUUGAAAAAAAAAAUUAAAAUCUCAUAAAAAUGUUUUUUUUUUUUUAGAAAAUUUAUUUAGUUUAUUUUUUUUCACUUUAUUUAUUAAAAUCACAUGGUAAAUAAUAUUAUUAAGAUUAUCUCAGUAGAUUGUAGAAAUAAAUCGACUUAUUGUGUAUAGUGUCGAAUACAUAUUAUUUGCGCUGGAACUCGGAAACCGGAAGCUGAUAAUGACUAUUGGCUACUACAAUACUGAACUUAGUUCCGUUUUCAGUCGAUAUUCCAAAAGUUUGGCCAACCCGAGGUGAAUAAUCGCAUAUAAUCUGGACUAUUGCGUAAGCAAGUUCAAUGGAAAAUAACACAAUAUUCUCCCUAAAACACCAUAUAAUACGGACACCCUUAAAAUAUAAAGUAAAAAGUUUUUUUUUUUUUUUUGAACUUGGCAGUCUGCUUGCCCUCAUCCGAUCUCUGGCCGAAGUCCAGCUUUUAAAAUGCGAGAGAGAAAAAAUAAAAUGGAAAGGUAGGUAUGUAUAUGUAUAUAUGGUCUAUAGGACUUUCGUUGUAUACAUAUAUAUAUAUACUAUACGCAAUAAUACUUUCGGAUCAAUAUAAUCAAAGCACUCAUUGUCACGACUUAUAAGAGAUAUUAUUAUAAUGUUUGUUAUGUAUACAUCACUUUUAAUAAAUUAUUUAUAAUAAUCACAAGUAUUGAUGGAACAUUCAAUACAACCACCGAUGAAUUCAAUAAUAGAAUAAGCAUAAUUACUUGAAUAUUAUAAUGUACCUAUUUCCUUUUAAAAUUAUUACUUUUUCGUGAUUGAUAAUAUUAUAAUAUAUGCAAACCAAACGUCAGUUAAACACACCGCCAUUAUAUAUUAGACGUUUAUUUCAUUUCGAAUAAGUUAUCCGACCCGCUUUUAUCUUAUUCUAAAUUAACUAGUUUUCAAAAAAAAAAAAAAAAAAAACUUAAUUAAGUCUUGCGUUCUUUGAACUAAACUUUCCGACGAAAAAAGGUUGUUUUUUCUUUGCGAAGAGAACAGAAAAAUAACACAUAUUUUUCGAGAAACUUGAAAAGCGCUUAUCGUUUUAUUGUUUCUCCCGCCACUACCGUCCCACCUAACACAUUAAACGGCGCGGAGAAAAAAAAAUAAAUUUCAAAGUGCGUCAAAAUGGAAAUUUAAAUAAAAUAAAAAAAAACCAAAAAUAAAGGUCCGAAAUUAAAAUAUUCGAUUUCAACGCGGAAAAGAUUACGCAUAAGGUCUAUAACUGCUGUUCGUAUACCUACACUGCAAUGCGUAAUCGGCUAUUUAGGUAUAUGUACUUGCGUUUAAAUCUUAAGGAAAUAAAUUUCGCGCCGCUAAUAUUACGAUAAUAUUACAAUACGAUUAUUAUUACAUGUACUUAUUUUAUUGUGCGGGGCGUUUGUAACGGAAUAGCCUUUAACUUGCGUGCGCGCAAACACACACACACACACACACACACACACACACACACACAUACAUACUCGAACGCGCACACGACACUGAGACAUCACCGUGCGAAAAGUCACACUUUAUGAAUAUUGUUUUACAGUCGCCUCGCUAAAUGCGCGCCCGAAUGUUUGUGCCCGAAGUGUUGUUGACAAACAAUCUCGUGAAUAUUAUGUAAAUCGUACGCACAACAUUCCGGUUCGAGGGUUUUUGAGUUUCACUUAGGUAAUUAAGACGUACCUACGCGCAGACACCGCCUCGCCGUUCCUCAUCGCCCGUGCCGCCGACCCCGACACCGACCCCGGCCCCGCGUUCGUUCGUUUCCCUGACGUUAGUCGUUCCGUAAACGCCAUUAUUACCCCGCCGCGCGUCCGCGCGUAUCGAAGUUAACCGUUUCGCGGGAGUAGCCGAAAAGUACGCGAACGAAACCUAUUAUAAUUAUUAUAUUAAUACAUUUACCAUCGCGAUAUCGCGCGUAUAGGCCUUAGGUAGCGACGCGAAAAGAGAAUAUUUUCGCGUAGAGAUUCUCGGGCAGAAAGAGUAUUCGUAUAGUGUUAUGGGGCGAAAUUUAAGUAAUUCCCAUAUGCAUUUGGUGAAAUGCGAUAAUAUUAUACUCGCAGGUUCUCACUUUUAUUCGAUACGGUUUUUUGGUAGUUAUUAUUGAAUUUGACCGUACUGAAAUAAUGACGAUUGAAGAACGUUCAUACGAUUCAUAGGGCAUUUUCCUUUUGAUAUCUAUAUCUUAUCUGAGUAUGGGUAUAUAUAUUAUAUAAUCAUGAUUGUAUGCGGUAUGGAUAAGAAGUUAUAAGUUAAUUUUGGGAAAAAAAAUAUUCAACAUUAUAUGAGAUAAACCGAUAAAAAACGAAUAGGAAAGACAAUCACUGAAAAUUCUACAAUUGUUCUUUAAACAUAUUAUUACAGUAAUUUCGUGUCACUAAGGCUACCCGAGUACAAAACUUGCAAUGUGUAACUUAUAGAAAACAUAAUAAUAAUAUUAGUAGCUUAUAAGCAACACAUAGUUGCUUAUGCUAUCCGUUUAUCUCGGUCGUAAAAUCGUUCGGGAAGAAUAUCACGUAAAUCGCAUUUGGUAGGCGUGUCGCAAUUGUCGAUUUUCCAGAUUUAUUAAAGCAGUAUAUCACUUAGUUUUAGGCAAAGUUCAUAGCGUGUUGGGAGGAGGGGAAAUCAGAUUAAAUUAUUUUGAUAAGUGCAUUUUUUCAUGGAAAUGUACGCUUUACACUGGUACGUUUUACAAUAUUUAAUUUUUAUACGUGAUUUAAAUGGAUACAAGCUAAAUUUUCAAUUUAUCACUAACCUAUUGAUUAUCAUGUUUACUCAAUAGUACCUAAUAUAAUACUUUGUAAAAAUAUAAUUUGUUUUGUUUCCAGAACAGCAUUUUCUUUUUUUGAUUUUUCAUCAAAAAUUUAUUGUUAGAGGGACGUUUUAACCAAGCGCCAAGGGCGGUGGGGAUAGGCUACAGAUAAAGGCCAGCCUGGGCCAAAUUUAACAUUUGUGACUCAUACCGUAGCCGUUACGCUAUCACUACGUCCCAUUUUGCCGAAAAAGAAGGCAGUUCAGAAAAUCCCGACGUCCCGGUUGGCUUAUUCGCCCUCGCCCGUUAAAUAAUUUAAACGACAUUGUGAUUCAACUUUAUGGCAAAUUUAAGUUAUUACAGUAUGUUUCUCUUACAUAAAAAUCAUUGUCUUUAAUUAUAUCAUGUUAUAGAUUUAUUAUAAUAUUUAUAUAUCGUACAAUGCUACCGAUAAAAAUACAUACCUACCAAAAUAAUAAAAACAGUGGAUUAUAUACCAAAUGAGUAUAUGAUAAUUGACAAGUAACCAAUAUUUUAUGUUAACAAUUACAAUUUGUUUAUUUUAAGAAUCUUUGUGUAAAUUAUUUAAUUAUUUUAUAUAUUCCUCAAUACUUAAAUGAAUUAAUUUCAAAUCUUACAUAAAUCGUUAAAUGACUGAUUAGAAAUUUCAGUUUCGCAACACGUGCGUGAAUUUGGCCCUUACACUUUAUUAAAACAAGUUCUAAAUAACGCCAAUAUUUUGCAAGUCCAUUCCUAAAAUGUGCAAGUUAAUAAUAAAGGAGUUAUUAUGGAUUGAACUGAGUAAGGGCUAACUUCACGCAGCUCUUACAUGUCCUAGAAACUUCAAACCUGUGUCGAAACACUCGUUGUAAAUUGUAAACAUUUGCAAGUCCAAUCCCGCAAUUUGCAAGUCAACCAUCCCGCCCCCUUUUGUUAUAUUAUAAAUAUUCUAAAUAUUUUUAGGCUAUGACCAAACUUCGCUCUGAAUCGUAUUUUCGUUAGCAAAUGAUUAUCGUUACGUACCAAUAUAAAUUAAUGAACUUACCUGCAUCCUACUCUCCAAACUUUCUAUUUCCAACAGUCGUCGCAUAUAUUCCUAGUAUCCUAGGACAUUUUUUAUUUGUCUGCAUAACCGGACUUAUUUUGUCUCAUUACCUUUAUUUUAAUGACGGCAUAUGAUCAUCCUAAGUAUGAUUUAGCUGUAACACCAGUCGUAAAUAAUUUCAAUCAAUUUAUUUAUUGUAUGUAUAAUUAAAUUAUAUUAAAUUGUACAUUCAAUUAAAAAUAUUUUACAUUUACAUGUACAUACUAAUAUCCAUAAUACAUUAUGCAGUAGAACACUAUAUUAUGUAACAUACAUUUGGAGAUAUGAUGGUAACUGAGAAUUGCAUAAUUAUCUGAAUAUAAAAAUUAAAAGAGUAAAAAACCCAGAAUCGUUUAAAAAUUUAAACCCACACUUUAUCGUGUACAUAUACAUUUGAUUGUCGAUAAAAAAGCACAAUUUUUUUUUUCUUUCAGCACUAAUCUAAUUUAAUAAAUAAACAAGUAUAUACAUAAUUUUAAAUACAACCAAAUAUUUGGAAAUUGGAGGCUUUAUAAAAAAAAGCUUAUACUGAGGUAAAGGCUAGUUAUACAAAUUCGGGGACAGGGGAUUGACUUGCAAAUUCUUGUAAAUUACUUGCAAAAUAUUGGCACUAUUUGGAACUUGUUUUGAUGAAGUGUGAGGACUAACUGCACGUACGUUUUCUUAAUGGGGUAAAAGAAAUUAGAGAGCCAAACGUUGUAUGAUUCGAGAUUAUAACGAGUUAUAUGGUAUCUACGUUUGCCAAAAUUUGUGGCAAUCUUCAUGGCUAUUAAUCGACUGAUAAUUGUCGACCGUUUAAGCCCGGUGUAUACGAUGCCAGUUAUUACCACGUAGUUGUAUUCGCGAUACCACAAUAAUAGUUAUAAUUAUUACAAUUCACAAGAAACAGCAUUUACGUGACGAAUGUUAAAGACAUGAUAAUAAUGUGAACUUUGAAAUAAUUUGCGAAUUUAAACCGUUAAUCCCAUGAAAGUGCUAUCACAACAGUGAAAUAAACCGGUAACAUGUAUCCACACUAUGAUAGUUACGGUUACUCUCAUUGCUCUAAAGAUAGUAAAUGAUGUAUGCGCGUAUAUAUAGGAGUUAUAACAUGAUAGUAGCGAAUAGUUACUGUUCACACCCUGAAUCAUGCAUUUACACGAAAUUAUAGUUUAUCAUAGUUACAAUUACGAUAAUGAGUUUCGUGAAUAUUACGGUAGCUGCAAAUAUCACCGUUUAGAUCGGGUUUUAUUUACGUAUUCAUCGCUAUAGAUAAAACGCCAGUAUGUCAUUUUAAACAAUAUAGUCUACAACUGAUAAAUUACUUUCACGCGAAAUAUUAUAGCAUAUUACACAUUCUAACACUAUUUUUACAUUUAUCUCACAAAUCCCUGUUUACACGUAUAUACAACCGGACAUUUAUAAUACAGACGCAAACAUAAUCCCCAACACUCGUGCAGCUGCAGAGUGAAUUUAAUAAUAUCAUAUUAUGUAGUAUUAUACAGGUCUGAGUGUUUGAUCAAGAAAGUCAGACUUUUUAUACCGUACGACCUCGUAUACCUUGUCGUAAGCACGUUGCGUAGGUACGUUAUGCGAUUCGAGUGAAUUGGACGUUAUGGUAAUUUCCGGGAUAUAAUAUUGUAUUAGCCAGUGUGCGUCUUUGUCGUCAUCAUCGUCGUCGUCGGCAUUAAGUAUAAUAAUAUGAUAAUAUAUGUUCAAUCUUAAUAUCAUAUAUAUAUAUAUAUAUAUAAUUUAAUAUAGACAAUAGAAGACAGAGAUAGGUAGAUAGAGAGAGAAAGAGAGAGAAAUCGCUGAAACGAUAGAGAAAAUACAUUUUUAGUUUUUUCCUUAAUUUUGCAGUCGGCUAUAGUUACGGUAUAAUUUCUUUUCGAAAUUUUUUCAAUCCGCUGAUCCGCAUAUCGCUUAUCGGACAUAGGUCGAUUUUUAAUGCGUGAAUCACUAUUGUCAGCGCCUAUAGGGUAGUAUUAUAUUAUGUAUUAUACAGGUAUAUAUAUUUACGUCUUUGCGAACUUCCUAACGAGUUUCUCGGCUAAUUUACAUGUAAAACGCGAUGCAAAUCUGAACGGGCUAUUUUACAUGGUCGAAUAAAUAUGUAGUAUAUGCUAUCGUAUACGCGGACGCUGACAAAUCCAACUCUGUUCUAUAUAAUAUAAUAAUAAUUGUCGGUUCUCUACAUGUAUACCGAAAUCAAUAGGCCGACAUUGCCGCAAGAACCGUCACGCGUUUAUGGUGAAUCACGUUUGUUGUUGGAUUGCAAAUUCUCCGUGGAAGUUUCAGGAUCACCCCCUUGUCACUCUUCCCCCAACUUGCACCAUUCAUCAUCAGACCUCCAAACGCACAUUGUUUGACAACACAGAACCUUUCAUAUUAUUAUAAACAAUAAUAUUAUUACACAUCCGGAUCGCAUUUGUCUUCGAAACACGCACGCACGUACUUUUGUCGAGGACAAACUCUUUUACUAUACUCCCCCUCCUCCCCCGUUAAAUUUUUGUUCAAAUAUAUUAUUUUUAAAAUUAUUUCUCUCCCGAAAAAACAAAAUAAUAUAAUAUAACCGGAGUUACGAAUUUAUAUUUUAUAAAAUAUUGCUUCAAAAUUAAAUUUAAUACCCUUAACCGGCAGACACAAAAUUAAUGAUGCGUAUUUAAUUUAUAAACUAUUUAGAAAAUAAUAUGAUAAAUUGUUUGUCGAUUUUGUCUAAAAAAAAUUCAAUUUCGCUGUCUUUCGAUAUUAUAUUCUAAACAUUUUUAUACAUUCAAUAUGUAUCCCCUAAUACCUAAGUGCCUAUGGGGUUCCGGUAAUCCUUUAUUACUUUGUAUAUUUAUAUAUAAAUACGUGUGUUUAAUAAUACAGAUCGCUUGGACCCCAAGUUAAUAACAUCACGACCCAUUGUUUAAGUUACCUACUCCAAUAUUAACGACCUGCAUAGUUUUGUUUUAAACUUUAAACAUUUGUCUUAUCGAUUAUAUUCUCCUUCUUGUAUGUUGGUAUGCAAUAUGCAUAUUAUAGUACAAUAAUAGUUAUUCGGAUCAUAUACUAUAGACUUGUUAUGUUUACGUUAAACAUACUAAUAUUUAUUCAUUAUUGUAUAUUAUUACUAUUAUAUGAACGACGUAAGUUUUUUUUUUUUUAAAAAUAACUAAUUUCUAUUUUAUUUUGCGACAAUAUUACACUAACAAAAUGUAAGCAUAUUAAAGAACAAAAAAAAAAAACAAUGUUCUAGGAUAAUGAGGUCAAGUGUAGCCAUUGUUAUAGGUGAUUUAAUGUACAUCUGUAAGCAGCGAUAAACCAUUGCUACCGAAAAAACGAUUCUGAGCGCAGCUCAGUUGAUUGUGAUGCCUUUAACAAUAUAUAUGUCAUACUAUGGUUAAAUAAUUAAAUAGAAGUUAAAUAUUUUCUAUAAUAAUAUUUGUUUAUUAUUGAACCAAUUUUCCCGUUUUUCCCGGUAUUCCCAAGUUUUUCUAGUUUGUUGGGAAAACUUCUGGGAAAAUCGAAAAAUUACCUCCUUAAAAUACCUUCCCAGUCAGAUUUUUUUUCAGAAAAAAUGCUAUUAUCGUAAAUCGGAGCAAAAUUGCUAGUAGAAAAGUUGUAAAUAGAAAAGGCAAUAAUGUUUUUUACUAAUACCUACAUUUCGUACAUUUUCCGUUUUUCCGAAAUUUUAUUUCGAUUUUUCUCAGAUAACAUGAAAACCACUUGAAAAGUGAAAAAAUGUCCUCCCUAAAUUACCAUAGAAAGAAAAUUUCCUUUUAGAAAAUAAGCUACACUUGAUCCAUCAGAGCAAGAUUUCUGGUAGAAAAGUUUGCACAAUAAAUCGAGAGGUACUUUGCAACUAAAUAGUUUAGGCACACCCAAAAUGCAUUUGUUUUUCCUAGGAUAAUAAUAUGUAUGUAUAACUAUUAAAUCAUGAUAGAUAUUCUAUCAGAAAAAAAAUAUAGAGUUAUUUAACAUAACAUAAAAUAUCCGCAUAAUAUCUAAACUUCGAAAAAUUAUAAUUUCGAAAUCUAGUCAAUCGGCUUAAUUCUGACUUCAUCGUUCUUAAAUCGGUAAUAUAUAUUUGUUCAAAGCAAAAUAUUGAAAAAUUUGAUUUGUUCCGCAUAAUUUUUUCCUCAAAUUUUACUUAAAUUUUCACGUGUUACUGUAAAGUCUAAUAAUUUUAUUACACAAUACCCACUGAAUAUAAAUUACGUAUAAAACUCUCAAAAUUAUAAUGUCUAUAAAUAGCCCAAAAAUGGCUUGAAUUUUUUGAAAAAGAAAAUAUAAGUUUUUGUCUAAAUUUCAAGUUUCUAUGAAUAUUUAAACUGAAUUACAAAAAAUAACAAAUUAAUAAAAACAUUUUUAUCGUACAUUUCCCGUUUUUCUUACGUUUUAUCCUAGUUUUUCCUAGAUAUUAUGAAAACCACUCGGAAAAUCAAAAAAAUGGCCUCCAAAGAGUACCAUUUGGACAAAAAUUUUUUUUCAGAAAUUGUGGUUUUCUGAAAUAUAUAUAUCUUUAUGGUAGAAUUUGUGUACACAGUAUAAAAAAAAUAUAAGAAAAAAAAACUAAACAUCAUAAUAAAACCAAUACAUUCUUCACUAUACUCAGAAUCUAAGAAAUAAAAUAACGACAAAUAUAUUGCAAUACAUAAUACCUACGUGGAUACCAAUUUUUUCCCCGACUCAUAAUGUUAUGCUAUUAAUUUAUAAAUGUUUAAUUAUAAUAAGUUACUUAAAGUUAUAACUUAAGUUAUGACGAGUAUAAAUAAUUUAGCAACUUAACGAAAUCCAACCUAAAUACAUUGAUUAUUAACGAGUUGUUAACGUCAUCUUAAUCAACUAUAAUAUUUGCGUCCAAUAUAUAUAUAUUGCACGAGAACAUUACUUUUAAGUCAAAGUCCUUAACUCGAAAAUAUCUAAAAUUCUUUAGUUACAUUUUACAUCAAACAGUUCUAGGUCAAAAUAAUGGUUAACAAUGAAACGUUUCUUUUACUUUUGAUGUUUUGAUUGUUGUGAUACAUCCACAUUGAAAUAUUACAUGAAUAUGUAUAGGUAUAUAUAUAUAUAUAAACACAUAAUAUAGUAUAAGUAUAUACAGAUGCAUGUGUGUAAUAGUUAACAAUAAACUCAAAUUUUCGUUUCCAUUUCUAUGUUUAAACUAUUGUUAUUUUCAAAUCUCUUCGCUCUUUCUGUAUAAAGAACACCAGCUACCAAAAAUUAGUUUAAAUCUAUUUUUUCGUUGAUUUACCUACUUCUAUAAAUCAUAACCAUUUUGUGUAAAACUAAAGGUACCAUACAAUUAAAAAAAUACAAUUUUACAUUAUUAAAUACUCACGAAUUAGUAUUAAGUACAAACUACAAUUUCCUAUAGAAGUUCCACAGGAAUUUUACUUCGGCGUUGUCAUGCCCUCUACUUAGCGUAUCGUAUUUUUUGUUUAAUUGCUUGCUUAUAUUUAUCGUGUAGGAUGAGAUAACUCUAAAUUAUAUAAAAUUGUACAAUAAAAAUCAUGAACAAAUUUUAUCGUAGAAGUGUAGACGUCCUUUUACAGUUACAUCAAACUGAUGCGAUAUAAUUCCGAUAGUAAUGUAUAAUUAAAUAAAUAUAAUUAAUAUUAAUUACUACUGUAAUAACAUUAUAUUCUCUAAAGUUUAAACUGUUUACUGGUGUAAUAAAAUCAUUUUCACGUUAAAUAUUACAUGGACAUCUAUAUUUUACUUGAAUUUUCCUCCUCUUAAUAGCCUCUGUUCCUUGGUACCUACGCAUAACAAAUCGCUCUCUUCAUAAAUAAGAUGGAAACAAUUAACAACAUUACAUUAUUAAGUUAAACUUGUCACUACAACAAAUUUCACACUAAACAAUAUCGUCACAACAAGCUACUUUUUUUUAUUCGUGGUAAAAAAAAAAAAUUCCUUUCAAAUUAUCUCCCCUCCUCCCCAUCUGCCAUGGACUUAGGUGUUAGGACAUUUUAAAUUCUUAAUUUUUUUUUUAAAAAAAAGGUUUUUUUUUAUUUCUACGGGGGUUUUGUCAAUAAUCUCUCUCUUUAUUUUGUUCACAUAUUCACUGCCUGUAAAAUAUAUUAUUGAUAUUUUCACCUGAAAAUUCGCUUGUUUGCGUACACGCUAUGCUCUAGAUUACAAGUACUCUUUUAAUACCAAAAUGUAUUUUAAUUAUUCUUAUCUAACUUGUAAAUAAAUAAUAUACAUUUUUGCUGAUUUUUAGGAUACAAGGGAAUAAAGACGGACAUACGAAUGGAUGGGCAAUUGUUAUAGGUGAGAAGUUUGGAAGAUAGGUUAUAGAAA